UAUCCUAUACUCACUAAGCCAUGCCCAUAGAUACAAGCCUCUUGCUUGAGUUUGCUGCAGCAACUCUACUCUUCUUCAUCACCCGCUUCUUCAUUCGUUCUCUCCUUCCCAAACCUUCCCGGAAGCUCCCCCCUGGCCCCAGAGGGUGGCCGCUCCUCGACGCUCUUCCUCUUCUAGGUAACUGAUUCGUCCCUAGCAGCGGAAGUGGCAAUGGCACCAUCUGAUUCGGGGUUCGAUCCCCGGCAACGGCGCCAUUUGACUCAUGCCCAAUUGGUGUCUCAGCUGAUUUAUGUUCAGCUGGUGCUCCUUGAUUGAGGAAGUGAUCAACAAAAUUUAUACCUAUAACACCAUACACUAGGGUAGCAAAUACAAAGCUACUAUAGUAUAGUGGCUCUAGGAUCGUUCACUGGGAAUGAUUUGCAAGCAAUCAAUGAUACCAAUUCCAAGUGAAUUGGUCUUGUUUCAUUUCACAGUUAGCUUAAGGAAUAAAACACAAACUUUGAUUUGUAAAGGUUGAGAUUUAAACUAACUAACUUAACAGAAGUUUGGAAUAAUUUAGGAAGAAAAGCAUUCCUUGGAGAUUUAGGUUCACUGGGGUGGUUCCUCAUGCAAAAGACAUAGCUCCGGUCAGAUGGUUCAUUUCCUCGCAUUAGAGAUUCAACCUAUAGUCAAUUCUCUAACCGGUGAUGUACAGAGACUCCUUCAAUUAGAUUUCACUUUAAUUCUCUCACUGAUACAACUUGCAAUGGUUCAUGCCUCUCACGAGCACUUACCAUUCAAGGUGAUCUUUAACCUUGGAUUCCCCUUCACAAACUCGCAAGAGAUAACUAAUGGAUGUCUCCUAGGAGUCCAAAAGCUUACCAAGUGUUGGUAAUUCCAGAAAAUCCUACCUUGAAGUCACCUACCAGAGGCUCGCAAGGGGUAAACUAGUGCAUUUCCACGGUUGGAAAUCACUUGCCUUACCAAGUGUUGGCCCAGGUGACUCUAAGGUGUUUUAAGUUAACUAAAAACAUUGAAAUCACUAAAGGAUUUCACUUCCUCUUCAUUACUAGCUAAAACCACAGAGCUUUGCAUUCUUGCACUUGGAACCUUCCCCGGCAACCUUAGCUCCAAGGAAUUGGAGGUUUAGUUACUCAUUCUCUGGGGAAAACUCCUCAGAGAAUUCAUAACUUAGAAAUAAAAUGAAAAUACAAAGUGAGAAGGUAAGGCAGUAGAAAGACAAGACUUUACUUGCUUACCAAACGUUUUCAGAAGGAACUCUUCCCUUAGAGAACAGGCUCCCGAGAGGUAUAUAUAUCAACAAAAUAUAAAACUAAUUGUUACAAAGAUAUUUGGUCUUUUUACUAACUUAAAAACUAAGGAAUCAUGUAAUUGGUGGUUUACAAGGAGUAUUUUGGGAUUUAGACAACAAAAAUCUAAUGGAAAAUAUCUCCCAAUGUCGGUAGCAAGCUUCGGGAGGCUUCAGGAGCCAUUUCGCAGGUGAAAAAUGAGGCCUGCGAAAUUUCGCAGACACCCAAGAGGGCUGCGAAAUUAUCUUGCAAGACCGAGCUAUCUUCACUAGGCUGCAAAGUUGGCUUCCAUCUUGAGGUUUCCAGCUCCCUUCUCGCGGCAUGGUUCGUGCAUCGUUAGAAGGAGAAAUACCUUACUGUACAAAAGUGCUGCGAAAUUCUCGCAACACAUGGCUGAUUCCGCAACACUUUAGAGUGUCUGGCUUGUAAUGGCUGCAACUUCUUCGUUUCAAUUCCGAAUCGCACACCGUUUGAAGCAUUGGAGUGUUGACUUCCUGAGCUUUGAAAUGGUAUAUAGCUUGCAUCAUUUGGACUUCAGAAAGUGCUCCAAAAGUGGCUGCUACGACUGUCAUCAAGAAUAUGCUCCAUGACUGAUCCUCUUUGCUUUUUCUCCUUGCAAUCCGGAUUCACUCUUGGCAAUUGAAUUCUAAGCUUUGCCCAAGAUUCCUCAUAGCUCUCCUCAUUCUUGACUUGCUUUGGUGAUCAAAAUACUAUCAAAAACACCAAAACUUACACAAAGUGAUCAAAAUUGCUUUAAAGGAUCCUUAACAUGCCAAUUGAGUUAAAAGGCCUAAACUACUACUCAAAAGUGUUAAAAAGGAUUAAUUAAAAGCUAUCAAAUAACACUUUUUGAGUAGUAAUCACUCCCCCCAACCGACAUAUUGCUAGUCCCUUAGCAAUAUAGGAGAGAAAAAUAAAAAUAAAUAGCAAACUAAUCUAAAAUUUACAACAUCAUGCUAAAGGAAAAUAAUUCUUAAGUGGCAUGAUGAUUUACUUCUCACAUGAAUCAUUAAAGAAAUACAAACCCAAAUCUCAACAAGAGUCAUAACACCUGUGCUAAACACUGUCAAUCAAGGGAGUGCAUUAUGCAAACUGAAGUUUUAAAAUCAUUUCACUUUCUAAGAACUAAACUUCAAUCUUCCACAAAAAUCUAUGUGUAUUGGUUCCUUAGAUUCCGAGAAUAAUAUGCUAAACUAGUCUCACCCCCCAACCUAUCUCUUUUCAACACUUUAGCAAACUGACCAAAAUCAAUAAGAAAAGAACACACUUUCAUCUUUUUUUUUUUUUUUUUUUUUUUUUUUUUUUUUUUUUUUUUUUUUUUUUUUUUCGGGGGACCUUUUGGGGGUACCCUUUCUGACUUGCCCAUGGAAGGGGGGCCCCCCGAUGACCCCCCACCAAUUAAGGUUUAGGGCCCCCCGUUUUAAGGAUUUUUCAACCCCAAACCCCCCGGAUUUUUCCCCAAAUUUUUAAAAAGGAAUUUUUAAACCCCAAGCAUCCACCAAAUGCUAUUUUUUCCUUUUCCCCCUUGGAACGGGGUUUGGGGGCGGGGACCCCCCACCAAUUAAGGGUUAGGGCCCCGGGCUUUAAGGGGUUUCCCCAAAAACCCCCCAAACCUUGCUCGGGUUNNNNNNNNNNNNNNNNNNNNNNNNNNNNNNNNNNNNNNNNNNNNNNNNNNNNNNNNNNNNNNNNNNNNNNNNNNNNNNNNNNNNNNNNNNNNNNNNNNNNUUUCAACCACUAACUCCUCGGAUUUUUCCCCAAACUUUUAAGAAUGAAUUUCUAAUACCCAAGCAUCUACCAUAUGCUAACUUUACCUAUUCACCCUUGUAACGAGCAUUGAGGUCGGUGACUCCCAACCAAUUAAGGCUUAGGGCACCAGGCUUUAAAGGCUUUCACCAUAUACCCCUCAGACCUUGCUCGGGUUUCAAGGCAAGCAAACAACUUUCUUUAUUUCAAAGGCUCAUUGGCCUUUUGCAGGGUGUUCCAAUUUUUAUCAAAUGAGGUCAAAUAUACCAAGUCUCAAAAUUAUCCUAAGUCAAGAGGGAAAUAGCUUUUCAUCUUAUAAUCGGAAACUAAUGUGCACAGUGUGUGGAUAGCUUAAAGUGGAAGAACUAACUUCAAUUACAGUAGAAGUUUCAACAAUUGAACCACUUUAGUAAGCAUAAUCCAUACUCUAAGUCAAGUGAAAAACAACAGUUCAAUUUCUCUUGGUUUAAUUUGAAAAUUUUUCCUCAAAAUUCAUGGAGAAUAGAGUAACAAGAGUAAAAAGUAAAAACUACAACUAAUUAACCAAUAUAAUUGCAAUACCAAAAAGGUUUAGACUACUUCCUUCCUCAUACCCCCCAACCGAACUGAGCAUUGUCCUUAAUGUGAUUUGAGUGACUGUAAUAAAAGGGAGGAAGUGGUACCUCCAUGCUGAUAUCAAAUUCGAAUAUUGAUUGGGGAAAACCACAUGUUUCAAAAAGAAUAGAAUAUGUGAGAAAAGGAAAUAAUAAUAACUUAAUGCUAACUUUUAACAAGAAAAAUUCAACUUGUAUUACUUUGAGUUCAUUUGAUUACAAUGCUAAAGACAAGUAACACAAGGAAUCCCAUAUAUAGUACCAAAAUACUGGGAUUUCUUUUCAACUAAAACAAAACAAGCAUAAAAACAUAAAUAGCAAAUAUAUAUAAUGUCUGAUGAGUGGGGUGAUGGUGCUAAGCAGAAGGAUCUGCCUCCUCUGUAGGUGGAUCAGCUGGGGCUUCUGGCUCUGGAGGAAGAGACUCUGAAGGCUGAGAGUGUGGCUCUGGUGGAGUAGCAGUGGAGGGCUCUACAGCUUGUGGUAGAUCGAAAUGGACUUGAAGCUGCCUUAGGAUGGCAGCUUGUUGAGCCUGAGAGGCUAACAUCUGCUCCUGGCAUGCUUUGAUGGCUGCCAACUCUUGAGCAAAAUUGCUCUGGGACGCUGUAAGAGUCUCCAAUGCUCGGCACAGCUCUCGAUAUUCGGAUAUAGGGAUGGCCAUCCUCGGCUCAGCUGAUGUGGAUGGCUGUGAUGCAGCAGGUGCAGCUGGUGAAGCUCGAGGGAUGGCAGGAGUAGCAAGUGUUAUACCUUCAGGUGCAUGUCUUGGGGAGGCUCUCCUUGCUGCUGGCUGAGGCUGCCCAGGAUGAUCAAUUUUGUAGGCCAUCAUAUUAUUCCAUUUAUCAAGGGUAAAUGGCUCACGACAUAUUCUCUUUCUUUCCUGCUGAGGCUCAGAGGGGUAUCCAAGAUGCUCCAAAACUUGGCAUAGCAGCCGUGGGAAGAGGAGGGGAAUGCAAUCUGCUCUUUAAAGCUUCUUCUUGUGAACCUUCUCCUCAAAGUAGAGAAGGGCUGCCAUGAUCAGAUGAUGAGGCCCAAAGAAGAAUCCUUCUGACAUCUUGUACAAGGCUUCCAGGAGAAUUCCCCUUCUUUGGGUCCAAUGCUGCAGGGGAUAGAUAUUAUGCCUCAAAAAGGCAUCAAUCAAAAACAUCACUAGAGGUAGCUCCCCCCUCAGCAAAUGUGAUCGAUUUGCAGCUCCUCUGGUUAGUGUGCGAACCAUCUCUAACUCAGUAGGAUUUACCCAAGCUUUAAAAUUGUCGAAUUGGGUUGGCUCAAAAGGAAUUUGCAGGGCUUCAGCAAUAUGUCUUGCUCCCAAAAUACCAUGUCUUCCAUCAAUUAUAAAAUGAAUCAAGGUUGGAUUUCUUACUUCUUUGGUUGUCAUGGUCUGGUAGAAGUCCGUGACUACCCGGGGAUAGAAAAAAUCCCUUGGAGCUAGCAGAUACUCCAUAUGAUAUCUCCUCAGCAGCUGGAAGGAUUGGGCAAGCUCUGGCCUCACUCUGAAUGCUGUUAAAUCGAAGCAAAGCUCAGAAUGGAAUGCCCGUGUUCGACAAUCCAAGUUUCCUUCGAUUGGGGGCUGGGGCAGCAUUGGCCUUCGGAUCACUUCUUCCAGAGGUGCUUCAGCUGCAAUUUGGGGCUCUGGAAUUGGCGCUUGAGGCUCCUGAGCUUUUUCUUGGGGUGCCGGAGAUGGUACCGGCGAUGGAAUUGGAGUUGCUUCAGGUGAGGGAAUUGGCGAGGGAACCGGUGACGGCACUGGAGUUUGAACCAGUGAAGGAUUUGGGGACUGCUCAGGGGAUUGCUCAGUCAAAUCAAUUGGUUCAGAGCUCUCAACCCUGGUUUUCUUCUUCAAUGGCUGACCGCCUGACCUUGUUAAAUAUCGCCUUGCCGGCGGCUUUGGUGGCGCCGGCUUCACUGGAGAAGGAUUUGGUCUCGACGGCGAAGGCUUUGGAGCAGGUUCUGGAACAGAACCUGGACUUGGCUCCUUUCGCAGACUCCUUUUGCGAUUCGAAGGGGAUGAAGACUUUGCCCCUUGUGUUCGUGCCAUUUUGGAAUACCGAAACUUUAGCCGGUGCUGCUGAACGGAGAAGACGACCGGAGGUUCGGACGGCGUGGCUUGGCGAAGAAGAUGAAGGGGCUGCGAGAAUGGUGCUCUGAUUUUUGAAACCCUUUUUGCAGCACUUUUGACCGGUAUAAAUAGGAAAAACGGAAGCCCAGGGGUCAGUUUAAGUUUCGCAACAAAACGCCAAUUUUGCAGCAACUUGCCAUUUUCGCAGCAACUUCGCAGUGAGUUUCGCAGCUGCGAAAUUGAUGUCACUGUGCUGCGGAGUGGCACUCGUGUGCCAAAACCACUUUCGCAAUUGCGAAAUGCCCUGCGGAAUGAGACUUUUGGUGCGAAAUCACGCUUUUCCAUUUCGCAAUGAGUUUCGCAGCUGCGAAAUGGGUUCUACUGUACUGCGAAGUGGCACUCGUGUGCCAAAUUCACUUUCGCAGCUGCAAAAUACACUCGCAGAGGCUUCUACAGUGCUGCGGAAUGGUUUGGCAGCAAAAUGCUCAGUUCGCAGAAGUUUCCUUCUCUCUGCGAAAUUUCGCAGAGCUCUGUUUUUCCCCUGUUUCUGCUCUGUUUCGGCUCCAAUUUCGACCCGAUUUUUUUUCUUUUCAAUCCCCUUGAAAUUUCUUCCACCUGGGAUCAUUUUAAACAAUUAAAACACACUUAAAAACAUGAUUUAAGAUCAAAAACUAAGAUCAAAAGUAUGGAAACAACUUAAAAAUUUUACAAAAUUUACAAAAAUUUUGGACUGUGGUUAAGACCACGUCCAGCAAACCCUUUUCACUUAGGCUUUUUGAGGUUCAAGGAGGUUGAUUGCCUCCUUUUCUGAUUUGAAUGACUCCAUGAACGGCUUAAGACGAUAUCCAUUGACUCUAAAGCUAUCCUUGCCAUUGGAAUUCAAUAAGUCCACCACUCCAUUGGAAUAUACUCGGUGAAUAACAAAUGGACCAAUCCACCUUGACUUGAGCUUCCCAGGAAAGAUAUGGAGUCUUGUGUCAUACAUCAAAACUUUUUGCCCUUCCUGAUUCAGUUUGCCCGGAUCCCAUUUGAAGCUUGCAUCCUUCACUUGAGACUUGGUUUGAGAUGAAGAUAUUACGACAGGACAUUGAUUAUUUUCUUCAAGAUAUGUAUAUUUCAGCUCCACAGGUAAAGGCUUCAGAUUGAAUUUUGGAAUUUCUUUUUCAGCGGCUGCCUCCUCUUCUUCAUUGAACAAAGGUAGAAUUUCUUCUAUCUUUCUCCAACUUUGUAGAGUAGCAAGCCCAAUAGGCGAUUCAGAAAAACCUUCCUCAAUAUCCUCAAGAUUUUCAUUCAACUUAUCUUGCAUAUGUUGAUUACAGUGCUCCUCCACCAAAGUAUCAAUUACACAUAACUCUUCUGGACCUUCUUCUUCUUCCGGAGUGAUUUGAUUUUUAGACAUAUAGAAAAUAUUUAGAUCCAGUGUCAUAUUACCAAAAGUGAGUUGCAUAAGCCCAUUUCUACAGUUGAUGAUUGCAUUUGAAGUUGCAAGAAAUGACCUUCCAAGGAUGAUAGGAACUAAAUUAGCUUCCUUUACAGUAGGAUCAGUAUCAAGAACAACAAAAUCUACAGGAUAGUAGAAAUUAUCUACUUGAACCAAUACAUCCUCAAUUACUCCUCUUGGAAUUUUCACUGAUCUAUCUGCCAAAGAUAAAGUGAUUGCUGUUGGCUUCAACUCUCCAAGUCCUAGUUGCUUGUAGACAGAGUAUGGAAGCAAAUUCACACUUGCUCCCAAGUCUAGCAAGGCUUUCUCCACUACCUUUCCUCCAAUCAUGACUGAAAUGGUAGGACUUCCAGGGUCUUUGUACUUCGAAGGAGACUUACACUGUAAGAUUGCACUUACUUGCUCAGUCAAGAAGGCUUUCUUGUUUACAGUCAACCCUCUUUUGAUCGUACACAAGUCCUUUAGGAAUUUUGCAUACGUUGGAACUUGUUUGAUCAUAUCCAGCAGUGGAAUAUUAACUUUCACUUGCCUCAAUACUUCUAGGAUUUCAGCUGCAUUUCUAACCCCCUUUUUCCCAUGUAAUGCUUGAGGAAAAGGUGGAAAAGUUGAUUUCUUCAGCAUUUUUUCCUUCAGAAGCUCUUUCUCUGGAAUUGCUUUCAUUGUUGAAUCAGAGUCCUUCUUCUCUUCGCUGAUCUCACUCUCUUUAUCUUCCAUUUCCUUCCCUUUCUUCAUCUCUUCUUCUUUUUCAACAUGUGGCUUGGGUGUUGGCUGCUCAAUUUUUUUACCACUCCUUAGAGUGAUCAAAGCUUUCACAUCUUUCACCUGUGAUGAUUCUCCCUCAUGGAUUUCCACUUCAUGGACACCUUUGGGAUUUUGGUUAGGUUGAGAAGGAAAUCUUCCUUUUUCUUGCAGUGUAUUCAAAUUUGUAAGCCUGGAAAUUGAAUAUUGGAUGUUAUCAAACUUUUGGUUCAUUUCAUUUUGCAUUCCAUCCAUUCUUUUGUUCAACACACUCUCCAUUCUAUCCAUUCUUUGAUCAACUCGAGCAUUGGUGGCUUCUUGCUUUCCCACAAAAUCUCCCACUACCUUGCUGAGAUUGGCUAUUAUUUGUUCAAUACUUGAAGAUUGCUGAGAUGGUGGAUCCGGCUGUUGGUAUUGAGUUGCUCUGGCCUUCCAUGAGAAAUUUGGAUGAUUCCUCCAACUUGAAUUGUAGGUAUUUCCAUAUGGAGCAUUGUUAUUGGGCCUGAAUUGUCUAACAACAUUUGCUUGAUCUCUAUACAUUUCCCUUUCAACUGAAAUUGCAGGGCACUCCUCUACCAAAUGUUCAAAUGAUUGACAAUUGGGACACAACUUCACUUGCACUGGUGCUUCAGCAACAGCUUGCACUUCAUGCAUUCUUUUCAGCUCCAGCUCCUCCAAUCUUCUUGUCAUAGCUGCCAACUUUGCUUUCAUGUCAUCAUCUUCUUUCAAAUUAUACAUCCCAGCCUUUGCAUUGUAAGCAUUCAACUGAGACUUCAUCUUUCCCACUUCUCCUUUGGUUGGUUCAUCCCAUCCCCUUGAAACAUCAGCUACAUAGUUCAAGAAAUCCAUAGCUUCCUCUGGAUUUUUGCUCAUGAAAUCUCCUCCACACAUUGUCUCGAGGAGUUGCUUCAUUGAGGAUGACAUACCAUCAUAGAAAUAGCUCACCAAUAGCCAUGUAUCAAAGCCAUGGUGAGGACAAGCAUUUAUAGCUUCCAUGUAUCUUUCCCAACACUCAUAGAAUUUCUCAUUCUCUUUAGCUGAGAAGUUUGAAAUUUGCCUUUUCAAGCCAUUUGUUCUAUGAGUAGGAAAAAAUUUCUUAAGGAAUUCAGCUUGUAAAUCAGUCCAAGAGCGGAUACUCCUUGGCCUUAAAGAAUUAAGCCAAAUUUUGGCCUUAUCCUUUAAAGUAAAAGGAAAUAACUUAAGCCUCAUCAAGUCAAUUGAAGCUCCUCCCUCUUGGAAUGUAUUACAAACAUCUUCAAAUUCCUUGAUGUGUGCAUACGGAUUCUCACUUUCCAUCCCAUGGAAAGUUGGUAGAAGUGGAACAAGAUACGGUCUGAUCACUAGCUGCUCUGUAGGGGCACUAUACAUGAUGGUGCACUCAUACGANNNNNNNNNNNNNNNNNNNNNNNNNNNNNNNNNNNNNNNNNNNNNNNNNNNNNNNNNNNNNNNNNNNNNNNNNNNNNNNNNNNNNNNNNNNNNNNNNNNNUAUAGUCAAUUCUUUAACCGGUGAUGUACAGAGACUCCUUCAAUUAGAUUUCACUUUAAUUCUCUCACUGAUACAACUUGCAAUGGUUCAUGCCUCUCACGAGCACUUACCAUUCAAGGUGAUCUUUAACCUUGGAUUCCCCUUCACAAACUCGCAAGAGAUAACUAAUGGAUGUCUCCUAGGAGUCCAAAAGCUUACCAAGUGUUGGUAAUUCCAGAAAAUCCUACCUUGAAGUCACCUACCAGAGGCUCGCAAGGGGUAAACUAGUGCAUUUCCACGGUUGGAAAUCACUUGCCUUACCAAGUGUUGGCCCAGGUGACUCUAAGGUGUUUUAAGUUAACUAAAAACAUUGAAAUCACUAAAGGAUUUCACUUCCUCUUCAUUACUAGCUAAAACCACAGAGCUUUGCAUUCUUGCACUUGGAACCUUCCCCGGCAACCUUAGCUCCAAGGAAUUGGAGGUUUAGUUACUCAUUCUCUGGGGAAAACUCCUCAGAGAAUUCAUAACUUAGAAAUAAAAUGAAAAUACAAAGUGAGAAGGUAAGGCAGUAGAAAGACAAGACUUUACUUGCUUACCAAACGUUUUCAGAAGGAACUCUUCCCUUAGAGAACAGGCUCCCGAGAGGUAUAUAUAUCAACAAAAUAUAAAACUAAUUGUUACAAAGAUAUUUGGUCUUUUUACUAACUUAAAAACUAAGGAAUCAUGUAAUUGGUGGUUUACAAGGAGUAUUUUGGGAUUUAGACAACAAAAAUCUAAUGGAAAAUAUCUCCCAAUGUCGGUAGCAAGCUUCGGGAGGCUUCAGGAGCCAUUUCGCAGGUGAAAAAUGAGGCCUGCGAAAUUUCGCAGACACCCAAGAGGGCUGCGAAAUUAUCUUGCAAGACCGAGCUAUCUUCACUAGGCUGCAAAGUUGGCUUCCAUCUUGAGGUUUCCAGCUCCCUUCUCGCGGCAUGGUUCGUGCAUCGUUAGAAGGAGAAACACCUUACUGUACAAAAGUGCUGCGAAAUUCUCGUAACACAUGGCUGAUUCCGCAACACUUUAGAGUGUCUGGCUUGUAAUGGCUGCAACUUCUUCGUUUCAAUUCCGAAUCGCACACCGUUUGAAGCAUUGGAGUGUUGACUUCCUGAGCUUUGAAAUGGUAUAUAGCUUGCAUCAUUUGGACUUCAGAAAGUACUCCAAAAGUGGCUGCUACGACUGUCAUCAAGAAUAUGCUCCAUGACUGAUCCUCUUUGCUUUUUCUCCUUGCAAUCCGGAUUCACUCUUGGCAAUUGAAUUCUAAGCUUUGCCCAAGAUUCCUCAUAGCUCUCCUCAUUCUUGACUUGCUUUGGCGAUCAAAAUACUAUCAAAAACACCAAAACUUGCACAAAGUGAUCAAAAUUGCUUUAAAGGAUCCUUAACAUGCCAAUUGAGUUAAAAGGCCUAAACUACUACUCAAAAGUGUUAAAAAGGAUUAAUUAAAAGCUAUCAAAUAGCACUUUUUGAGUCAAAUGAGUUCAAGGACAUGGUGGUGGAGCUCAUGACCACUGCUGGGUACUUCAAUAUUGGCGACUUUAUUCCGUCCAUCGCAUGGCUGGACAUCCAAGGGAUCCAGCGCGGGAUGAAGCAUUUACAUAGGAAGUUCGACCGGUUAUUAACAAAGAUGAUGGAGGAGCACACGGCGUCAGCCCAUGAGCGAAAGGGAAACCCAGAUUUUCUGGACGUAAUCAUGGCAAACCAAGAAAAUUCUACAGGGGAGAAGCUCACUAUUACCAACAUUAAAGCACUCCUCCUGGUAUGCAUAGUUAAAGCUCGUCUUCAAUUUUGUUUUCCGAUAUUUUCUUUCCGGAAACAGCACUUUUAUUGCUUUUAGAUAUGUACGUUUUUAUCAGGUAGCCAUUUUAGGGGCACAUCACUAUUCUUUAUUUUUGGACUAUUUUUUUCUUUUUCCACUUGCAUGGUUGUUUUCAUAUGCUCAGCUGCAUGGCACAAGAAAAUUGUGAAAAAUGAUUGGUUCUCUGAUCAGACCUUCUGCACCAAAACACGCUUUUCUCUAUGUUAUAAAAUCGGUUUACAUGAUUUUUCAACCAGCUUCCUUGAACUUGAACUUUUGCUAGGGCUAAUGCAAAAAAUGAUUGAUCUCAAUUUUCAAUAGCGUUUGAUUACAUAAAUUUCAAGUAUGUGAACAUAUUUUUGUUUCCUUGGCUAGAAUUUAUUUACUGCAGGAACAGACACUUCAUCGAGCGUAAUCGAGUGGUCUCUGGCUGAGAUGUUGAAAAACCCGAGCAUCCUCAAGCGUGCUCACGAAGAAAUGGAUCAAGUGAUUGGAAGGAGCCGGCGGCUCGUGGAGUCUGACUUGCCAAAACUUCCAUACCUACAAGCCAUAUGCAAGGAAAGCUUCCGGAAGCACCCAUCCACCCCGUUGAACCUUCCUCGUGUCUCAACCCAAGCAUGUGAAGUGAACGGCUACUACAUCCCAGAGAACACUAGACUUAGCGUGAACAUAUGGGCAAUUGGGCGAGACCCUAAUGUCUGGGAAAGCCCGGAAGAAUUCAGGCCAGAAAGGUUUUUAAGUGGAAGAAAUGAAAAAAUUGACCCUCGUGGAAAUGAUUUUGAGUUGAUCCCGUUUGGGGCUGGACGAAGGAUUUGCGCUGGCACUAGAAUGGGAAUAGUGCUGGUUGAGUACAUUUUAGGGACGUUGGUACAUUCAUUUGACUGGAAAAUGCCGGAUGGAGUUGAGAUCAACAUGGACGAAGCUUUCGGGCUUGCACUGCAGAAGGCAGUUUCUCUUUCGGCCAUGGUGACACCAAGGCUUCACCAGAGUGCGUAUGCAGUCUGAGCUCAAACCGCUCAGACCAAAACCCAGGCCUCGCUGCUAUAUGGCAUGGAUGCAGUUAAGUAGAAAAUAUUUUGGGAUGCCUGUGGCUUAGUAUAAGAUGUAUUAGCUCAAAGAUGGUCGUUUCAUUCUACCACCAAGCCAUAUGCAUCUAUGCAUAAUCUAUUGAUUUAGGCUCGAUUUGGUUAUAGUUUUUGUUUUUUUGUCUUCCAAAUCAGUAAAUAGUAGGGGUAUUUUUGUCCUAUGUAGUGAUUCUUUUUGUUUGAUUGAUUAUAUUUGGAUCCUUCAAAAAUAUAUGGUCAGAGCCAUCUCCAUCUUUUCACUUCUUGUGCUGCAGAAUGGGAUUGGCUUAGAUCGUUAGUCUAAUGUUAACCCCCUUCAAAUCUAAUUAUUCAUACCCAAUUUUGACACGAAAGAGCCAUUGUCAUGAAAGGGGGACCAGGGACCUCAGCACCCUUGGUUCAUCAUUUUGGUACGAUGCCAACUCUACCACAUAACCACCAUUUAGAUAUCUAUCCUUUUAUUUUUGGCAUGUGAACUUAUAGUGGGUGGCUGACCUUGAAUCCAGUAGUUAUCAUGAUAUAUAUGGCUGUGUUGAAACUAACCACCAUUUAGAUAUCUAUCCUUUUAUUUUUGGCAUGUGAACUUAUAGUAAGUCCGAUUUAUGUCCAAGGGUCAAAUUUAAAUCUCUCUUCAAUCUAAUGGCUAAGAACUUCCCAACUUUAUUUAAUACUUAAUGUAUCCAAUAAUUGUAAUCGAGUAAUCCAAUGACAAGUACCUUCAAUGAUUAUUUUGGCAAAAGAAAUAAUAUAAGUUUGUUAUUUUAUGAUAUAAUAAAUUUAUUAAUACUUUCCUUUUUCAAAAUAUGUAAUUAGUUGUAAUUUCAUUAUAUAAUAUAUAAAUUAAGUUAUUUGCAAUUUUAAAAUAUGCUCAUUUUGUAUUUUUUUAAGUGUUAUUUAAAAAUUACACAAUUUUGUUUUAUAAAAAGUAUUUAGUACUUUUAAUUUUAUAAUUUACAAACAUUAAUUUAUACUAUUUUCUUAAAAUAUUUAGUUUAGUAUGCAUAUUAUUAGUUGUUUUCUCAGAUCUCAAGUUCCAAUCAAAAAAAUAUUUAUGAUUUGUUUUUGUUAAUUUGUGUCUUGUUUUCAAUUUAAUUAAUGAAAUUUUAUUUGAUCAAAAAGUUCAUUAUAAACCAAUUUUAAAAAUCUAAUCCUUUAUUAUAUUUUGAUAUGGUUUUGAUAAAAAUGUCUUUAUUAUUAUUAUUUUUUAUAAAAAUAAUUAUUAUUUUUGAAAUAUAUUGUAAAUAUUUAAAAUAAUUAAAAAUAUUUAGAUCAAAAAUCGAUUAUUUUUCAAACAAAAAUAUGAAAGUGAUAAAUUUGCAAAUAUGGGGAAUAUUUAAUCCUUUUAAUCGAUUAUUUCAUUACUGAAGUGGGUAUAAUGAUGAACGCAGACUUGGUUUUGCUAGGGCAUGCAGAGGUUUUGCAAGAGAGAGAGAUCAUUUCUCGACUCUGAGAAAUCAAUCUCCUUUUGGCCCGGUGGUGGACUCCAAGUAAAGCCUUGAAGGAGCCUUGCUAACAUCCCUGCACACCCACGCCUUCCAGUACUGAAGGAAAUGAAGCGAAGGGUUGGCUCGUUCAACUCCACUGCUUGAACUGUACUAGCAUUCUGAUGCCGCUCUGGAUUGAAAUUUAGCGGUUCUUCCCAGAUUCUAGGGUUCCGGCCCAGCCCCAGACGGCUCAGAAGGACAUGACUGCCUUUGGGGAUAAAGUACCUAGCAACACUAGUCGGAUUCCUGAACUCGUCUAUCCUUUCCAACCACUCCAUCAAUUUCUUCACUGCUUUGCUCAAAAUCCCUGGUUGCUUGAUCAUUGCCUACCCAAUUGCAUUUGAUGGACUAUCGACGCCUGCAAGCAUCAACUCCUGCAAAUUAUGGAAGGAUCAUAAUCUGAUGAUUGAUCAAGUUAUUUGCUGGCUAGGAAAUGAUCAUCAUGCAAUGUAGAUCAAAAGGUAAGCACAACGCUACUACAAAAAUAAUUUAUGGUGUCAUUUUUUAAAUAAUGACACCAUAGGGUUUAUAAUUAAUAAAGGUGAUACAUCGUAUAAAAUUUUUUCAAUUGAGGUAGUUAGAUUAUGUUAGUUUUAUAUUUAUAGUGUCAUUUUUUGGGAAGUAACAUCAUAUAAAAUAAAUUUUUUUAAGUAUUAUAACUUAAUGAGCCCACUUGAGCCCACUUUUAUAAUUAAUAAUGGGGGAUAAUGUAUAAAAAGCCCAUUGUUUCCACAUGCCACCCACAAUCCAAAAAAUCUCAGCAUACAAACCUUAUAUAUAAAACCAUAAUCUUCUUCUACCUUUUCUCUUACCUAUAGUCAACACACUUACAACCAACAUUUUCUACUUUGUGGACUCCUGGGUAAUCCAAAUUCUCUUAGAUCUAUCAUAUUUUUUUUUUCCUUUUAUUAAUAUAAUUAUAUUGAUUGUUUCAGCAUCUUUGUAUUAUGGUUUUUGUAAACUGCGUUUUCUUGAGUUGUAGGGAAGAAAAACUUAGGUUUAAACUUCUAGCAUAGACGAAGAAACUUGUAGAUUAAUUGAUUUUUUAAUAUGAACCAAACACAUGACUGACUUCUUAAAAACAAGAAAAAAUGAAUGAUUUUUAAUAUGUAUUUAUGUGAGAAUGACAGGUACAAAAUUUUGUUGAGAUAUACUGCCACAUAAUCUUCAUCCCUUCCCUAAAACAAGAGAGAGAGAAAAAAAAAAAGGAAUGAUUUUUUUUGUGUGUAUCUAAGUGGGAAUGAGAUAUAUAGAAUUUCGUUGAGAUGCCACAUGAUCUUUAUCCUCCAUUAAACCCAACAUAUUAAAUCCACUAACUCUCCCCAAAAACGAGUAAAAAAAAAGGGAAAAAAGUAUGAGUUAAAAAACAAAAACGGAAAAUAUGAUUUUUUUUUUUUUUUAAUGUGUUUCUAAGGAAAAUGAGAGACAAAUUUUUGUUAAGAUGCAUUGCCACGUGUUCUUCAUCCUCUCCAUUAAGCCUAACAUAUUAAACCUAAUAGCUCUCUCUUUUAACUUUCCAGUGAAGUGCCUACAGUAUCCAACUCAAAAUAAGACAACUUAAGCCCCAUUAGCCAACAACCCAUAUUUUGUGUACAUCUUGAUGAGAUUAUUUUGUGAGAAAAUGUCAUGAAACAAUCCCAAUUUGAUAAUCUAGGCAUGUAUUUGAGUUAAAAAUAAAUUUCUAUUCUAUAGAUCAAAUAAUAAAAUCAUGUUUGAAAAUUAUUUUUAAAAACUUAUUUAGAGCAAAAAUAGUUUUCUAACAUAAAAAUAAUUUUUUAACUGAGAAAAUAUAUUUGAAAUUAUUUGAUAGAAAAUUGGGCAUGUAUUUGACUUAAAAACAAAUUUCUAUUCUAUAGCUCAAAUAAUAAAAUCAUGUUUGAAAAUUAUUCUUAAAAGCUUAUUUAGAGCAAAAAUGGUUUUCUAACAUUAAAAUAAUUUUUUAAUUUAGAAAAUAUAUUUGGAAACAUUUGAUAGAAAACUGGGCAUGUAUUUGACUUAAAAAUAAAUUAUUAUUCUAUAGAUCAAAGGAUAAAAUCAUGUUUGAAAAAUAUUCUUAAAAACUUAUUUAGAGUAAAAACAGUUUUCUAACAUAAAAAUAAAUUUUUAACUUAGAAAAUAUAUUUGAAAACAUUUGAUAGAAAACUUUUUUUUUUUUAAUGUCAAUAAGUUGUCUUUUGUUAAUUUAAUUGUAAUCAAUUUGCUUAUACGCAUUUAAAAGUAUAUAUUAUCAUAUUUAGUAAUAUUUUGAUUGUUAGGCAAAUUAUCAUUUUUGAGAGGAAUUUUUGUAGCUCUCAUAAUUAUAAUUGUAUUUUAAUAACCAUUUCCAAUAAAAAAAAAGAAAAAAAAAGUUAGACAAUUAUCAAAAUCUGAUUUUUAGGAUUUAAAAAAAAUCUACAAGCCAAAACUAUCUAUAAUUUUGAUCAUGUGAGAACACUUCUUUUUUAAUACUUUGAAUUAUUUUGUUUUUUUUUUCUUAGUAUCUGAAAGUAUAAAAGAAUUUCUCUUAUUAUAUUAUUAUAUUAUAUAUGUGCAUGUGUGUUCUCAUGGUUGUUUAUGUCAUGUGUUAUUAAAGAAUAAAGUGAAAUUUCCUUUGAGUGGAAGGUUUUAGUCCACGCUAGUGAGUGGACACAGUAUGAAUAGUUUGGGUGGGUUGUAUCUAUGGUAAAAAAAAUAAUAAAAGACACCUUUUGCAAGUCUCCAAGUUGGUUGAGAUACAUGGUAUCAUGUUGACUAAACCUUGACUUUUGCAAGUCUCCUAGUUUCCAACUUUUUUUUUCUUUUUUUUUUAAUAUUAAGGUGUGGGGCCAUGAACUCCUUUCUUUCCUUUUUAAAUAACAAAAAGGAAGACAAUUUUAUUGUGAGAAGGCUAUUGCUAUCAAUUGUGUUCACGUCGAGAUUUUUUUAAUUUAUGGAGGCCAUAUAUAUAUUUAUGUCUAAUUUAGGAUGGUAAUUUGGGUUUGUUUAAUCUAUUCCAUUUAAUCAUACUAUACAAUCAUUUUUUUAUUUGGAUUAUUUUUGUAUUAAAUUUCUUCAACCCAAAUUUUGUUGAAAAGUUACAAUGUAUUAUUAAAAAUAUGACUUGGUAGUUGAUUAUGGAUAUGUGUCAUUUUUAGUAAAAAAAAAAAUCUAUAACAUUUUAUAUUGAUAAUAUAUUAUUCUUGUAACAGGUUCGAAUAGUAAGCAAGUCAUUAUCAAAGAAGUUAUUGAAAGUGUAAGGGUAUGUUUAUUUAUUGCAUGCUCUUAUAUAGUAUCAAUUGUAAGGAAGAUAAAAUUACCUUGUAAAGGUAAUUAAAUCUUUCUAUAUUUUAAAAACUUUUUUCCUAUAUACUAUGCUUUUGAAGCUUGUUUAAUUAAACAUAUUAGUUAUUUGACAAACUUUUCACAAAUGUUUUGCAUGUAUACUUAUGUGUUCUAUUUUGUUCCAUAGUUUUAUUGCAUAAUACUAAUGUAUAUUUUUUCACAAACUUUUUACAACUAUUUUGUGUACUAAUGCAUAUUAAGUUUUGUUCUUGCCUAUAUAAGCUACAUUUAGUUAUUUAAAUAUAUCCAAUAUUAUGUUGAAGAAAGAUGUACUUACUUAACUUUUUUUAUUCUAAAUAUUAACAAGUUUUUCAGUUCUCUUGUCUCGAGAUUGAAUGUCAAAAGAUAGAAGGUCAGUUGAGUAUGAUGAAAGAGUUGAAAACUUUAUCAAUUUUGCAUUAGCACAUUCAAUCAACCAUUCCCCUAUAAAAUGCCCAUGCUUACGUUGUGCAAAUCUGUUAUGUCAAACUCUUCAAGUCAUUACAGAGCAUUUGUUCUUUAAUGGAAUAGAUCUCAGUUAUCGAGUAUGGUAUUGGCAUGGAGAAAAUGGACCCAGUGGAGGAUUUUCAAAUGUCUCACAACAACAUUAUGACAAAUGCAAGUAUAAUGAUGUUGUUGACACAAUAGAUAUGGUUAAUGCUGCACAAGUUAAUUGUAUGAAUGAUCCCUAAGUGUUUGGAAGGUUACUUGAAGACGCAGAAAAACCUUUAUAUCUUGGAUGCAUGAAAUACACAAAGUUGUCAGCAUUGGUAAAACUUUACGACUUAAAAGCACAUUAUGGUUGGUCUAACAAAGGAUUCUCAAAAUUGCUUCAGUUGCUUGGAGAUAUGUUGCCAUUGAAUAAUGAGAUGUCAUUGUCCAUGUAUGAAGCUAAAAAGACUUUCAGUGCACUUGGGGAUGAAUAUAAAAAAAUUCAUGCAUGUUCUAAUGAUUGUAUUUGGUAUAGAAACCAGUAUAAGGAUGCUAUUGCAUGCCUAACUUGUGGAAAGUCAAGGUGGAAGAUAAACAAUGAGGGGAAAAAGAUUAAGAAGGGGCUUCCUUCAAAGGUUUUGUGGUAUUUCCCACCAAUCCCUAGAUUCAAAAGGAUGUUCCAAUCCUCAAAAACCGCUAAACAUCUUAUGUGGCAUGCCAAGGAUAAAGAAUAUGAUGGUAAACUAUGCCACCCAUCAGACUCCUCAGCGUGGAAACUAGUUGACCAUAUGUGGCUUGAUUUUGCUUCUAAACCGAGAACCUUAGACUAGCACUCUCAACAGAUGGUACAAAUCUUCAUAAGUCUAUAAGCAAUAGACAUAGUUGUUGGACUGUUAUACUGAUCAUAUACAACCUUCCUCCUUGGUUGUGCAUGAAAAAGAAGUUUAUGAUGCUAUCAUUAGUGAUCUCAGGACCACGACAACCUAGUAAAAAUAUAGAUGUUUACUUGAGUCCAUUGGUAGAUGACCUUAAAACUUUGUGGGAAAAAAACGUUAAGACUUAUGAUGCACACUUGCUUGAGGUUUUUACUUUAAAGGUCAUCAUUUUAUGGACAAUCAAUUAUUUCCCUACAUAUGGAAACUUGGCCAAUUGCACCGUGAAAGGAUAUUAUGCAUGUCCAAUAUGUGGAGAAGGAACAUAUUCCCAAAGAUUAAAGUAUGGUAGGAAGAACUUGUAUAUGGGUCACCGAUGAUUUCUUCCACGUAACCAUCCCUAUUGGAGACAAAAAAAGGCAUUCAAUGGUGAACAAGAUUUUAGAAUUCCUCCUAAAAUUUUGAGUGGAGAAGAAAUACUUGAAAAAGUUGAUCUCAUUCCUAUUUCUUGGGGAAAAAUGAAGAUAAAAUCUCUUGAACUGAUGUGAACACAAAUUGUUGGAAAAAAAAGUCCAUAUUUUUUGAGUUAGAAUAUUGGAAAUAUCUUCAUAUCCUUCACAACUUGGCAGUUAUGCACAUUGAAAAGAAUGUUUGUGAGAGUAUUAUUGGUACUUUGUUUAACAUCCCAGGAAAAAAAAAAGAUGGACUUAAUGCUCAACUUGACCUAGUUGAAAUGGGUUUAAGGUCUGAACUUUUCCCAAGAGUUGACUUGAAGUGGACCUAUCUUCGUCCUGCAUGUUAUUCACUAUCCAAACAUAUAUGACAAAAAAUUAUUUUGUCAAACAUUGUCUAAUUUGAAGGUCCCUGAGGGGUAUUGCUCAAAUUUUAGAAAUCUUGUCUUCUUAGAGGAAUUGAAGUUAUUUGGUUUAAGAUCCCAUGACUACCAUGCACUUAUGCAACAACUAUUGCUAGUGGCAUUACGUUUUGUUUUGCUAAAGCAUGUGAAAUAUACUAUAUCAAGAUUGUGUAUCUUCUUCAAUCAAUUAUGUACAAAAAUGGUUGAUGUGCCAAAAUUGGAUGAAGUACACAAUGAGUUAGUGGUCACGUUGUGCUUACUUGAAAAGUAUUUUUCACCUUCAUUUUUUGAUAUUAUGCUUCAUCUAGUAGUGCAUUUGAUAAGGGAGGUGUGACUAUGUGGUUCAGUUUACUUUAGGUGGAUCUACCCAUUUGGGAGGUAUAUGAAAGUUCUUAAAGAAUUGUUCGCAAUCAUAAUUGGCCUGAAGGAUGCAUUACUAAGUGCUAUUUAGCAGAAAAAGCUAUCGUAUUUUGUACUGAAUAUUUAUUAGGGACUCAUGCAAUUGGAAUUCCAAAAGCAACAAUUAUGACAACAAAUUUGGUAGACCUAUAAUUGGUGGUCGUUCUACCAUCAUUGAUCGUAAAUCGUGGUUACAAGCACAUCAUUAUCUAUUAGAGAAUACAACUAUCGUCCAACCAUACACUGAGUAAGAAAAACAUACCUUUAUCUUUUUAUAAUUUCAUAACAUAAUGAUGAAAUCCUAAGUUUGCAUUCCUUGUCUUUAACGUCAUAGGGAACACAUGAAUUGGUUGAGGUCUCAAUACCCUCGAAAAUCUAAUAGACAAAUUUGGUUGCAAGAAGAACAUAUGAGUUGUUUUACAUAUUGGCUUAAAGAAAAGGUAAUCUCUUAGUUUUUAGAAAAUUUUUCAAUAUGUUGAAAACAUCACAAGUUUCCAAUAUGUUUUGAUUAUACAUAUGUUGAAGAGGCUAUCCAUAAUGGGCAAGAUAUUCCCGACACACUUAGGUGGUUAGCACAUGGCCCUACUCUCCAAGUAGUCAAAUAUCCUGGAUAUAUCGUUAAUAAGUGUCGUUACCAUAUUAAGAAACGCGAUAUGACAUGCAUCACCCAAAAUAGUGGUGUUAGCAUUUUAGCAAGGACUAUGCAAAUUGCCAGUUCUAAGGAUAAGAACCUAGUUUGUGGUGAACUUUGCUUUUAUGGGGUCAUUAAUGAGAUAUGAAAUCUUGAUUACAACAUGUUCACAAUUCUAAUUUUCAAGUGUGAUUAGGUUGACAACAAGAAUAGUAUAAAAGUUGAUGAACUCAGGUUCACAUUAGUUGACUUCUCCAAAAUAGGUCACAAAUUGGAUCCAUUUAUUUUAGCAUCACAAGCCAAGCAAAUCUUCUAUGUUGAAGAUCAACUUGAUCCUAAAUGGUCAAUAGUUCUCUCAAUUCCUCCAAAAGAUUUCAAGAACAUAGAAGGACUAGAUGACUUCACCGAUAAUUGCAUGGAACAUCACCCCUUUAUAAGUUCAAUGCCAGAAUUUGAAUCAUUUGAUGCUAUGGAUGAAUCAUAGGCAAUACACAUGAGAGAAAACUGUGAGGGCAUAUGGAUUGAAAAUAAUUAAAUAACAUAUUGUACCCUUGAAUGAGAUAUAAUAAGGCAUUUCACUUAUUAGUUUUCAUGAGUUGCACAUUAACUUAGCUUCUAUAUAUUGCUCAUGAUAUAUCUAUAUAUAUUAAUCAUCCUAAAUUUCUUUCAUGCAUCAUAAACAUAUGUUAUUCAAAGGUACCACUUCAAUCUUCAUUCAACUAUCUUUUUGUUGUCCAUAGAACUAGAUUUAUAUUAUUUUUUAUUAUCAUGUUUUGAUUUUAUGCUCACAUAACUUGAAACUCUCUUUCGUAAAUUUCUUUUUCAUUAAAACUAUAAAUCAUAAUUGAAACUAUGCACUAAUUUAUUUUAUUAUUAUCCUCACAAAUAAAUUCUUCAUUAUUGAUAAGAAAUCAAAAAACAAGACAAACUUUGAAAGAAAAUUUCAAAAAAUAUAUUUGUGAAUGACCAAUUUAAUUAUAGAAAAUAUAUGCAAGGCUAUACUAAUCUUGCUUUUGAGUCAUUUUACAGGUUUGUUGGUGAAGUACUAGUUUGCACAUUGACUUGAUAUCUUCCACACAAAUAUGGAUCUAGAAGAAGGGGAAAUGCCAAAAAUAAAGCAUAGAGGUAGUGCAUUGAAACCAAAGAUUGCAAAAAAUCGAAGUAAAGGGAUAAAACUCAAGAUUGAAUACAAUAGCCUUGGUAGUCACAUUGAGGAAAAUUCAGUUAAACUAAGUAGUUAUCUUAGUACAAUAACAAAAACCCAUGUGCCAAUAAUUAUUGAGAGUUGGAGGAAAGUCCCUAAAGAGACUAAGGAGAAGUUGUGGGAUUUGAUCACGGUAAGCCUAUCUAUAGCUUUAAUAUAUAAUUAUUGUAUACAUUCAUUAACAUGAGCUAACAUGGGUUGCUAUUUUGUAGACAAGCUUUAAUGUGAAUAAAAAAUCCAAGAGGAAUUGUUUCAUACUAAUGGGCAUCAGGUUUCGAACCUUUAAGUACAAGUUGACAAAGAAAUAUAUAUUGUCUUUCAAGAAUGACCAAAAAAGCUGAAAAAGUCACCUCCUAUUUGCCCAUUCAUACAAGAGGAUCAUUGGAGACAGUUUGUUAAAGAUAGACUUUUUGAACAUUUUAACGUUAAGCAUUAUUUUUAUUACAUCUUCAAUUUUCACAUUUACGUAGUUUCAUUAUGUACUAAUUUUGUGUCUAUAUUUUGUAGGAAUAUCGCAAAGUUCAGAAAUCAAGAAGAGAUAAACACAUUUACAAUCAUUAUCUUGGAAGAAAAUGAUAUGCACGUUUUGAGCAAGAUAUAGUAAGUUAUCAAUAUCCAUAAAAAAAAAUGGAGUAUAUAUUUUGUUUAUAGGAAAAUGAUUCUAGUUUUUAAAUAUCAUUUAUUAACUUGAUCAUGUUGAACUAAUGAGUUUUAUUGUUAAAAUUUUUAUAGCUACAAGCAGAAGGGGCUAUUGGUAGGGUUGAUAGAAGUGUUUAUGAAAGAAAACACGUGAGAAGAAAGGAAAGUUUAAUAAGAUUACAAAGCCAAUGAUUAACUAAGUUAGCAUAUUUAUGCCUUUUAGAGCCUAUAGUGUUAGUAUGUCUAUGUGAUUAUGGUUUGGGAUGAUAUCGUUAGGUGUUAAUAGGGAAGAGGCUUAAUGCUAUCAUUUUUAUGAGUAGUCAUGUUAUAUUAGUGCAAAUAUAGUAGCCUAAUUUGAAAAUUAAUUUUGAAACAAUAUACAUUAAUUUAUCUAUUAUCAUUUUUAUUAAAACAAUUCAUUUUCUAGCUACCUUGAAUUGGUCCUCUUGAAUUGGUUGUCUUUGAUUGAUAUGUUAAUCAUCAUCUUCAUCAAAUUAUUACUAAUAUAUGUUUUGUUGUAGGAUGAAUUACUAGAAAAGGCAAGGAGACUAGACUACCUCCACCUGGUCCAAAUGACAUAUUAUGUUAGGCAUUGGGUAAGCUUGAUCAUCUAGGACGUGUGGUAGGUCAAGACCGCUUGGUUAGGCCGAACUCAUACUUUCAUCAACCAUUUGAUGACAUGAAAAAAAAAAUCAAAGAAGAAAUAUGGGAAAUGGUGUGAAAGGGGAUGCAAGAUGCUGUAACAAGACAAACUAUGUCUCCUCCCACACCCCAUUCUGAUAUAGGUAGUAAUAACAUGAGACAACAACUUGUUUUACAACUAGUUGUAGCAAAAAAACCAAUGUUUAAAAUGAUGGAAGAGCCCCAACCACCAUAACCACCACUGAAACGUAAGGUAUACAUUUACUUACUAAUAAUACAAGAUUAAUAUAAGUGAUAUAUAGCCUAUGUAAAUGAUAUUAUUUGUUGUAUUAAAGGUGAUUAAAUAUAAAUUAGCAGUGGAAUGAAAAUGAAAUGUUGUUGCAACCGGUACAUUAAUAGAAGAAAAUUGAUCAAAUGGGUUGGUCGUAAUAAAUGUUGCACACAAGCUAGAUGCUAGACUCCCAUUUCCAAAUCCAUAUGAGAUUAUCAAUGUUGGGGAUGCUAUUGGCCUUAAGCUUGACUGGCCAACAAGCCUUGUCAUACUUGAAACUAAACAUCCUCGGGUAUGUCAUUUUAUACUUGUAGUAAAUUUGAUUGUAACUUGGUAUUUUAUUGUUAGGAGUAUAUAUUACUAACAUUCCUUCAUUUUUCAUAGGUGUUGGAUAAAGGAAAGAAGUAGAUAGUGAAUGCACCAAUUAUUCGAAAAUCUAAGCCUCAAAAUUAUUCGGUCAUUAAAAAUUUCCAGAAAUUUAUGGAUGGUUGUCUUAGUAAUGAGAAGACAUACCCAAUACAGCUCCCCAUUUCACUAUUUGGUGUCGAAUUCCGAACAUAUAUAUCUAGAGAGGAUUGUGAAUACAUUAUUUCAUCUUCAGAAGUGUCAUCAAAAUGCAUCUCCUUCCAUUUAUGGUGUGCACCUUUUAUUUUCAUUUGUUUUUAUUUUUUUUAAUAUGAGUUGCCCAUGUUGAACAAGAUUGGAUAUGACUAAUGAUAAUUUUCUUUUGGUGUUUUGAUAAUAUAAUAGGUACAUGCAUGAUCAACUACAUAUUGCCAAAAAGGAAUCACAAUUUAUAUUUGUUAAUCCUUUUACAAUAUCAUGAGCAGGCUUUAGUAAUCCUCAAACAGAGAAAAGAACACAAUUGUUGUCAAAACACUUAAUAGAGUGCCAAGAUGUCGGAUAUGUUUUCAUGCCCUACAACCUCGAGUAAGUGACGAAUAUUAUACUUUAAUUUGAGGUUUUAUGAUUGAUUUAUAUUUCUAAUUAGAUGCUACUUUUGUUUUUAAUGUUUUAGCUUUCAUUGGGUCUUGGUAGUGAUUGAGCCAAGGAAAAUGAUAGUCCACUAUCUUGACCCUGUGCAUCACAAACCAUGUGAGGACUUAAAGGAUAUCGUAAACAUGUAAGUUCUUCCUAUUAUUUUUCAUAGUAUUAUUUAAAAAAAAAUUACAUUCACCUCAAACACAUUUUUUAUUGUUAUUUCUAUAUAUUAAAGAGAUAAUUUUUUAUCCUACAAUGAUUGCUUCAAAGGUAUUACUUAUUUAAUGAAUUGUACAUAUUUUUAGGCUUUCAAAUGUUAUGCAUUUUAAUGUUAUUUUCUUAUUUGAUUUCAGUUUGGUGAUAAAAAAACAUAUUCUCAAGUAGAAUUCAAUGAAAUUAGAGGAGAAUUGACUACUUUUGUGCUACAACUAAUCAUGAAUCAUGUUGAUGCAUCAUGAUCACCAUGCAUGGUGAGUUCCUUAGCUACUACAUGAAUUUUUCCAUAGAUAUUGUAUAGUAUUGCUUUUCUUUGAACAAUGUUUUUAUUUGAAAAAAAGAAAAAAAAAAGUUCUUAGAUUUGUUCAUUUAUGAUAACAUCGAUCCAUAUUUAUUUUCUUCAAUGAAAUAUAUAAAACUCAUUAAACUAUGAAAUGCAGGUAUACACUCUUAGGAGGGUGGAAUAGAGAAUAAAAAGAACAAAGAAGGCAACAAGAUUUUAGGUUUUUAAAUACAGCUCGUAUGUCAUACGUUGUAGGACAUAAACAUUACUUUAAUUGGUAGUGAGAAUUUUAGAUUUUUAGAUGCUACUUUUAUGUCAUUUUAUAGUUAGUCGAUUUUAUGCUUAUGAAAUGAAGGUAUACAUGAAUCUUGGGAUGCUUCACAUUUCUAAAUCAUGUUUUGGUAUGUAUUCCCUCUUCUUUUUUAGUUUUGGUGGGUUUGAUAUGUUGGAUGUACUAUCUUUUUGUGAACAUUUGAUAUACAAAUAUUAUUAGAUGAUCAAUGUAUUACGAGUUAUUCCAUAAGCAUUACCGAAAAAUGAGUUAAAUGUAAUAUGAUUGUUAUAUUUAUGGAAAAAAUAUACACAGGUUAAUCCUAUUUGUUAAUUCAUAAGCAUUACAAAAAUCUACAACUAAAAGCAAUCAUAUCUUCCACGAUAAUUUACAAUGAUGUGACACCAUAACUCAAAGGUGAUGCAUUUAAUGUGACAUCAUAACUCAAAGAUCAUGCAUUUAAUGCGAUAUCCUAUCAUCACUAGAAAUAUAUGAUGUCACUUUCGAAUGCGUCACCAUUUAUCUACUUUGGUGUCACUUACAAAUACGUCACCAAUUGGUACCCUCUAUGGUGUCAGUGGAGAAGGUGACACUAUGUUGUAGUGACACCCUAUGUUUAUGGUGACUCGUUAUAAAUGUCACCAUAUAUUUUUUUUCUUGUAGUGCAAAUUACUUAUCUUACUAUGCAUUGGGCUUUGAUAUUAGCCAGAGACAGUAGUGGCUCCUAAUUUUUAUCCUUAACUGAAAUGAAAACGUCAAGCAGGUCCCCAACCUCUUUUUCUCCAUUCUUCCACUAUUAUACUAUUUGGUCCAUGAUUGGAUCAUGGUACUUGUUAAUGGUGUUCAUAGCCUCCCUUAUAGUCUUUUCAUGGCCAUCUAAAUUUAGCACUCUCUGCCAUGGGAAGUAAUCAGAUAAAGAGAAUACAUAUAGAUGAGCAAGUAUAGUAAAGAAGGAUUCAACAUGUUGCUCCACUUCAACUCCAGGGCCUCCAUCUUUCUUUCGUUGGCCAAAGUAUCUUGUGUUGAGGAUCAUCUUUCAGAUGACAUUCCCGUUGUAUUGACGGACUUUAUUUCUGUCACACCCCAAAUACUAGGCAACCCAGAACUUGACUCGUGGCCCUAGGUCAAAGGUUUGACCCUAAGAGUUACUCUUAUCCAUGUUGGCAAUCAAUCAAAACACCCUAGAUUUUUUUUCUUUUCAAUAAAGCGUUUAAUCCUAAAUAAAUUUAUUAAGCUAAGAUUUACUAUAACAUAUCAUUUUAUUUUUCCAAAACUAACCAUCACAUUAUCUCAUGUUCACAAGUAUUAAAAAAAUAAAAUUCCACCAAUCAUUUUCCUACCCAAAAGCUCAAAUAUUUACAAUAAACUCUAAGUCAAAAAGAAUAUUUCCAAAAUUUUUUUACAAACUAAUAAAAUAUAAUUUAACUUAAAAAAGUCCAUAUAACUCAAAUUAGUAGAUGUCAAAAAGGUAAUUAAAAAAAAACAACAACCAUUAUUAUAGUUUUUUUGCUUUUUAGAACACUUCAUGAUCUUCUUAUGGUCCCUUAGAAACUAUAUCUGCAUCUAAAAAUUUUAGAAAAAAAAGGGAUGCACAUUUCCACGUUACUCUUUAGACCUAAAUGGGUUAGAAAUUCUAGGUCAAUAAAACACAACCAUAUGCCAAAAUAUAAUAUUACAUUUACAUUAUACACACUAAAAGAAACCUCAACCAUACAAAUUUAAAUCAAUCAAAAUUAUCAUUCUCCUGAUUUAAUCAUAUGUUUAGCAUAUCAAUAAUUUUAAAUUUACAAAAUAAAUAAGUCACUUUAGUCUUGAAUAAUAUAUUCAAACAUACACUUGAUAAAUAAUACAAAUCAUUUUUCCAAAUGCAACCAUGAUACAAAUGCUUACACACAAUCACGCAAUGCAAUAUCGUUCUCGGGCUUUCACCGAAGGAUAUGCAUUUAUACCCAAAUAGACUCCCCAUUCGGAUUCUUCCUGGGAUAAAAUUUUGAGUCUUUCACCCUAAGGAUCUCACUCCCUUCUUAACUCACCAUCUCUAGGGUCUUUCAAUUUCUUAUUUUUCUUUUCUUUUCAUUUUUGCCAUUUUUUGGGUCUUUUCAUUCUCAUUUCCAUUUCACACAACCAUUUCUUUAAUUUUUCUUUUUCUUCACACAAUCAUGAUGCAUAUGAAAUGCAACUGAAUCAUAUUUUAACAUCCAUAAUUUUCCAAGACAUAAUUUUAUUUACUCCCAUUAUGUUUCAUAAUUUCCAAUAAUCCACACAACGAUUUUUCUUCACUUUAAUUGUCACAAACAUAAAAGAAAAUUCACAAUUAAUUUGUAUAGCAUCAAAACAUAGUUUUAAACAUUGACCACAUAAAUUCUAUUUAUUCCCGACAUGCUUAAUAAUUUCCAAAUCCAAUAUAACCAUUUUUUUUCAAUUAAAUAAUCACACAUAUCCAAGAAAAUUCUCGCUAAUACAAAUAUCAAUGAAAAUGUAAUUUAUGUCAUAAUUUAUUUGUCUCUAAUAAUUUCAAAAAUUUUGACACCCAUAUGAAAAAUUUCCACAAUUAAGCCACCCCAACAUUUGGGAAAAUUUUUCUAAUCAUUCAAAUAUCAACAAAAACCCAAUUUAUAUCAUCAUUUUUAUUUAUUUUUAAAAGCAUUAAUAAUUUUAAUAAUCAAUACAACACUUUUCCACAAUUAAGCCACCACAACAUUCUGGGAAAAUUUUCCAAUAAUUCAAAUAUUAACAAAACACAAUUAUACCUUAAUUUUUCUUAUCUCCAACAACAUCAAUAAUUCUUAGUACUCAAUACAACUAUUUUUAUUUUUUCAUAUUUAAUCUUCUCAAACAUUACCAAAAUUCCAAGAAAAAUCUAUAAAUCACGAAAUAAAAGUAUUCACAAUAAUAAUCACACUUCAAAUACUACAAAUAACAUCUAUUAUAUUUCAACAACACAAUAUAUAAAUUUUUUUGAAAGAAAAUAUUAAAUCAAAGUUUUAGGGUUAAAUCACCCUACCUUAAAUUUGAAAAAUUUAACCAUUAAAACUAAAACGGGACACCGUAGGAGUAUUCCUCGCAUUGAAUAGAAUAUCCUUCCAAAAUUUCAUGCGAAAUGGACGUCAUUUGGUAGGUCCAUCAACAUCCUAAAGCUAGCGACCCAUUUUUCCCACUCUUUGCCGACGACUCCCCUACAUCUCUCACUCGAUUUCCUUUCUUCAUUUUCUUUUCUUCUUCUUCUUUUAAACUCCCACGCCAAUUUCACUUUAUAUAUAUAUAUGUAUAUAUAUAUAUAUAUAUAUAUAUAUAUAUAUAUAUAUAUAUAUAUAUAUAUAUAUAUAUAUAUAUAUAUAUAUAUAUAUAUAUAUGUAUGUAUGUAUUAUUAAAACAAAUCCUAAAAUACCACGCACAUCCAUUUCUCAAUAAAUUAAAACCAUUAUUCUUAAAUUCACCUUCCAUAAUUAUGAAUUAUACCAAACUUAUGAUUUUCCAUUUCACGAAAAAUACCACUGUAUUCGUAAUUUAAUUUACUACAAGUCUACUCUUCAAAAAGUAUAAUUUGAUUAUAAUUACAUGAAACAUUGUUUUUUUACUCUAAAAUUCAUUCAAAACAUGAUAUAAUUAACUAUUAACAAAAUUCAAUUCCAUAAAAUAUGAAAAACAUAAAAUAAUUUUUUGGCAAUCAAGAAGUUGAAAUUUGUAAUAACCCUUAACCUGUUAAUUUUACCUAUAUUUAUUUACCAACAAAAAUUUAAAUAAUAUUCUAAAAUUUAAUUCCAUAAAUUAAUUAGUCAUUAAAUUUAUAAAAAUCAAAUUCUCUACCCUUUGGUAUAACUUUCAUUUAAUUUACUUCAUUUUUCAAAUUAUUCAAUCGCAUCAAAAUUUCAAAAGUUAAAUUCACUAAAUUCACAUUUAAUUAAUUUAUCCUUUUCUAUUUUUUUUUUCUAAAUUCGCAUAUCAUAAUUUAAUCUUAAUUUAAUUUUGAUUCAAUUUUGUUUUAUGUUUUCUAAUUUUAUGAGGUUUAAUUUCAAUUAUAAAAAUUAAAUUAAAUUUCUUUUUAAUUAUCCAUUAUCACAAUUUGAUAUAAUAUAAUUUUUUAUCAAGUUUUUCUUACUACGAUUUUUCUUAUAAUUAUCCAAUAAUAAUUAAAUUAAUUCUCGUAACAUAUUUAAUAUUCAAAUUUUAAAAACUUAAUCUCAAUUAUUGGAUGGUUAAUUUUUUUCUCAAAAUCUAAAUUUAAUUUAUGAAAUUCUCACUUCUUACAUCUGACGUGGCAAAAUUUUCAAACUAUUGACUUUUGACCAACUUUUCCUAAAUUUAUCCUAAUUAAAUACUAACACAUGGAUUUUCACCACUCUUUUUGACCUUUUGACCCACAAAUUUAUGAAAGACUUUAUGCUUGGAGAAUCUACAAAAACCUGGGUAUUACAAUUUCUCAGGUUGAUAACUGUCGUGGUUACGAAGCCACCACUUGAAUACUCAAUUGCCAUUGUAAUGGGCCUGGAUGCAAAUAGUACAUCAUGUUUCUUCAAAAGUUCUCUGCUAAUCUCUGGGAAAGUCGUAGGGACGAGAUGAAAUAUUUCCCAAUUGAAUACAUGCAAUUUCAGUGUUCAUUUCUUUCAUAAAGCCAAUGUAUCCACCAGAAAGUUGGCUUUUUGUUGAGUAAAUGAGGUAGAUAUUGCACUAGUGGCCCUGGAGCUAAUCCUGGAGGAAGUUGUAUCGGUUUGCUUUUGGUACUUGUUUUGGAUUUUAAUUUAGUGAAGAUGAGAAAGAUUAAUGUGAUAAAAAGCAGUAAGAGGAAGUUGAGAUGAGACAACACAUCGUCUGUGGUAGUAGAAGAAAACAAGGUUGAGUUACUGCUAUUACUCCCUGCAACAAAACCAUUUACAUGUCUUUUAUAGCAAAACCAUGUUUGUCCUAUCUUGGGUCUGGAUGCACAUUUUUAAUAUUGGGGAAAUCAUGCAACCAAAUGUCACACACAAAGAGAGAGAAAAAAAUACGUUUUUUAGAACUUGGAAAGGUAAAGUGGGACAAAAAAUAUUAUCCAUUCUUGAACUCUAAAAGUAAAGUUAUAAAAAGCUUAGUUUUUUUUUUUUUUUGUUAUGUAUGAUUGCAUGAUUUCCCCCUUUUAAGAUUUUAUCUCAUAAAAUUUUUUUCUAGAAAGUUCAAAUAAGUUUGAUGAAUAUUGUUUAUUUUAGUAAUUUUAAUUUUAUGGGGUACUUAAAACAUUAGAAGUUCACAAAAAGCAACAUUUAUCAGCUACCUAUCUAAAAAGCUUGGCCUAAUCAUUGAAAUCCAAAAUAUAAAGUGACAACACACUUUUUAAAGCAAUUUUCAAAAUAGUUUUUAAAAACACAUUUAUUUAUGAUAUUUUUAAAAUAAAAAUCUCAAAAAUAACUUGUUUAUAUAGCGUUUUAUUAGACAAAUACUUGAUCUUUAUAAGAUCACCCUAAUUAUAGAUUUAUGAACAUGUAACACAACAAUUAUCUAUAUAUAUACUUAGAAUUAUUAUAUUUUAAGUUUUUAACUACAUAGGACAUCAUGAGUUUUUCCACCAUUUAUCUUAUAAUAAGUUUAUUUAAAUAUGAUAAAGGAUAUAUUAUCUCAUUUCUUAUUAUAUCCGAUGCUAUAUAUAUAUAUAUAUAUGUAUGUAACAAAUCAAAUACAAUUUAAAGAUUUUAAUUAACCAUCUAUUAGCAACAAAGCAAUCUCUUAAUCUCAUUCAUAAUAUUAGGAUAAUUUAGUAUUUCCUUUUAUAAAACACUAGCAUAUAAAUCAACACAAAUCAUAUUAAGGGUGUAUUUGGUGUUGAUUUUAGGAAGCAUUUUUAGUAUUUCUAAUACUUGAAAGAUAAAAAUUUUCAAGUUUUAGAAAGAUCAAAAGCGCUUUUUAGAAUGACUAUCAAAUACAUGCUAAAUAUUACUUUUGGAUACUUAUAUUUUUAAAUAACUCUUAAAACUUUUAAGGCAAGUCUCUACUAUUUAUAUAAAUCCCCUAUUAUUUUUAAUUUUUAGAAACAAAAAAUAAAGAAUAGAAACUCCAUUUAAACAUCACCUUAUUAUUUCCUAUUAUAAAAUAACACAAAUCAAAUGAAUUAUUUAAAAAUAAAUAAAUAAAAAAUCAAAGUUGAAGAGAAAAAACUCUUGUGCAUUAAAAAAACAUCAAAAUAAAUAAAUAAAUAAAACAUCAUCAAAUAAAUGUAAAAAUAAAUUAAUGUUAUGGAAAAAUGAGAAUAGGCAACAAGAAAAUAAGAACACAGAUUUACAUGAAAAAUGCUAGACGGGAAAAACCAUGGAUAGAGGAGAAGAAAAUCCACUAUAUUAAAAAUUUGGUAUAAAAUGUGAGAGAAUCAAGCGAGUAUUGUAUAGGCAUAAUCACUAUGACCCUAAAUCCUAUACAUCAUUGCAUAUGUAUGGUGUAUGCGAUAAUAAAAAUAUUGUCACAUAAAAUAACUAUGGGAUGUAAUAUUUGUAAUAAUAUUUUUUACAAAAAAAUAUUUUUUCUUUGCUUUAUUCACUUUGAUCACAACUUGAAAUAAGACAAUAAAAAUAUUUUCUUAAUUUUUGAAAAUUAAUUGAGGACUUAGAGCUACUUGUUACUGAGUGAAUUUGCUGAAUGGUGAAGAAUGCGUGUAUAGUAGUUUUGCAAUUUUUCAAACUUAUAGACAUAUUUUGUGAAGUCUUUUUCUCUUUGUAAAGCCCCAUUUUCUAUGUGAAGUUAUUUUUUCAAUAUUCUCUUUGGAAGGAAUUUACCAUUAGUUAUAUAGGUAAGAUUAAGGAAUUAAAUUUGGAAUUCUUAACAUUUGAUUGCUUAAUUCAAAGAAUUUGGUUCAAGGGAAAUUUGCCAACAAAAUAAUAUUUAUUUUUAAUUCUAUGAUGACUUUAAUUAUUUGAUAUAAUUUUAUUUUGAAAGACUUGAUGUGGGGGACUCAUCACUUAUUGAGUCCAAAUUUUGUUGCACCCAAAUUUUUAUGAGCUAAGAAACCAUAAUUUUAAAGACCAAUUCAGUGGUAAGUGAAUCUGCUAAAAUCUUCUAUGUACAAAUGACCUCACUUCAAGGUGCAACACAUACAUGUAUUAUUAUGUGUAUGGGAUGAGUCUUGAAGUUAGUCUUCAUUCUUCUUUGAUUUUUUUCUUCAAAUAAAUAAAUAAAACAUCAUCAAAUAAAUGUAAAAAUAAAAUAUGUAUCGGUUAAUUGGAGAGGAGAGCUUUAAGGGCAUUUCUUCUAUGAAAUUCUAUGCUCCACGUACCAUAAAUUUGUACUCAACCAACAAAAUUACAGAAUGGGUCCAUGCACAAACAAAAUAACCCAAAUGUAAAUAUCUAAAAAUGUAUAAAGUUCACAAUAGAUAUUCAAGCCCAAAUUUAAAUUUCAAAUUAGUCCAACAGAUUUCAUCAAUCAAAAUGGGUCCAAAUUAGCAAAUAUAACCCAACAAAAAUAUCUCAUAUGUCAUAGGCCCUAAUUUAAAAUUUUCAAAUUAAUAGCCAAAAUAUAAGUUCAAUUAAUCAAACCCAAAACAUGAUAAAUUAAAAUAAAUCUCAUUAGGCCUAAACUUAAUAUCCUAUAAUUCAAGCCUAAUUUAAUAUAUAAACCUAAAUCCACAAUCAAAAUCAACCCAAUUUAUGCUAAUCCCGAUUUACAAUCAAAAUCAAACAUAAUUUAAUAAGUAAAUAACUAAAUAAAUUAAGCAAACUCAAAACACCCAAACCACUACAACAUAAAUCAAACAAUAAUAAAUAUAAUGACAAUAAUAAUAAUAAAAAAUAAAAUAAAAUAAAAUAAAAUAAAAAUAAAAAAUUUAACUCAUGUCGGAGCCAGUUUGAAUGUCUUGGGAAAGAAAGAAAAUGAGAGAAAAGUGAGAGAUGAUUGACAACUGACAGUGGCUCAUUGGCGGCGACUGGCUAGUGGUCCUACCGAUGGUAGUGAGGAUUGAUUGGUUUUUGGGAAAAAAAAUAAAAUGAAGAAAAGAAAAUGAGGAGUAAUAAAAAAAAUGGAGAAAUGAGAGGAAGGUGGGAGAAGAAUGGAGAGAGAGAACGUAGAAAAUGAGUGAAAAGAAAUGAGGCUAGUUGGAGGAGGAAGUGAUAGUGUGUGAGCUAAAGUGAAGAAGAAUAGAAGAAGAAAAUGGAGAAGAAUGGGGAAAAAAAAAUCCGCCUCCCUAAAUGAAGAGAGGUGGGUAGCCUAAAGAAGAAGAAAAAAUAAAAUAAAAUAAAAUGGGGAGAAAAUGAGAGGGGGUCAGUGGUCUUGCGAAUGAGGUGGUAUGCGUUAGAGAGAGAGAGUGGGUGGGGUUGUUGGGGAAGGUAUGAGAGAGAGAGGAGAGAGAAAAGAAAAAAGAUAAUAUAAAAUAAUAAUAAUAAUAAUAAUAAUAAUAAUAAUAAUAAUAAUAAUAAAAUAAUAUACAAAAUAAUAAAAACUAAUAAUUAAAUAGUGAGUGGGCAAAAAAUAUCAUAUGAAAUCGGGAUUUAAUUUUAAGAGUAAAAUUGGGUUAAAAAUUAAUGUAAAAUAAAAUUGGGACAAAUUUUGGGGUAUACAAUAAUGCGCGCCUCUUCGAUAGAGUCCACGACUAAAGCAAGUGUAUAUGUGAGCAAAACAAAGUGGGCUCUACUGAAAAACAAGAAAGACCACCAAAUUUGUCUUAAUAUGACAUGAACUCUCCCAAAAAAAAAAAAAAAAAAAAAAAUCUAAAACCCUACAAAAAUGGCUAAAACGGAAAUUCCUAAGGUGCCUCUAAAGUUAUACUAUGGAUCUAGACUCCCUUAGAAAAGCCUCCAAAAAUGGCCCAAAAAUCGGUGUCAAAAUCGAGUAGCAAUCAGACCACUAAGGAGCACAUGAACGAAUGCAUACAAAGGGAAAAAAAACCAUACGUGUACCAUACGAUGACAAAAGGCAUAAGGUAUCCAACAAUAUGACUGAUUCACGUGUUACGAGCUCAAAAAACUUUGUCAUGCACCAUGGAGGAAGGGAAACUCUAGAAUAAUGUGAUGAGGAAGUUAUUAGCACAAUGUAACAGAGUGAGGAAAAAAGUGAUGAGUGCAAAGCUGUGAGGACAAGGUGCACAAUGCUAAUGAAUAUGAAAUGAAUAGCACUAGGCUACAAUGCAAUCAAUAGCUCAGGGUUGUACCAUAAUGAACAAGUCAAGGAUGUGUAAAGAUGAGGAACAACUCAAGGUUGUAAUGCAAUGAACAACUUAGGGCUGUGAAUGCAAUGAACAACUCAGCGCAAUGAAUGAAAUGAAUAGCUCAGGGCUGUGAAUGCAAUGAACAACUCGAGGUUGUGGAUGUAAUGAACAACUCAGGGUUGUGGAUGUCAUGAACAACUCAAGAAUAGGGGCACUGUACACCCAAAAUGGGAGAUCACGGCCUACGAUUCCAAGUCAAACCACUAAAGGGUGACCAAAAUGAGGGUGAUCAACUCACUAAAAAAGAUGAUAAAAAUGUCUUAAGGGAGAGGAGAUGCCCCAUAUGAAACUUAAAGGAAAUGAGUAGUGCUAAUGAAACUAAAAAAAGAAAAAAUGUCACAACUGAAAUUGAAAAAAUAGCAAACUUAGAUUAAAGUGCAAUGAACAACUUUGGGCUGUGGAUGCGAUGAAUAGUACCGUGUUGUAAUGAAAUGAAUAACUCUAAGAUAUGGGCAUUGUACGCCUAAAGAGGGAGAUCGUGGUUUACGACUCCAAGUCAAACCACUAAAGGACAACUAAAAUAAGAUGAUCAACUUACUAUAAAUGAGAAUGCAACUAUCUCGAGAAAAAGGGUAUGCCCCAAAUGACACUCAACAGUAAAAGAAUGACACAAAUGAAACUAAAACAAGAGGAUGCCACAAAUGAAAUUGAAAUGAUAACAGACUCAGUACUAAUGUGUAAUGAACAACUUUGGACUAUGGAUGCAAUGAAUAGCACUGGGUUGUAAUGAAAUGAACAACUCUAAGAUGUGGGCACUAUACCCCUAAGAAAUGAGAUCAUAGUUUACGACUCUAAGUCAAACCGCUAAAGGGCGACUAGAAUAGGAUAAUCAACUCACUAAAAAUGAGGAUGCAACUAUCUCGAGAAAGGGGGUAUGCCCUAAAUGACACUCAACAGUAUAAGAAUGACAUAAAUGAAACUAAAAUAAGAGGAUGCCACAAAUAAAACUAAAAUGAUAACAAAUUCAAAACUAAUGUGCAAUGAAUAACUCUAGGUUGUGGAUGUAAUGAACAACACUGGGCUGUAAUGAAAUGAACAACUCUAAGAUGUGGGCACUAUACGCCUAAAGAGGGAAAUCACGGUCAACGACUCCAAGUCAAACCACUAAAGGGCGAUUAGAAUAGGAUGAUCAACUCACUAAAAAUGAGAAUGCAACUAUCUCGAGAAAAGCGGGAUGCCCUAAAUGACACUCAAUAGUUAAAGAAUGACACAAAUGAAACUAAAAUGAAAUGAUACUACAAAUGAAACUGAAAUGAUAACAAACUGAUAACUAAAGUGCAAUGAACAACUCUAGGCCGUGGAUGUAAUGGACAGCUCAAGAAUAGGGGAACUGUUCGCCCAAAAUGGGAGAUCGUGGUCUACGACUCUAAGUCAAACCACUAAAGGGUGGCUAAAAUCAAAAUGAUCAACUCACUAAAAAUAAGGAUCUGAACAUCUCAAGAAAGGGGUUAUGCCCCAAAUGAAACUGACAAUAGAGGGAUGCCCUAAACAGACUGAAGAAAGGAGGAUGCCCUAAACAAACUAACGAAAAAUGGAUGCCCUAAACAAACUGAAGGAAGUGAAAUGCCCUAAAUAAACUGACCAAAGAAGAAUGCACUAAACAAACUCCGAGAAAAAAAAAAAGAAGUAUGCGAUAUAGAAUAAAAAACACCUAAAGCAAAAACAAGAAACAAAGAAUGUGGUUUACAACUAGAAACACCCAAAAGAACCUUAAAGAAGUGACUGGGAUAAUGAACUUAAUGAAAAUAGGGUAUGCCACAAUAAAAGACUCGGAAGUAUCAGCAAAUGGGUCAAAUGACCAUGAAAUCAAUAGGAGAUAUGAUGAACCCAAAAAGGGCGUAUGCCCCAACAAAAGAACACUAAAAGGGGGGUAUGCCCCGAUAUGACGACUCACAAUAAUUAAGAAAUGGAUCGAGUAAUGAGAAAAUCUGCAAAAUAUCUUAUGAACUCAAAGAUGGGGGUAUGCCCCAGUGUAAAAUAGUGACCAACAUAAGACACAGAAUGUCACCAUACAAUACACUCUGGGAUAUGCUCAAUGACAAUGUAAUGAAAACAAUAGCCUCAAUCAACAAAUGUUCAAGCAAGACCAUGCAUCACAUAAACUAAAAUAAUAGGCUAAAGAAAUGCUAACCAAGUUUCUCAAUCUGAAAUGUAAGCAAGUCAAGACAUGACAUGUCAACCAUCGACAUGAAAACAUCAUCACAAAUACAUCAACAAACUAAUAGUCCCUACUAUCAUGGAAAAUGUAGAACCUAACGUCCAAAGGCAUGUGAAAACUCAACCAGAAAGCUCAAGACUAGUUUGCAUCCUCCUCUAAUAAAAAGAAUGAGAUAAGGUCAUGUAGGAUGAUGAAAUAGGCAAGCUCAAUAUUCGUUAGGCUCUACCAAGAUGGAUGUAGGUAUAAUAGUGUCAAAGGUAGGAUGUCUAGAUGUCCAACGAAGGAAACUGGGUAUCCAAGUCAAACCAAGUAUGUUGAGGAAACUGAACCCAUAGGAUAAUAACUUUAUGAUCCAUUGAAAAUAGCAAUCAUGAAUAGAAGGUCGAGUCUCGAUGUCAAAAUCAACAAGGUGGCAUUGCCCCAGUAUGAAUACAUCUUCUCAAAAUGGGUAAACCCUCAGUGCAAGAUAAUCUCUAGAAAGUAUGUGUCUAAUAUAAACUGUCAUCUCACAAAAUCUAUCACUGAUCAGUGGGCUAUACCCCAGUGUAAGCAUUUCCAAAUCAAACAUCGAUGAGAGGAGUACAACCAAUCAUACACAAUAUGAUCAAAACAAAUCUCCACUCCUCAAAGUCAUCAUGGUAAUGUGAAGAGAGUAUCUAACCUCAUUUAAAGAAAGAUCAUGUCCCAAUGUGAAAAAUAUCAAGCAAAGUGGUAUGUCUCAACAAAAAUGCACUCUAACAUGAUCAUGCCUAGAUGUAAGAUGGUAUCUUUAAGAUUAAUCACCAAUGAAAGGGUUAUGCCCCAGUAUAGGGCAAUCUCUUAAACGACUAAAAUCCACUACAAGCUCUCACAAGUGUCUAUGUCAUGAACCAAUCAUCUCAAAAAAUAAAUAAAUAAAUAAAUAAAUCUAUCAACAAUGAUGAGAAGGUUAUGCUCGUAUAAUCACAUCAAGAAAAUCACCCGGUCAUAUCUUGUAUUCCAAUGUGAAAGGAAAAUAUGAUCACCUCCAAAGAAUGGCUAUGCCCCAAAAUACAUCAUCGAUUGAGAAAUAUGCCCCUACGUAAAGUACAUCAACUGAAAUAUGCCAAUCAUGCCUCAUGCUCCAAUGUGAAAAAUGACGUAUAAUCUUCUUUGAGGGAUGGUCAUGACUCAAAAUCCAUCAUCAGUUGAGAGAAGUAUGCCCCGACAUAAUGGUCAUCUAAAAAAUCAAUCCCCGACUAAGAAAUGUGUGCCUUGAUGUGAUGUAUCAAGCAAAAUGGCUGCAUACCCCAUAAAAAACUCUCUAAGGUGGCUAUGCUCCAAUGUUGGAUCAUACCACAACUCCUGGUCGAUCACAAUCAAAAUGCUCUCCAACCAAUCCCAAGUAUCGCCCACAUGAGAGCUAUCAAACACAAUGUGUGAUGUCAUGGCCUCAAGGUGGUCUUAAGAUUCGGGACGUAACGUAGGCUAGGGUAAUAAGGUGAAGAAAUGAAGGAAAACUAGGCUUAAUAAUCCUAAUGAUAAAACCCCAUACCCUUAUGUAUAAAAUGCAAUAUGUGCAAAGAGUCUCAUAAACCAUGGAUCUAAGGACACCCAAUAUGAAUAUAUCAGUGAGGAAGAAAGAAUCUAAGAUGAAUAUAUCAAUGAUAAAAGAGAAGAAAUGAAGAAUAUCAAACUGUUGAUGGGAUGUAUAAGAAUGAUGUGUGGAAAAUAUUGAACAUGGAAUGUAAAUUGAUAUGAACAAAGAACAAUGUAGGCAAGGCAAAUGCGAUAUCAUGAUAAGAACAAAUAAAUCGAAGAAAAAUGAAUGAACACUAAUCCACUCAAAUCAAGUCAUGGAGAAUAGUCAAAUCACCAACGUAUGUAAUGAUGGAGAAGACAAUGAUUCGAAGUCCCUAGGAAAAUGUCACUUGUUUGUCACACAUAAAAUACAUAACAAGAUAGACACAAAAAUAUGAGAGUCUUUUGAAAGUUCACGUACGAACUUUCAUAAGCAACUAACUCAAUAAAGCAACCUCAAUGACCAAUAUAUACACUCAAUAAAGGAUGACACUGUAUACAUGUGUUUAUUACUUUUUCUUUUUCAUUUUUUUCAUUUUUUUUUUCAUUUUUUUUCUUUUACUCACGCAUACUCUGAAUAUCAAUAAAUGAACUUCUCUAAGAAUACAUAAUGAAAUGGAUAUACUCUCAAACAAUGAUGUAAGCGAACUCUCUCUGACAAGAUGACCCUCUAAAUUAAGGAUUUUCGAACUAACGUCCAUGAGAUAGGAGUGGAAGGGGAUAUGACCAUCCUCCUUGCAUCGAAAUGUGAAAAAUCAUCACUCAGGGCACAAAAAAAUGUGAUGAAAAAAAAUAAAAAAUGAAACAAAAGAUAUAAACAAUGGAGUAUGAUGAAGACUGAUGUUGGGAAGACAAAAAAAUAGUGAAGAAGGUGAGCCAAUAAGUCCACAACUCAUGAAACUCUCGAAUAAAAUAUAUAUACACCAAAAGACCCUUAUCCCAGUAUAAAAUGUGAGCAAGGAUAUAAGAAAGAAAAGACUAUGGUGCUCAUGUGAGGUUCAAAGGGCUAGCAACGGUCCAAAUGUCAAUAAAGGUAAUAGGGUGUGAGCUAACCAAAAUGAAGGCCACCUAUGAUGGUCUGAAACAUCAUGCUCUUAAGCUUUCAAUGAUCAAUACUGAAAAUCGAUGUCCAUUUGAUAUAAACACGUCAACCCUUUGGAAUUGUGCGCCAAACCAUACUCCAAAUGCUCCAUAAUAAUCUCAAAGAUAAUCCUCUCAAAGCACAAUAAAUAGCGAUCUCAUAAGGCACAACUACUCAUCACAAGCCAACUCUCAUCAUGCAAGAUCAAUCUCUAUUUUCAUGGAAAAAUAAGUGACAAUCUCAUCAGGCAAUUGACGAAUCCUCACAUCGUAAACCAACCAAAGAUCAUAAGUCAUUCAUUGCCAUGCAAGAUCAAUCCCAAGCUCAAACUCCUCAUACUCUACCUGGUUGGAUUAGAGAAGAAAUGGGCAAAGCUAGAAAAACUGAAGAUGGAAAGGUCAUAUAAUGGUGUCAAGGGUGAUGUUGUGCAAAACUCACAAUGGAUGGAUGUAGGUCAAAGCAAAGUCAAUGUGUGAGAGUGAGUAAGACACCACUCUGAUCAUAAGAAGAUGAGUCACAAUCUCAAACUCCUAAGGUCAAAUCUCCGAUCCUAGGCUAAUAAGCUCAACAUCCUCCAUGAUAGGUCAACCCCCAAGAUCACAAUGUGCAAAUGAAUAGAUGCCUCAAGUCAAAAGUACAACACAUCAUAUGAUAUAUGGUCCUACGAUGACAAUCUAAAACUGGAAAUAUGUUACAAACUCUAAGGUCAUAAAGGUGUCCACUGUGAGAUGACUACAAAUGUGACUAAGGAAUCUUUAUCAAUAAUCCAAAAAAUGAAUGAGGUGUGAAAAACAACACUAUCAUGAGAUCGAUACCCCAUCAAUAACAAAAUAUCUCUAAUUCACUUUCAAUCUAAGCUCUAUAAAGAAAAACGAUAAGGUUAUAAAGGCAAACCUCUCAAAAAUGGUGUGAAUGUGAAAACAUGUCUUCACCUUUCUAUAAUGAAAAUAUCAUGUUGAAAAUAGAAAUAGGCAAAUCGACCAAAGAAUGAAGUACGGAGCCCAUGACAAGUGAAGAAUGUAAAAAGGUGAACAUGAUCAAUGAACAUAUCCCAAAACAUCAAGCAUAAAGUGGCAACAAACCGAAAGAAUGUGUCAACUUAAGAAAAGAAGACUAUCUGAAGCCCUAGGGAGAAAGUGUGCUAGACUCAAGGAGCGACAAGAAGAAACUAAAACCAUAUAGCAAGGGGUGGUCCAACUGAUACUCAAACUCGUACCAAUAUCUAAGCACUCUCGACUGGAGACCAAAAGAUGGAGUAUUGGAUCCAUAUUGUGACUAAAGUGGCCUCGAAGGCUCUAAGAUGCACCCACGUGUAGGAAAGGAAAUCCUAAUAAAAAUAUCUAAGGCUUAACCUACAAGGUCAAGGCGGCUAUAAAAAGAAAAAUUGAGUGGACUUUAAAGGAUCCCUAGCAAAAGCGAUCAUACCCUCCAAUGGUACGCAACCUCCUACACGUCUUGAAAUAUAUGGGAGUAAUUCCAUGCAAGGUGGUCAUCACCUCCACACAUGCACUAGCUCAUAUCCUAGAGGGUUUCCUAAUGAUGAAGACUCUUACAUCUCUCAACACUUAGUGGUAAUCUAAGGUGCACAGUGAACGGUGUGGGUUCAUCCAAAAAUCAUAUCAAGCUAAACAAAGAGAAAACACAUUGGUCACACAAAUAUCCUGAAAUCUAGCUCUAACCUAUACAAGUCUUCAAAGAUUGGACUCCAAUUAGCAUUAAUGUUUCGACCUUCUCCAGAAUGCUCCCAAACAUAGAUAUAGUCCAUCACUAAACCCUACUCCGAAUCACUAGCUCGGUCGAAGAGCAAACAAAGUAAUAAGUCUCAUAUCAAAUACGAGAUCAAGGGGAACACGGUCACCCGAGACUAGGGAAUUGAAGGUAAGGAGAUAGGUGUGUGUCCCACAUAGAAAAUCAACAUGCAUUACACAGAAGAAGAAUAGUCAUGCAAUAGACAACCAAGCAAAGAACAGGUAUAUCAUUCAUAUCUACACACAAGCUAAACAAGAAAUAGGUAUUUAACAAGAAUAAACAAUAUGUUGAGAUAAACAAGAUAAUAUACAAUAAAGAGAAUCAAUCACACCAAUAUGAAUGAGAUAUACAAAAAUGAGAAUAUACAUGUCAAGGAGAGCAAGAUAAUCAUACAACAAGAAGAGUCUUAUGUUAAAGCAAGCAAGAGAAUCAAUCGAUGUAGUCAACAUGUCAAUAUCGCAAAUGAACAUAACAACCAAAUAUGCAUCAUAAAGAAAAAAUGGUAAUCAUGCAGCACGUAGUCAUACAAAACAAAUAUAGACAAACAUAAGCAAAUAAAUGUAAACACACAUGAUAACAAAAAUCAAUGUAUAGUAAGGCACAUGCAAUAUAUACAUAAAAUAAUCAUCAAGUCAACACUCAUAUACCUUAAAACAUGAAAAUAUACAAUAAAGACACAAUGAGAGGGUAUUCACUGAUCGAUUAAUCAAACGCUACAUUUCCUUUAACUCGAGUUCAAGUUUGAUCCUUUAAAUAUCCCUAGUGGAGUCGCUAUUUUGUGGACCCACAUUUUUCAAAUGCGUCCUUACACAACAGCGAGACUCAUUUUUUUUAUUUGGUGAAAAUUUGAUUUUUAGAAAAAAGACUUUGAGUCGUCACUUAUUUUUGUUUUUUUUUAAGGGAAAACAAAACAAGAAAGAAAACCUUGUGUAACUCCUUAUUUGGGAAAGACAUGUAUGCAAAAACCAAAUCUGGUUUCGGGGGUCAAGUUACCUAUUGGGAAUGUACGAUGGUGAGCUGUAGCACCUCUCUAAGCUCAUAUACGUACAGUCUCUACUAAACGAAUUAAGAGAGUUGUAGUAAUUAAUUAAUUAGUCAAGGAUACCAAGAAAAAGAAUCGCACAAAUGAGUACGUACAAAUCAUGAUAAAAAAAAUCAAAUUAUAAGAAUAGACAAAAUAAAUAACAAGAGAAUUGUGCAAAGUGAUUUAUUAAACUAAAUAAAAAAGAAGAUAUUAAAAAAAUUAGUUUUCAAGAAAUUUCAAAGGAUUUUAUUAAAAUGAUUUUGAAUUAAUGAUUUUAAUUUAUUUAUUUACAAAAAAAAAAGUCAAUUUAUUUUCUUCAAGUGAUUUGAUUCAAUUUUUUUUAAAAAAAAAAGUUAUUUACACUCAUGGUUGUUAAAAGAAUUAUUAACAAAAUUUCAAGUUGACAAUAAAAAUGAUUUUUACUUGCUUUUACUCGAAAACAAUGAAUUUUUACAAUUUUAUUAACAAAAGCAUUUCAAUUUAAGAAAAGUGACUUAAACAAAUUAUUAAAAAAAUAUAACUUUAUCUACAAAAGAAUUUUUAAUUAAAAAGAAAAAAUUUAAAUCAUCUAUUUCUAAAAAUGACUUUUAAUCCCAUUUUAAUUAAGGAAAAUUGAGUUAUUUAAAAAAACAUUUUUUGGACAAUUUGAAUAAAAAUUAAUUUUUGGGACAACUUAUUUACAAAACAAUUUUUGGACAAUUAUUAUUAAAAACAAAAUUUCAAAUUCGAUUAAAAACAAUUUUUUGGAUUUUUCCAAACACAUUUUUAUGAAUUUUUAUUAAUAAAAAACUUUUUUUUAUUAAGAAGAAUAUUUUUUGAGCUAUUAUUUUAUUAAAACAUGUUUAUUGAAUUAUUCUUCUUAUUCAAACAAAAUUUUUAAUUUGUUCGAUAUCCAAUUCUGUACACAACAAGUAAAUAUAUACAAACAAAUAUUUAUAGAAAGCAAUAAAAAUAAAACCAAAUAGAAGUGAGAAAUAAAACAUGUACUUAAACAUGCUUACAACAAGCUCAAUGUCUUCUUACGAUUUUUCGAGUCUCACUUUCUUUCAUUAAAUUUUAUGCUCCACGUACCAUAAAUCCGUACUCAACCAAAAAAAUUGCAGAAUUGGCCCAUGCAAAAACAAAAAUAACACAAAUGUAAAUAUCUAAAAAUGUAUAAAGUUCACAAUAGAUAUUCAAGCCCAAAUUCAAAUUUCAAAUUAGUCCAACAAAUUUCGUCAAUCAAAAUAGGUCUAAAUUAGCAAAUAUAGCCCAACAAAAACAUUUCACAUGUCAUAGGCCUUAAUAUAAAAUUUCCAAGUUAAUAACCAAAAUAUAAGUUCAAUUAAUCAGACCCAAAACAUGAUACAUUAAAAUAAAUCUCAUUAGGCAUAAACUUAAUAUCUCAUAAUUCAAGCCUAAUUUAAUAUAUAAACCUAAAUCCACAAUCAAAAUCAACUCACUUUAUGCUAAUCCCAAUUUACAAUCAAAAUCAAACAUAAUUUAAUAAGUAAAUAACUAAAUAAAUUAAGCAAAAUCAAAACUCUCAAACCACUAUUGCACAAUAUCAAACAAUAAUAAAUAUAAUGACAACAACAAUAAUAAUAAAAUAAAAUAAAAAAAUUUAACUCACGUUGGAGCCAGUUUGAGUGUCGUGGGAAAGAAAGAAAAUGAGAGAAAAGUGGGAGAUGAUCGUUAGCUGGUAGUAGCUCGCCCGCGGCGACUGGUCGAUAGUCCUGCUGGCGGUAGUGAGGAUUGAUGAAUUUUUGGGAAAGGAAAAAAAAAGAGGAGUAAUAAAAAAAUGGAGAAAUGAGAGGAAGGUGGGAUAAGAGGGGAGAGAGAGAAUGAAGAAAAUAGGGGAAAAGAAAUGAGGCCGGCCGGAGGAGGAAGUGGUAGUGUGUGUGAGCUAAAGUGAAGAAGAAUGAAAGAAGAAGAAGGAGAAAAAUGGGAAAGAAGGGGAAAAAAAAUUCGAGCCCUCUAAAUGAAGAAAGGUGAGUAGCUUAAAGAAGAAAAUAAAAUAAAAUAAAAAAAGAAAAAAUGAGGAGAAAAUGAGAGGGCCAGUAGUCUUGGGAAUGGGGUGGUAUAGGUGAGAGAGAGUGGGCGAGGUUGUUGGGGAAGGUAUGGGAGAGAGAGGAGAGAUGAAAGAAAGAGAAAAAAAAAACAUAAUAAUAAUAAUAAUAAUAAUAAUCAUAAAUAAUAUAUAAAAUAAUAAAAAUUAAUAUUUAAAUGAUGAGUGUGUCAAAAAUAUUAUAUGUAAUUGGGAUUUAAUUUUAAGAGUAAAAUUGGACUAAAAAUUAAUGUAAAAAUAAAAUUUGAACAAAUUUUAAAAUCUACAAAUACAUUCUUUAAUCUUUCCACAACAUCAAUCUGAUCUAAAUGAAAUGCAAUAAAUUCUAAAAAUGAUACAAUCUUUAAUCAAUCCACAAUAUCAACCCGAUCAAAACUCAAUGCAAUAUUGCUUAAUGGAGAGAAUCGUAAAAUCCUUUUAUGAGAGGAAAACAAAACCCUUAACAGACCUUUAUGAGAGGAAAAUAGGAAAACAUAGAACUAAAAACCCUUAACGUAUUCAUGAGAAUAAAAAAAAUCCUUAACACCUUAAUAAGAGGAAAACAAAGAAUUUGAACAAUCCUUAAUCCAUCAAAAGCUCUUAAUAUGAACGAGGGGAAAACAUAACCUUUAUUUUUCAUAUCGCUGAAUACAGAAUCUAAAGAGAUAGAAUUUUUAGUUAUUAAGGAUUUUUUAUAGAUGUCUAUUGAAAGUUUAAGAACUUUUAUGGAUAAUUGUUAAUUAAGAGACUGAAAGGGUACUUAGGAUUUUCAACUAAAAAAGUUAUAACAAUAUGAAUAGUAAGAACUUAAAAACAUCACCCAUCCAUCAUAGGAAUAUGGAAUGAGAGGUUAUUUUUUUACUUAUACAACAAUAAACUUUUUUGGAAGAGGUUUUUCUAAGUACAAAAAGUUAUGAAUAAAAAACCAUUGUUACGAUGAGUUAACUAAAAUAGAAUUAAUUUAGAAAAUAUCAAUAAAGUUGCAUGAAUUAUUAUCAUGAGUUAACUUAAUAAGAAUAAAUAGUAAUAAAGUUAAUGAAGUGAAUUUGGAUUGGCAGAUAUAUUUGAUGAUAAGAUUUUUUUAAUAAUAAAAAAUUAUUAUGGCAGGAAAAAUAGGACAAAAUUGACCUUAUGAUAAGAUUUUUUUAAUAAUAAAAACAUUAUUAUGGUAUGAAAAAAAGGGACAAAAUUGGCCUUUCCUUAAUUGUACCGGUUAAUGGAAUAAUGGGACAUGCGGUGGUUACAAGCCACCCCAAAAGGUAGGAAGAAUCUCCAACCCCCAUUCUCGGCUCCCUUAUCUUUUCCCUUACAACCAAAAAUCAACAACUAUCUUAGAAUGUCCUUCAGUCCAUCAAAAUUCAACAACAACAAUUAUACAUUACAAUAAUGAAAACAAAAUUGAUUGAUCACCAGCUAACAUUAGGAGAUUAUAAGAUAAGGAUGUAAUUGCAAUUAUUGAAAUCACUUAAAGAGUAAAAAUUAGGAACAUGCUCACAAUAAAUAAAAUCACCUUAGAAUUAAAAAUUAGGGACAUGAUUAUGAUGAUUAAAAUCACUCGAGAACUAAAAUGUUUUAGAGAUACAAUAAUUGAAAUCAACUGAAAAAUAAAUUCGGGAUGUGAUCGCAAUUAAUGUAUAUAUAAACAACCAAAUGUUGAAAGGAAAAACUAAUGAAAUUAAUAUGAUUUUCUUUUAGAUUUCUCUUGACACCAAACAAAUGUAAGGAAGUUUAUAAAGGAAAAUUAGGUUUUGAUUCACUAAAUUAAAAUAAUAUAGAAAAAAGAUCUUCAAAUUUUAUGUAUCAGUUUUAUUUUUAUUUAUUUAAAAAUAUUUUAAAAUACAUAUAUUUUUUCAUAACUCAAAUAGUCAUUCCUCAAAUGCUAGUUUUACUUGUUAUGUUAAUAACACUAGUUAAUAAUUUUGUAUUGUGAGAACGAUUUAAGAUUAAUAAAAUAAGAAAUUUUUAAAACUAAAAAGACAUUUAAAACUUUAAAAUUAAAAAUAUAAAAAUAAAACAAUAAUUUUUCAUUUAGUAAAACACGCAGUAGAAAAUAUAGAUAUAGAGAAAGAGUUGGAAAUAAAAUAAGAGUUAAUAUUUUAUUUUUAAAAUUUUAUGUUUUUUAUUUUAAUUGUAUUUAAUUUUAUGUAUUUUAGUUGUAAUUAUAUUUUUAAUUUUUAAAUUUUUUUAUUUUAUUGUUGAUGUAAAUUUUUGUUCAAUUAUAUAUAUAUAUAUAUAUUUUAAAUUAGUGAGUAAAAACCCACUUUUUCUAAUUUAUAAUAUAUUUAUGGGAUUUUAUAAUAUAAGCAAUUUUUUUUUUUGAGAAAGAGGAAAAAUCAACUUUUCAAUUUCCCUUAAUAAUUAUUAGUAUUAUUAUCCAAUUUGGCUGAUUAUGAGAUUAGUUGGUAUCAUUACUAUAUCCAUUUGUUCUUAACCCUUCAUUAGAAUAGUAUUAGGAGUUGAACGUCAGUUGGAAUACAGGCUUAUGGAAACAAAUCUAUCCGAUUAGUAGGUUCUUAUUAUUUUCAAUAUAGGCCCCAUAAAAUAAAUAGGAGAUGGGCAGCCCGUCCCUUUGUCUGGAGGCCAUCCUCCCAACUUAUUAAAGGUGAUAUGAGAUAAGAUAGUGACAAAAUUAUCGGUUACUUCCCGACACCUGGCUCUCCACAAGCAAACCCAGUGAUCCAGAAAUUAAUUGGUACCUGGACACGUGACUACCAAACGUUCGCUCACCUACCAUACCCAUGGCCUCAUGCCCCAUAUAUUUCCACAAACCUAGCUCAAUUUUCAUAGCCACCUUCACUAUCCUACACUCACUAAGCCAUGGCCAUAGAUACAAGCCUCUUGAUUGAGCUUGCUGCAGCAACUCUACUCUUCUUCAUCACCCGCUUCUUCAUUCGUUCUCUCCUUCCCAAAUCUUCCUGGAAGCUCCCUCCUGGCCCCAAAGGGUGGCCGCUCGUCGGCGCUCUUCCUCUUCUAGGUAACAUGCCUCAUGUUGCAUUAGCAAAGAUGGCCAAAAGAUACGGGCCUGUCAUGUUCUUGAAAAUGGGCACUAACAGCAUGAUGGUGGCCUCAUAUUAAGGAAAUUAUAUGUUAGUUAUUGUAUGAUUAUCUUGACAUAAUUAGCUGAUUGUAUAGGAGCAUAAUUAGCCUUAUAUUACUGAUUCUGUAGCUAUAAUUUAGGAGAAGAUUAGAUCAAACAUGUGUAUAUAUAUACUACAUUCUAUUAAUGAGAAAAGUAUCCAAUUUGAAGCCAAUCUCUUUAUUCUUGUUAUGGUAUCAGAGCAAGAACAAAAAACCACCAUGGCUGGCAGUCAGAAGGCUUCUGGAUCAGAAAACAAGACCAUCGAUCCUUCACAUCCUCUCUAUAUUCAUCAUUCAGAUCAACCAGGCCAUGUUUUGGUGCCCAUCAAAUUAAAUGGGGUCAACUAUCAAUCAUGGAGCAAAGCAGUUAUUCAUGCCCUUACUGCCAAGAAGAAGAUCGGCUUCGUCGACGGGACAGUUGAAGAACCAUCGCAGGAAGAUGAACCCUUUAUGUUUGAACAGUGGAAUCAAUGCAACAGCAUGAUACUUUCUUGGCUAACUCAUGCUGUUGAAUCGGACAUUGCUGAAGGAAUUAUCCAUGCUAAAAUAGCACGCGAAGUGUGGGUUGAUUUGCGCGACCAGUUUUCUCAAAAGAAUGCUCCAGCGGUUUUUCAAAUAUAGAAAUCAAUCGCCACCAUGUCGCAAGGAACGAUGACAGUAGCUGCAUAUUUUACAAAGAUCAAAGCCUUAUGGGACGAGCUUGAGACAUACCGUUCCCCGCUGACCUGCAACCAACGGCAAGCACAUCUCGAGCAAAGGGAGGAAGACCGUCUUAUGCAAUUUCUAAUGGGUUUGAAUGAGUCAUAUAAGGUAGUGAGAUCCAAUAUUUUGAUGAUGUCGCCAUUGCCCAAUGUCUGUCAAGCAUACUCUUUAAUUGUCCAGGAAGAGAUGCAACGACAAGUUUCUUCUGAGCCAACCGAGAAUUUCUCAAUAGCUGCCGCAGUCCCUGGAAAAGGAGGUAAUCCAAGACAAAAAUUGUGUGACCAUUGUAACAGAUCCGGACAUACCAUAGAUGAAUGUCGGACUCUUAAAUUUCACUGUAAGUUCUGUGAUAAAAGAGGUCACACGGAGGAUAGAUGCCGACUGAAAAAUGGGAGCAAUAACAAAACGGGACAAUUCCGAGGACAAUGUCCUUUUGGUCGUGGGAAUCAGCCCUUAGCAAACGCGACAGAAUCCCAGGAAAUGUCUGAUUCGACUUCUUCUAGUACAGUCCAGGGGUUCACUACAGAACAAAUACAACAGUUGGCUCAAGCAAUUUCAUGCAUUAAAUCACAGUAAUUCCGGUAAUAUUGACGCAUAUGCAAAUGCUGCAGGUUUGAUUCCAUCAACUCUUGUGUCUGUUAAUUCUAGUAGUACAAGUUCUUGGAUUUUGGAUACAGGUGCCACGGAUCACAUCGUUUCCCACAUGUCUCUUUUCACUGAUCUCAAACCUUCUAAUGUCACAACUGUUAAUUUACCAAAUGGUGCAGCAUCACCAAUAACACACACUGGCACCGUUAUUUUUGAUUCCCAAUUGACCCUUAAAGAUGUUUUAUGUGUCCCAUCCUUUAACUUGAAUUUAAUUUCGGCUAGCAAACUCGCAAAAGAUCAGAAUUGCUGCAUCAUAUUCUUUCCUGACUAUUGUAUUUUGCAGGACUUGGUUUCGGGGAAGAUGAUUGGCUCGGGUAAACAGCGUGGUGGUCUAUACUACAUGCAUCCAUCAACAAAUAAAUCGGUUGUCUUUCAUGUUUCUCAACCGUCUGACUUAUGGCAUUUACGCCUGGGUCAUCCCUCUUUUUCUCGUUUUAAAUUAUUAUCACAUUUGCUUCCAGAUAUUCAUAAAGAAUUAGGAAAUCAUUGUCCAAUUUGCCCACAGGCUAAGCAGACACGCUUGCCCUUUCCCAAAAGUUCAAUAACUACAAAAUUUCCUUUUUCUCUUUUACAUUNNNNNNNNNNNNNNNNNNNNNNNNNNNNNNNNNNNNNNNNNNNNNNNNNNNNNNNNNNNNNNNNNNNNNNNNNNNNNNNNNNNNNNNNNNNNNNNNNNNNNNNNNNNNNNNNNNNNNNNNNNNNNNNNNNNNNNNNNNNNNNNNNNNNNNNNNNNNNNNNNNNNNNNNNNNNNNNNNNNNNNNNNNNNNNNNNNNNNNNNNNNNNNNNNNNNNNNNNNNNNNNNNNNNNNNNNNNNNNNNNNNNNNNNNNNNNNNNNNNNNNNNNNNNNNNNNNNNNNNNNNNNNNNNNNNNNNNNNNNNNNNNNNNNNNNNNNNNNNNNNNNNNNNNNNNNNNNNNNNNNNNNNNNNNNNNNNNNNNNNNNNNNNNNNNNNNNNNNNNNNNNNNNNNNNNNNNNNNNNNNNNNNNNNNNNNNNNNNNNNNNNNNNNNNNNNNNNNNNNNNNNNNNNNNNNNNNNNNNNNNNNNNNNNNNNNNNNNNNNNNNNNNNNNNNNNNNNNNNNNNNNNNNNNNNNNNNNNNNNNNNNNNNNNNNNNNNNNNNNNNNNNNNNNNNNNNNNNNNNNNNNNNNNNNNNNNNNNNNNNNNNNNNNNNNNNNNNNNNNNNNNNNNNNNNNNNNNNNNNNNNNNNNNNNNNNNNNNNNNNNNNNNNNNNNNNNNNNNNNNNNNNNNNNNNNNNNNNNNNNNNNNNNNNNNNNNNNNNNNNNNNNNNNNNNNNNNNNNNNNNNNNNNNNNNNNNNNNNNNNNNNNNNNNNNNNNNNNNNNNNNNNNNNNNNNNNNNNNNNNNNNNNNNNNNNNNNNNNNNNNNNNNNNNNNNNNNNNNNNNNNNNNNNNNNNNNNNNNNNNNNNNNNNNNNNNNNNNNNNNNNNNNNNNNNNNNNNNNNNNNNNNNNNNNNNNNNNNNNNNNNNNNNNNNNNNNNNNNNNNNNNNNNNNNNNNNNNNNNNNNNNNNNNNNNNNNNNNNNNNNNNNNNNNNNNNNNNNNNNNNNNNNNNNNNNNNNNNNNNNNNNNNNNNNNNNNNNNNNNNNNNNNNNNNNNNNNNNNNNNNNNNNNNNNNNNNNNNNNNNNNNNNNNNNNNNNNNNNNNNNNNNNNNNNNNNNNNNNNNNNNNNNNNNNNNNNNNNNNNNNNNNNNNNNNNNNNNNNNNNNNNNNNNNNNNNNNNNNNNNNNNNNNNNNNNNNNNNNNNNNNNNNNNNNNNNNNNNNNNNNNNNNNNNNNNNNNNNNNNNNNNNNNNNNNNNNNNNNNNNNNNNNNNNNNNNNNNNNNNNNNNNNNNNNNNNNNNNNNNNNNNNNNNNNNNNNNNNNNNNNNNNNNNNNNNNNNNNNNNNNNNNNNNNNNNNNNNNNNNNNNNNNNNNNNNNNNNNNNNNNNNNNNNNNNNNNNNNNNNNNNNNNNNNNNNNNNNNNNNNNNNNNNNNNNNNNNNNNNNNNNNNNNNNNNNNNNNNNNNNNNNNNNNNNNNNNNNNNNNNNNNNNNNNNNNNNNNNNNNNNNNNNNNNNNNNNNNNNNNNNNNNNNNNNNNNNNNNNNNNNNNNNNNNNNNNNNNNNNNNNNNNNNNNNNNNNNNNNNNNNNNNNNNNNNNNNNNNNNNNNNNNNNNNNNNNNNNNNNNNNNNNNNNNNNNNNNNNNNNNNNNNNNNNNNNNNNNNNNNNNNNNNNNNNNNNNNNNNNNNNNNNNNNNNNNNNNNNNNNNNNNNNNNNNNNNNNNNNNNNNNNNNNNNNNNNNNNNNNNNNNNNNNNNNNNNNNNNNNNNNNNNNNNNNNNNNNNNNNNNNNNNNNNNNNNNNNNNNNNNNNNNNNNNNNNNNNNNNNNNNNNNNNNNNNNNNNNNNNNNNNNNNNNNNNNNNNNNNNNNNNNNNNNNNNNNNNNNNNNNNNNNNNNNNNNNNNNNNNNNNNNNNNNNNNNNNNNNNNNNNNNNNNNNNNNNNNNNNNNNNNNNNNNNNNNNNNNNNNNNNNNNNNNNNNNNNNNNNNNNNNNNNNNNNNNNNNNNNNNNNNNNNNNNNNNNNNNNNNNNNNNNNNNNNNNNNNNNNNNNNNNNNNNNNNNNNNNNNNNNNNNNNNNNNNNNNNNNNNNNNNNNNNNNNNNNNNNNNNNNNNNNNNNNNNNNNNNNNNNNNNNNNNNNNNNNNNNNNNNNNNNNNNNNNNNNNNNNNNNNNNNNNNNNNNNNNNNNNNNNNNNNNNNNNNNNNNNNNNNNNNNNNNNNNNNNNNNNNNNNNNNNNNNNNNNNNNNNNNNNNNNNNNNNNNNNNNNNNNNNNNNNNNNNNNNNNNNNNNNNNNNNNNUUUUCGUUUUUCACCCCAUCACCGUGCUUUUUUAGCUCUUUUGACAGCCCAAACCGAACCUUCAUCCUUUGAACAAGCUGACUGUGAUCCACGUUGGCGCCAAGCCAUGUCCACCGAACUUCAGGCUCUAGAACGAAACAACACUUGGGAGAUGGUCCCUCUUCCUCCGGGACACAAACCCAUUGGCUGCCGCUGGGUGUACAAGAUCAAAUACCAUUCUGACGGAACCAUUGAACGCUAUAAAGCCCGUUUGGUUGCCAAGGGCUACACACAGGUCGCCGGUAUCGACUAUCAGGAAACCUUUUCUCCAACUGCCAAACUCACCACUCUUCGCUGUUUGCUGACUGUCGCAGCUUCCAGAAAUUGGUACAUCCAUCAGCUUGAUGUGCACAACGCAUUCCUUCAUGGCAAUUUACAAGAAGAGGUUUAUAUGACUCCACCUCCUGGUCUUCGCCGAUAGGGGGAGAAUCUGGUAAGUCGGCUUCGCAAAUCUAUUUACGGUUUGAAACAGGCAUCACGCAAUUGGUUCUCAACUUUUACAGCUACUGUUAAGUCUGCGGGUUACAUACAGUCCAAAGCAGAUUAUUCACUUUUUACUAAAUCCCAAGGUAACAAGUUCAUUGCUAUUCUCAUUUAUGUUGAUGAUAUCCUGUUGACUGGUAAUGAUUUGCAUGAAAUCAAGAUGCUCAAGACUCAUCUGCUCAAGCAUUUUUUUAUUAAAGACCUCGGUGAAUUGAAAUAUUUUUUGGGUAUAGAAUUCUCUCGCUCUAAAAAGGGAAUCUUUAUGUCUUAAAGAAAAUAUGCAUUAGAUAUUUUGCAAGACACAGGAUUGACAGGAGUGAAGCCCGAAAAAUUUCCGAUGGAGCAAAACUUGAAAUUGACUGAUGAAGAUGGCGAGUUACUUCAUGAUCCAAGUAGGUAUCGGAGACUGGUUGGCAGAUUAAUAUACUUGACUGUAACCAGGCCUGACAUAGUGUAUUCAGUACGUACACUAAGUCAAUUCAUGAACACACCUCGGAAGCCGCACUGGGAAGCAGCAUUACGAGUCCUCCGAUAUAUUAAAGGGUCACCAGGUCAAGGUCUUUUUCUUCCAUCUGAAAAUAAUUUAACACUCAGCGCAUUUUGCGAUUCAGAUUGGGGAGGAUGUCGUAUGUCAAGACGUUCCGUUUCUGGUUAUUGUGUUUUCCUCGGAUCAUCACUCAUCUCUUGGAAAUAAAAAAAACAAACGAAUGUUUCACGUUCGUCAGCAGAAGCAGAGUACAGAGCAAUGGCGAAUACUUGCCUGGAAUUGACUUGGUUGAGGUACAUACUUAAAGAUUUGAAGGUUGAAUUGGACAAACCAGCACCAUUGUUUUGUGAUAAUCAAGCAGCUGUAUAUAUUGCAGCUAACCCAGUUUUUCACGAAUGUACUAAACACAUUGAGAUUGAUUGUCAUAUAGUUCGAGAAAAACUUCAAGCUGGGGUAAUUCGUCCGUGUUAUGUUUCUACAAAGAUGCAGUUGGCGGACGUUUUUACAAAGGCACUUGGCAGGGAGCAGUUCGAAUUUUUGUGCACCAAGUUGGGAGUUCUUGAUUUGCACUCUCCAACUUGAGGGGGAGUAUUAAGGAAAUUAUAUGUUAGUUAUUGUAUGAUUAUCUUGACAUAAUUAGCUGAUUGUAUAGGAGCAUAAUUAGCCUUAUAUUACUGAUUCUGUAGCUAUAAUUUAGGAGAAGAUUAGAUCAAACAUGUGUAUAUAUAUACUACAUUCUGUUAAUGAGAAAAGUAUCCAAUUUGAAGCCAAUCUCUUUAUUCUUGUUACCUCAACUCCCGGGGCGGCUCGGGCUUUCCUUAAAACGCUAGACAUUAAUUUCUCUAACCGCCCGCCUAAUGCCGGUGCCUCACUCUUGGCCUAUCAUGCCCAAGACAUGGUUUUUGCGGAUUAUGGGGCAAGGUGGAAGCUACUGAGAAAGCUAAGCAACUUACACAUGCUUGGUGGGAAGGCUCUUGAGGACUGGUCUCAGGUCCGAGCUGUUGAGCUAGGCCACAUGCUUCGAGCCAUGCUUGAGUUGAGCCAGCGAGCGGAGCCGGUGGUGGUGCCGGAGAUGUUAACUUUUUCCAUGGCCAACAUGAUAGGUCAAGUGAUUCUAAGCCGCCGGGUGUUUGAAACAAAAGGGUCGGAGUCAAAUGAGUUCAAGGACAUGGUGGUGGAGCUCAUGACCACUGCUGGGUACUUCAAUAUUGGCGAUUUUAUUCCGUCCAUCGCAUGGCUGGACAUCCAAGGGAUCCAGCACGGGAUGAAGCAUUUACAUAGGAAGUUCGAUCGGUUAUUAACAAAGAUGAUGGAGGAGCACACGGCGUCAGCCCAUGAGCGGAAGGGAAACCCAGAUUUUCUGGACGUGAUCAUGGCAAACCAAGAAAAUUCUACAGGGGAGAAGCUCACUAUUACCAACAUUAAAGCACUCCUCCUGGUAUGCAUAGUUAAAGCUCGUCUUUAAUUUUGUUUUCCGAUAUUUUCUUUCCUGAAACAGCACUUUUAUUGCUUUUAGAUAUGUACGUUUUUAUCAGGUAGCCAUUUUAGGGGCACAUCACUGUUCUUUAUUUGGAUUUUUUUUGUCUUUUUCCACUUGCAUGGUUGUUUUCAUAUGCUCAGCUGCAUGGCACAGGAAAAUUGUGAAAAAUGAUUGGUUCUCUGAUCAGACCUUCUGCACCAAAACAUAAUUCUCUCUAUUUUAUAAAAUCAAGAACAUUUAUGGUUUACAUGAUUUUUCGAACUUGAACUUUUGCUAGUGCUAAUGCAUGGAUCUCAAUUUUUCAAUUGCGUUUGAUUAUAUAAAUUUCAAGUAUGUGAACAUAUUUUUGUUUCCUUGGCUAGAAUUUAUUUACUGCAGGAACAGACACUUCAUCGAGCGUAAUCGAGUGGUCUCUGGCUGAGAUGUUGAAAAACCCGAGCAUCCUCAAGCGUGCUCACGAAGAAAUGGAUCAAGUGAUUGGAAGGAGCCGGCGGCUCGUGGAGUCUGACUUGCCAAAACUUCCAUACCUACAAGCCAUAUGCAAGGAAAGCUUCCGGAAGCACCCAUCCACCCCAUUGAACCUUCCUCGUGUCUCAACCCAAGCAUGCGAAGUGAACGGCUACUACAUCCCAGAGAACACUAGACUUAGCGUGAACAUAUGGGCAAUUGGGCGAGACCCUGAUGUCUGGGAAAGCCCGGAAGAAUUCAGGCCAGAAAGGUUUUUAAGUGGAAGAAAUGAAAAAAUUGAUCCUCGUGGAAAUGAUUUUGAGUUGAUCCCGUUUGGGGCUGGACGAAGGAUUUGCGCUGGCACUAGAAUGGGAAUAGUGCUGGUUGAGUACAUUUUAGGGACGUUGGUACAUUCAUUUGACUGGAAAAUGCCGGAUGGAGUUGAGAUCAACAUGGACGAAGCUUUCGGGCUUGCACUGCAGAAGGCAGUUUCUCUUUCGGCCAUGGUGACACCAAGGCUUCACCAGAGUGCGUAUGCAGUCUGAGCUCAAACCGCUCAGACCAAAACCCAGGCCUCGCUGCUAUAUGGCAUGGAUGCAGUUAAGUAGAAAAUAUUUUGGGAUGCCUGUGGCUUAGUAUAAGAUGUAUUAGCUCAAAGAUGGUCGUUUCAUUCUACCACCAAGCCAUAUGCAUCUAUGCAUAAUCUAUUGAUUUAGGCUCGAUUUGGUUAUAGUUUUUGUUUUUUUGUCUUCCAAAUCAGUAAAUAGUAGGGGUAUUUUUGUCCUAUGUAGUGAUUCUUUUUGUUUGAUUGAUUAUAUUUGGAUCCUUCAAAUAUUCCUACACAACUAUUAACCUCCUUCAAAAAUAUAUAGUUAAGGGCCUUGGUCAGAGCCAUCUCCAUCUUUUCACUUCUUGUGCUGCAGUAUGGGAUUGGCUUAGAUGAUCGUUAGUCUAAUGUUUCCUUUUCAACAUCAUAAUUCAGCGCAAACUAAGUUGAAUAUUCAACAACAAAUAAGUACAGAAAAUAAUGGAAGAAAAAUUCCCACUUUAUCUCCGUAAAGUAAUGCCAUAUUUUUCUUCAUACUUACCUUCUAGAUUUUUGUUGGAGCUCUGAGCCCGUGAUCCAUUAGAUGAUUGCGUGUGUGCAUAUGCAUGUGGGUGAUUGCGUGUAAUACGUACGUACGUUCCAUGAUUCAUGUUCGAAGUACCCUCUCUUAUUUAUCGUUGAAGAGGCUAUCGUCACAAACUCUAUUGAUUAAUUAGUCUAGGCAAAUUAAGGCGCGAUAACGACCGAUGUAUAUCUUAAAAGUAACGAUUAAGAGAAUAUUAUAUGUACAAGGGAAAAAUCUACAUAUAAUUAUUGAUGCAACUUGCAAGUGGGAUAAAAUUUGGGAUGGGGAUUAUUAUAAAUUAAUCUCAAUCCAUAAUUGUGAUUGUGGAGUAUAAAUUAAAUGAUUCAUAAUCCAUCUACAUGAAGAUUAAAACCCAUAUUGAAAAUAGCUUUAAAAAACUAAUUUAUAAGAAUAAUUUUUGCAUCAUAUUUUGUGUGCUUGAACUCGUUUCCUAUAUUUUUAAAUAUAUAUUAAAUAUAAUUUUCUUUUAUUUAUAGUGUUUUAUUUUUAAUUAUUCUUCAUAUUUAUAUAAUUAUUUUUUAAAACAAUCAUGAUAAAAAGCAAAAAGAAGUGAAAAUAGCUUAAUAUAAUUAAAGACAAAUAUCUUAUUUUUUGUUAUCUGUUGUUAUUGUUUUUUCUUUUUGUUAACCCCCUUCAAAUCUAAUUAUUCAUACUCAAUUUUGACACGAAAGAGCCAUUGUCAUGAAAGGGGGAGGUCCAUCAUUUUGGUACGAUGCCAACUCUACCACAUAACCACCAUUUAGAUAUCUAUCCUUUUAUUUUUGGCAUGUGAACUUAUAGUGGGUGGCUGACCUUGAAUCCACUAGUUAUCAUGUUGAAAUUAACCACCAUUUAGAUAUCUAUCCUUUUAUUUUUGGCAUGUGAACUUACAGUAAGUCCGAUUUAUGUCCAAGGGUCAAAUUUAAAUCUCUCUUCAAUCUAAUGGCUAAGAACUUCCCAACUUUAUUUAAUACUUAAUGUAUCCAAUAAUUGUAAUCGAGUAAUCCAAUGACAAGUACCUUCAAUGACUAUUUUGGCAAAAGAAAAAAGAAAAAAAGAAAUAAUAUAAGUUUGUUAUUUUAUGAUAUAAUAAAUUUAUUAAUACUUUCCUUUUUCAAAAUAUGUAAUUAGUUGUAAUUUCAUUAUAUAAUAUAUAAAUUAAGUUAUUUGCAAUUUUAAAAUAUGUUCAUUUUGUUUUUUUUUAAGUGUUAAUUAAAAAUUAUACAAUUUUGUUUUAUAAAAAGUAUUUAGUACUUUUAAUUUUAUAAAUUACAAACAUUAAUUAUACUAUUUUCUUAAAAUAUUUAGUUUAGUAUGCAUAUUAUUAGUUGUUUUCUCAUAUCUCAAGUUUCAAUCAAAAAAAUAUUUAUGAUUUGUUUUUGUUAAUUUGUGUCUUGUUUUCAAUUUAAUUAAUGAAAAGUUAUUUGAUCAAAAGGUUCAUUACAAACCAAUUUUAAAAAUUUAAUCCUUUAUUAUAUUUUGAUAUUGUUUUGAUAAAAAUGUCUUUAUUAUUUUUUAAAUAUAUUGUAAAUAUUUAAAAUAAUUAAAAAUAUUUAGAUCAAAAAUCGAUUAUUUUUCAAACAAAAAUAUGAAAGUGAUAAAUUUGCAAAUGUGGGGAAUAUUUAAUCCUUUUAAUCGAUUAUUUCAUUAAUGAAGUGGGUAUAAUGAUGAACGCAGACUUGGUUUUACUAGGGCAUGCAGAGGUUUUGCAAGAGAGAGAGAUCAUUUCUCGACUCUGAGAAAUCAAUCUCCUUUUGGCCCGGUGGCGGACUCCAAGUAAAGCCUUGAAGGAGCCUUGCUAACAUCCCUGCACACCCACGCCUUCCAGUACUGAAGGAAAUGAAGCGAAGGUUUGGCUCGUUCAACUCCACUGCUUGAACUGUACUAGCAUUCAGAUGCCGCUCUGGAUUGAAAUUUAGCGGUUCUUCCCAGAUUCUAGGGUUCCGGCCCAGCCCCAGACGGCUCAGAAGGACAUGACUGCCUUUGGGGAUAGAGUACCCAGCAACACUAGUCGGAUUCCUGAACUCGUCUAUCCUUUCCAACCACUCCAUCAAUUUCUUCACUGCUUUGCUCAAAAUCCCUGGUUGCUUGAUCAUUGCCUACUCAAUUGCAUUUGAUGGACUAUCGAAGCCUGCAAGCAUCAACUCCUGCAAAUUAUGGAAGGAUCAUAAUCUCAUGAUUGAUCAAGUUAUUUGCUGGCUAGGAAAUGAUCAUCAUGCAAUGUAGAUCAAAAGGUAAGCACAACACUACUACAAAAAUAAUUUAUGGUGUCAUUUUUAAAAUAAUGACACCAUAGGGUUUAUAAUUAAUAAAGGUGAUACAUCAUAUGAAAAUUCUUCAAUUGAGGUAGUUAGAUUAUGUUAGUUUUAUAUUUAUAGUGUCAUUUUUUGGGAAGUAACAUCAUAUAAAAUAAUUUUUUUUUAAGUAUUAUAACUUAAUGAGCCCACUUUUAUAAUUAAUAAUGAGGGAUAAUGUAUAAAAAGCCCAUUGUUUCCACAUGCCACCCACAAUCCAAAAAAUCUCAGUAUACAAACCUUAUAUAUAAAACCAUAAUCUUCUUCUACCUUUUCUCUUACCUAUAGUCAACACACUUAUAACCGACAUUUUCCACUUUGUGGACUCCCAAGUUAUCCAAAUUCUCUUAGAUCUAUCCUAUUUUUUUUCUUUUAUUAAUAUCAUUAUAUUGAUUGUUUCAGCAUCUUUGUAUUAUGGUUUUUGUGAACUGCAUUUUCUUGAGUUGUAGGGAAGAAAAACUUAGGUUUAAACUUCUAGCAUAGACAAAGAAACUUGUAGAUUAAUUGAUUUUUUAAUAUGAACCAAACACAUGACCGACUUUUUCUGUGUGUAAUAAGGACAGCUAGUAUUCAUGCAUAAAAUCAGCAUCAGAAUUCGUAACUGCAUUUGAUCAGCUAGUUUAGUAAAUCUGUACAACUCAUUCUUUCCUUUAUUUUCACAUAUGUUGUUAUACGUUAGCACAAGUUUAGGAGUAAUUUUAGUUUCUCAAAUCUGUAUUUAUACCUCUUCUUCUAAUAAGAAUUGUGUGAAUCAUUUUGUCUAAACCUCUUUAUGGUAUCAGAGCACACCUCAAAACUCCAACAAGUAUUUCCUGUCUUUCUCGCUUCUGCUAUGGCCACUUCUUCCUCUGAUAGUUUUCCAAUAGCCAUCAAUGCCACCCAGCAAAUUACUGCACGUCUUACACCAACCAACUUCCCUUCAUGGCAUGCUCAAUUUGAGUCUCUCCUCCUCGGCUAUAACCUCUUUGGCUAUGUCGAUGGCACUCAUACCUGCCCACCCCUACCGAUGUCAACUAAUGCAGCUGCCACUACAGCUCAUCACCUUUGGUUCCAUCAGGACAAACUUAUUCUAAGUGCAAUUUUGACUUCAGUGUCCCUAGCUGUGAUACCACUCAUAGCAACCUCCCAAACGUCAUAUCAAACCUGGACAAAACUGACAAAACUGUAUGCUAGUCGAUCCAGGACUCGUGUCAUGCAGCUCAAAGAGGAUCUCACCCUCAUGCAAUGUGGCAAUCGCAGCAUUACAAAGUACCUACACUCUGUAAAAACCAUUGUCGAUGAGCUUGCUCUCAUCGAUGCCCCAUUAUCUCAAGAUGACAUCACCCUAUAUGUUCUUCAUGGCUUAGGAUCAAAUUUUCGUGACAUUGUUGCCCCGAUUCGAGCCCGAGAGUCUUCACUCUCAUUGUUGCAAAAUACUGUCCGAAAUUGAAACCCUCUGAAGCCACUGUGAACUGCACAACUACUACUUCCAGUCCCGACAAACGUUGGCUCAUUGAUUCUAUGGCUUCCCAUAAUAUCACUUCUCAGGUUUCAAAUUUACAAUUUCACUCUGAAUAUGAUGGUACUGAUGAAGUUAUUAUUGGAGAUGGAUCAGGUUUGCCCAUUACUCAUUCUGGUUCUCUUACUCUUUCAUUUCCAAACAGAAAAUUUCAAGUUGAAGAUACUCUAUGUGUUCCUACCAUUAACAAAAACUUGAUAUCUGUUCACCACUACACAAAGCAAAACAAUGUUAUCCUGGAAUUUCACCCAACUUAUUUUCUUGCGAAGGAUUGGAGAACGGGGGAGAUUCUUCUUCAAGGACCGUGUGAAAAUGGAGUCUACCCUCUGGCCUCAUCGCCUGCUGCUACUCCAAUUGCUUUUGUCCAUGAACGCACAUCAGCAGCUGGUUGGCAUCAUCGCCUUGGUCAUCGAUCAUUCAAAGUUGUCACUCGCCUCAUUAGUUCUUUCUCCCUUCCCACCACUUCAUGUCUUUCUGGUUCUAAUAAUUGUCAUUCGUGUUCUAUCAAUAAAGCUCAUCAGUUACCCUUUCAUAAACACGGUCUAACUAGCACAACACCAUUUGAUUUACUUUACACUGAUGUAUGGGGACCUUCUCCCACUCCUAGUCUCAAUGGCCACAGAUAUUAUGUUAUUUUUGUUGAUCACUUUACCAAAUAUGGUUGGUUCUUUCCAUUGCAUCAAAAAUCAGAUGUUAAAACCAUAUUUCCUCAUUUCUACAAAAUGAUUGAAACUCGUUUUAACAUAAAAAUUAAAGGAGUUUAUUCCGAUAAUGGGGGCGAGUUCACUGUUCUUCGACCCUUUUUCACAACCCAUGGCAUUAGUCAUUAUACGACAGCCCCUUAUACACCCCAACAAAAUGGAGUGUCUGAGCGUCGUCAUCUCCAUAUUGUGGAGACAGGUCAAACCCUUCUAAGUCAUGCCUCUCUUCCAUCAGAAUAUUAGGCUUAUGCUUUUGCAACAGCCACAUAUCUAAUCAAUCGACUUCCAUCACCUGUUCUUCAUCAUAUAUCACCUCUUCAAGCAACAACCUCGGUAUGAAAAAUUACGUUCCUUUGGAUGUCUUUGCUUUCCCUUGAUGAAGCCGUAUAACACAAACAAAUUUCAAAAGAAAUCCGUUCCUUGUAUCUUUGUUGGCUACUCUACUAGCCAAAGUGCAUAUCUAUGUCUUCAUCUACAAAGUCAGCGCAUAUACACCUCCAAACACGUAACCUUUGAUGAAUCUGUUUACCCCUUCAAACAGGUUUCCAUGCAAUCACCCACUGACUCAUCCCCAUCAGAAACCUCUUCUUUUUCAGGACCAAUUUUGCAGCUUGCUUCCAGGGAGCUUCCAACAAUCACACGGGCUCAAGGAGAUAUCCCCUCUGCUUCUUCGACUCCAAGUGAAGAUCCAGCUCUUGUGCAACCUCAAGAGGCACCACUUUCCACUUUAGAUCAGGUAACUCUUAGACCUUCUACUUCUGUUUCUCAACCAGAAAAUUCAAUGCCAUCCUCUCCACCACCAUGUCCACGAACCAUCAUCACUCGCUCCAUGAACAAUAUCUUUCGGCCAAAACAACUCCACACCACCACCAAGCACCCCUUACCUGAACCACCCGAACCAAGUUGUGUAAGUCAAGCUCUUAAAGACCCUCACUGGUGCAAGGCUAUGUCAGAAGAAGUGACAACCCUCCUUUAACAUGGGACGUGAGAACUGGUUCCUCCCACUCCUGGCCAGAAUCUUGUUGGGUGUAAAUUUGUGUUUCGGAAGAAACGAAAUCCAGAUGGAACAAUCAGUCGAUAUAAAGCUCGACUUGUCGCUAAAGGAUUUCAUCAACGGCCAGGUAUUGACUACUCUCAAACCUUCAGCCCUGUCGUAAAGCCAGUAACAAUUAGGCUUCUUUUAACCAUUGCUGUCAUGCAUGGCUAGCCCCUUCGUCAGUUAGACAUCAAUAAUGCAUUCUUGCAUGGUAAUCUUGAAGAAACAGUCUUCAUGCAUCAACCUACAGGAUUUGAAGAUCCAUCUCAACCUCAGUAUGUUUGCAAGCUAAAAUAGAGUAUCUAUGGUCUUAAACAAGCCCCAUGACAGUGGUACAAGGCCCUUCGGGAUGCACUUCUCAGCUUUGGUUUUAUUCACUCGGCCACUGACAACUCUUUGUUUAUCUAUAAGUCUCAUGAUAUCUUGUGCUACUGCCUUGUUUAUGUUGAUGACAUAAUUGUCACAAGCAACACACUCAGCUUUGUGAAUAACAUUAUAAACAAGCUUGGCUCUACAUUCUUAGUCAAAGAUAUGGGCUCCUUGCAUUAUUUCUUGGGAAUAGAAGUGAUUCCAAUGCCACAGGGGCUCUUUCUAUCUCAACAUCAGUAUAUAUGGGAUCUCCUUUCACGAACCUCCAUGGAAAAUGCUAAAGAAACACUCACUCCAAUGUCCACUACAGCCAAGCUUACGGUUCAAGAUAAUUUUGAAUGUGUUGACAGCACUGAGUAUCGCAAGAUCAUUGGAGCACUUCAGUAUUUGGGACUCACUCGUCCCGAUAUUGCCUUUGCAGUCAACAGAUUAUCUCAGUUCAUGUAGAAGCCGACAACAAACCAUUGGGCCGCAGCAAAAAGACUACUCAGCUAUCUUAAACAGACCAUGUUUCAUGGUAUCCUUCUCCAAAAUCAUGAUCAAUUCCAACUCAAGACCUAUAGUGAUGUGAAGUGGGCAUUAAAUACGGACACUCGUGUUUCAACCACUACUUUCAUCACAUUCAUUGGUCCUAAUCCAAUCUCAUGGUCUGCACGCAAGCAAAUGGCAGUCUCAAGAUCAUCUAUAGAAGCAGAGUUUCGGGCACUAGCUACUGCCACACAGAAACAGUUUGGCUUCAUUCUCUUAUCAAGGAACUUGGUCUCACUCUCAGAGAAGCACCUCAAAUGUUUUGUGAUAAUAUUGGUGCCAACCAUUUCAGUUUAAAUCCAGUCCAGCACAGACGGAUGAAACACAUUGAAAUUGAUCUCCUCUUUGUACGAGAUCUUGUCAAAAAGGGAACUAUUCGUGUUCAGCACAUCCAUACCAUUGAUCAACUAGCUAAUCUCCUUACAAAAUCACUCUCACAUCAACGCUUUCAACUAUUAAGAUCCAAGAUUGGUGUUGCAGAUGGCACCUCCAUCUUGAGGGGGCAUAUAAGGACAGCUAGUAUUCAUGCAGAAAAUCAGCAUCAGAAUUCGUAACUGCAUUUGAUCAGCUAGUUUAGGAAAUCUGUACAACUCAUUCUUUCCUUUAUUUUCACAUAUGUUGUUAUACGUUAGCACAAGUUUAGGAGUAAUUUUAGUUUCUCAAAUCUGUAUUUAUACCUCUUCUUCUAAUAAGAAUUGCGUGAAUCAUUUUGUCUAAACCUCUUUAUAUUUAUGUGAGAAUGACAGGUACAAAAUUUUGUUGAGAUAUACUGCCCCAUAAUCUUCAUCCUUUCCCUAAAAUGAGAGAGGGAAAAAAAAAAAGGAAUGAUUUUUUUUGUGUGUAUCUAAGUGGGAACAAGAGAUAUAGAAUUUCGUUGAGAUGCAGUGCUGCCACAUGAUCUUUAUCCUCCAUUAAACCCAACAUAUUAAAUCCACUAACUCUCUCCCCAAAAAUGAGUAAAAAAAAAAAAAAGGAAAAAAGUAUGAGUUAAAAAACAAAAACGGAAAAUAUGAUUUUUUUAAUGUGUUUCUAAGGAGAAUGAGAGAUACAUAUUUUUGUUAAGAUGCAUUGCCACGUGUUCUUCAUCCUCUCCAUUAAGCCUAAUAUAUUAAACCUAAUAGCUCUCUCUUUUAAGCUUUCCAAUGAAGUGCCUAUAGUAUCCAACUCAAAAUAAGACAACUUAAGCCCCAUUAGCCAACAACCCAUAUUUUGUGUACAUCUUGAUGAGAUUAUUUUGUGAGAAAAUGUCAUGAAACAAUCCCAAUUUGAUAAUCUAGGCAUGUAUUUGAGUUAAAAAUAAAUUUCUAUUCUAUAGAUCAAAGAAUAAAAUCAUGUUUGAAAAUUAUUUUUAAAAACUUAUUUAGAGCAAAAAUAGUUUUCUAACAUAAAAAUAAUUUUUUAACUGAGAAAAUAUAUUUGAAAUUAUUUGAUAGAAAAUUGGGCAUGUAUUUGACUUAAAAACAAAUUUCUAUUCUAUAGCUCCAAUAAUAAAAUCAUGUUUGAAAAUUAUUCUUAAAAACUUAUUUAGAGCAAAAAUGGUUUUCUAACAUUAAAAUAAUUUUUUAAUUUAGAAAAUAUAUUUGGAAACAGUUGAUAGAAAACUGGGCAUGUAUUUGACUUAAAAAUAAAUUAUUAUUCUAUAGAUCAAAGGAUAAAAUCAUGUUUGAAAAAUAUUCUUAAAAACUUAUUUAGAGUAAAAACAGUUUUCUAACAUAAAAAUAAAUUUUUAACUUAGAAAAUAUAUUUGAAAACAUUUGAUAGAAAACUUUUUUUUUUAAUGUCAAUAAGUUGUCUUUUUGUUAAUUUAAUUGUAAUCAAUUUUCUUAUACGCAUUUAAAAGUAUAUAUUAUCAUAUUUAGUAAUAUUUUGAUUAUUAGGCAAAUUAUCAUUUUUGAGAGGAAUUUUUGUAGCUCUCAUAAUUAUAAUUGUAUUUUAAUAACCACUUCCAAUAAAUAAAAAAAAGAAAAAAAAAGUUAGACAAUUAUCAAAAUCUGAUUUUUAGGAUUUUAAAAAAAUCUACAAGCCAAAACUAUUUAUAAUUUUGAUCAUGUGAGAACACUUCUUUUUUAAUACUUUGAGUUAUUUUGUUUUUUUUUUUUCUUAGUAUCUGAAAGUAUAAAAGAAUUUCUCAUAUAUGUGCAUGUGUGUUCUCAUGGUUGUUUAUGUCAUGUCUUAUUAAAGAAUGAAGUGAAGUUUCCUUUGAGUGGAAGGUUUUAGUCCACGCUAGUCAGUGGACACGGUAUGAAUAGUUUGGGUGGGUUGUAUCUAUGGUAAAAAAAUAAUAAAAGACAACUUUUGCAAGUCUCCAAGUUGGUUGAGAUACAUGAUGUCAUGUUGACUAGACCUUGACUUUUGCAAGUCUCCUAGUUUCCAACUUUUUUUUCUUUUUUUUUUUUAAUAUUAAGGUGUGGGGCCAUGAACUCCUUUCUUUCCUUUUUAAAUAACAAAAAGGAAGAUAAUUUUAUUGUGAGAAGGCUAUUGCUACCAAUUGUGUUCACGUCGAGAAUUUUUUAAUUUACGGAGGCCAUAUAUAUAUAUAUUUAUGUCUAAUUUAGGAGGGUAAUUUGGGUUUGUCUAAUCUAUUCCAUUUAAUCAUACUAUACAAUCAUUUUUUUUUAUUUGGAUUAUUCUUGUAUUAAAUUUCUUCAACCCAAAUUUUGUUGAAAAGUUACAAUGUAUUAUUGAAAAUAUGACUUGGUAGUUGAUUAUGGAUAUGUGUCAUUUUUAGUAUAAAAAAAAAAUAAAUCUAUAACAUUUUAUAUUGAUAAUAUAUUAUUCUUGUAACAGGUUUGAAUAAUAAGCAAGUCAUUGUCAAAGAAGUUAUUGAAAGUGUAAGUGUACAUUUAUUUAUUGCAUGCUCUUAUAUUGUAUCAAUUGUAAGGAAGAUAAAAUUACCUUGUAAAGGUAAUUAAAUCUUUCUAUAUUUUAAAAACUUUUUUCCUAUAUACUAUGCUUUUGAAGCUUGUUUAAUUAAACAUAUUAGUUAUUUGACAAACUUUUCACAAAUGUUUUGUAUACUUAUGUGUUCUAUUUUGUUCCAUAGUUUUAUUGCAUAAUACUAAUGUAUAUUUUUUCACAAACUUUUUACAACUAUUUUGUGUACUAAUGCAUAUUAAGUUUUGUUCUUGCCUAUAUAAGCUACAUUUAGUUAUUUAAAUAUAUCUAAUAUUAUGUUGAAGAAAGAUGUACUUACUUAACUUUUUUUAUUCUAAAUAUUAACAAGUUUUUCAGUUCUCUUGUCUCGAGAUUGAAUGUCAAAAGAUAGAAGGUCAGUUGAGUAUGAUGAAAGAGUUGAAAACUUUAUCAAUUUUGCAUUAGCACAUUCAAUCAACCAUUCCCCUAUAAAAUGCCCAUGCUUACGUUGUGCAAAUCUGUUAUGUCAAACUCUUCAAGUCAUUACAGAACAUUUGUUCUUUAAUGGAAUCGAUCUUAGUUAUCGAGUAUGGUAUUGGCAUGGAGAAAAUGGACCCAGUGGAGGAUUUUCAAAUGUCUCACAACAACAUUAUGACAAAUGCAAGUAUAAUGAUGUUGUUGACACAAUAGAUAUGGUUAAUGCUGCACAAGUUAAUUGUAUGAAUGAUCCCUAAGUGUUUGGAAGGUUACUUGAAGACGCAGAAAAACCUUUAUAUCUUGGAUGCAUGAAAUACACAAAGUUGUCAGCAUUGGUAAAACUUUACGACUUGAAAGCAUGUUAUGGUUGGUUUGACAAAGGAUUCUCAAAAUUGCUUCAGUUGCUUGGAGAUAUGUUGCCAUUGAAUAAUGAGAUGUCAUUGUCCAUGUAAGAAGCUAAAAAUACUUUUAGUGCACUUGGGAUGAAUAUAACAAAAUUCAUGCAUGUUCUAAUGAUUGUAUUUGGUAUAGAAACCAGUAUAAGGAUGCUAUUGCAUGCCUAACUUGUGGAAAGUCAAGGUGGAAGAUAAACAAUGAGGGGAAAAAGAUUAAGAAGGGGCUUCCUUCAAAGGUUUUAUGGUAUUUCCCACCAAUCCCUAGAUUCAAAAGGAUGUUCCAAUCCUCAAAAACCGCUAAACAUCUUAUGUGGCAUGCCAAGGAUAAAGAAUAUGACGGUAAACUAUGCCACCCAUCAGACUCCUUAGCGUGGAAACUAGUUGACCAUAUGUGGCUUGAUUUUGCUUCUGAACCGAGGACCUUAGACUAGCACUCUCAACAGAUGGUACAAAUCUUCAUAAGUCUAUAAGCAAUAGACAUAGUUGUUGGCCUGUUAUACUGAUCAUAUACAACCUUCCUCCUUGGUUGUGCAUGAAAAAGAAGUUUAUGAUGCUAUCAUUAUUGAUCUCAGGACCACGACAACCUGGUAAAAAUAUAGAUGUUUACUUGAGUCCAUUGGUAGAUGACCUUAAAACUUUGUGGGAAAAAAAAGUUAAGACUUAUGAUGCACACUUGCUUGAGGUUUUUACUUUAAAGGUCAUCAUUUUAUGGACAAUCAGUUAUUUCCCUACAUAUGAAAACUUGGCCAAUUGCACCGUGAAAGGAUAUUAUGCAUGUCCAAUAUGUGGAGAAGGAACAUAUUCCCAAAGAUUAAAGUAUGGUAGGAAGAACUUGUAUAUGGGUCACCGACGAUUUCUUCCACGUAACCAUCCCUAUUGGAGACAAAAGAAGGCACUCAAUGGUGAACAAGAUUUUAGAAUUCCUCCUAAAAUUUUGAGUGGAGAAGAAAUACUUGAAAAAGUUGAUCUCAUUCCUAUUUCUUGGGGAAAAAUGAAGAUAAAAUCUCUUGAACUGAUGUGAACACAAAUUGUUGGAAAAAAAAGUCCAUAUUUUUUUAGUUAGAAUAUUGGAAAUAUCUUCAUAUCUUUCACAACUUGGAUGUUAUGCACAUCGAAAAGAAUGUCUGUGAGAGUAUUAUUGGUCCUUUGUUUAACAUCCUAGGAAAAAAAAAAUGGACUUAAUGCUCAACUUGACCUAGUUGAAAUGGGUUUAAAGUCUGAACUUUUCCCAAGAGUUGACUUGAAGCGGACCUAUCUUCCCCCUGCAUGUUAUUCACUAUCCAAACAUAUAUGACAAAAAAUUAGUUUGUCAAACAUUGUCUAAUUUGAAGGUCCCUGAGGGGUAUUGCUCAAAUUUGAGAAAUCUUGUCUCCUUAGAGGAAUUGAAGUUAUUUGGUUUAAGAUCCCAUGACUACCAUGCACUUAUGCAACAACUAUUGCUAGUGGCAUUACGUUUUGUUUUGCUAAAGCAUGUGAGAUAUACUAUAUCAAGAUUGUGUAUCUUCUUCAAUCAAUUAUGUACAAAAAUGGUUGAUGUGCCAAAAUUGGAUGAAGUACACAAUGAGUUAGUGGUCACGCUGUGCUUACUUGAAAAGUAUUUUUCACCUUCAUUUUUUGAUAUUAUGCUUCAUCUAGUAGUGCAUUUGAUAAGGGAGGUGUGACUAUGUGGUUCAGCUUACUUUAGGUCGAUCUACCCAUUUGGGAGGUAUAUGAAAGUUCUUAAAGAAUUGUUCGCAAUCAUAAUUGGCCUGAAGGAUGCAUUACUAAGUGCUAUUUAGUAGAAAAAGCUAUCGAAUUUUGUACUGAAUAUUUAUUAGGGACUUAUGCAAUUGGAAUUCCAAAAGCAACAAUUAUGACAACAAAUUUCGUAGACCUAUUGAUUACUACUCAAAAAGUGCUAUUUGAUAGCUUGUAAUUAAUCCUUUUAAACACUUUUGAGUAGUAGUUAUUGCCUUUUAACCCAAUUAACAUGUUAAGGACCCUUGCAAUCAUUUCUUAUCAAAUUGUGUAAGUUUUGGUGUUUUUGUUAGUAAUUUGAUCACCAAAACAAUCCAAGAUUGAGGAGAGUUAUUUGGAAUCCAUGGCAAAGCAAUGAAGAGCUCAAAUUCAUGAAGAACCAAGCUUUGGAGCUCCAUAGCCCUUUGCCAAAGUCGUUCAAAGUAUGCAAGGAAAGAGCACUGGAGAGAGGAAAAACAGAGUGAAGAAAACAGAGGAAAGCUAGAUGUAGUCUUCUUUCACACUUUUGGAGCAAUUUCCGAAGUCCAUUUUCUACAUUCGAUAUACCAUUUCAAAGCUCAGGAAGUCAAGAAUCCAAUGCUUCAAACGGUGCAUGAUUCGGAGUUGAAACGAAGGAGUUACAGCCAUUGCAAGCAGAUCACUCCAAAGUGUUGCGAAAUCAGCCUUUUGUUGCGAGAAUUUCGCAGCCUUUUUGUACAGUGCUAUGGAAUUCCUCCUAAAGUUGCCCGAUAUAUGCCGCAAGCUGGAAGCUGAGAACAUCAAGGUGGAAGCCAACUUCGCAGCCCUACGAGAAUAACUUGUUGAUGCGAAAAUAUUUCGCAGCCCUCUUGAGUGUCUGCGAAAUCUCGCAGACACCAUUUUCACCUGCGAAAUGUUCCUGGAGCUUCCCGAUAUUUUUGCACCGACUCUUUUGGAUAUUUUUCUUCAGAUAUUUUUGUAUAAAUUUCCAUUCUUCUCCUUGUAAGCCACGAACCAUAAGAUUUCUUAGUUAGGAAGGUUGGAAAAACAUCUCUAUAUAUAUUCCUUUGCAUCCACUGUAAUCAUAUAUCAUAUAUAGAAUAUACAGAGCCUUGCUCUGUUUUUCCUUCUCUUUCAUUUUUCAUUUAUUUUUAUUUCUAGCCAACCAAACUUUGAGGAUUUUUCCACAGAGGAUGAGAGGCUAAGCUUUUUGUCUCUUGGAGUGAGGAAAGCCGGGUAAGUUUCCACAUGCAUAAUUUGGAAGUUUUGUUGUUUUAGUUUUUAAUGAAGAGAAAGUGUGACCCGUUAGUGAUUUCUAUGUUUUUAGUUAACUUAAAACGCCUUUAAAUCACCUGGGCCAACACUUGGUAAGGCAAGUGAUUUCCAACCAUGGAAAUGCACUAGUUUACCCCUUGCGAGCCUUUGGGAGGUGACUUGAAGGUAGGAUUUUCUAGAAUAGCCAACACUUGGUAAGCUUUUGGACUCCAAGGAGACAUCCAUUAGUUAUCUCUUGCGAGCUUUUGACGGGUAAUCCAAGGUUAAAGAUCACCUUGAAUGGCAAGUGCUAGGUGAGAGGUAUGAGUCAUUGUAAGAUGCAUCAGUGAGAGGGAUUUAGUGAUUGAACCCAUUAAUGGGAAGCAUCUGUACAACACCGGUUAGAGAAUUAACUAUAUGUUAAUUCUCUAAUGCGAGGAAAAUAAACAAGUGACCGGAACUCUCCAUUUUGUAUGAGGAACAAGCCUAGUGAUCUGAACUCCAAGAAACACUUUUCUUUGUAGUUAAAACCAGUUACUAUUUUUUGUUAGCUUAAAACCAAACCUUUUUCAUUUAAACAUCUUUAUGUUUCUUUUAAAGCUAACCUUGAAAUGAAAAGGCACCAAUUCAGCUUUGAAUUGAUAUCAUUUGUGAAGUGAAAACCCAUCCCAGUGAACGAUCCUAGAGCCACUAUGCUAUAGUAGCUUUGUCUUUGCUACCCUAGUUCAUGGUGUAAUAGGUUAUAAAUUUUGUUGAUUACUCCCUCAAUCAAGGAGCACCAGCUGGACACGAAUCAGCUGAGACACCAAGUGGGCNNNNNNNGUUCAUGGUGUAUUAGGUUAUAAAUUUAGUUGUUUACUCCCUCAAUCAAGGAGCACCAGCUUGACACGAAUCAGCUGAGACACCAAGUGGGCACGAAUCAAAUGGCGCCAUUUGCUUCGUCCGUAGCAGUGGCAGUGGCAAUGGCACCAUUUGAUUCGAGGUUCAAUCCCAGGCAACGGCGCCAUUUGAUUCGUCCCUAGCAGUGGCAGUGGCAAUGGCACCAUUUGAUUCGAGGUUCAAUCCCCGGCAGCGGCGCCAUUUGAUUCGUGUCCACUUGGUGUCUCAGCUGAUUCGUGUCCAGCUGGUGCUCCUUGAUUGAGGGAGUAAUCAACAAAAUUUAUAACCUAUUACACCAUGAACUAGGGUAGCAAAGACAAAGCUACUAUAGCAUAGUGGCUCUAGGAUCGUUCACUGGGAUGGGUUUUCACUUCACAAAUGAUAUCAAUUCAAAGCUGAAUUGGUGCCUUUUCAUUUCAAGGUUAGCUUUAAAAGAAAACAUAAAGAUGUUUAAAUGAAAAAGGUUUGGUUUUAAGCUAACAAAAAAUAGUAACUAAUUUUAACUACAAAGAAAAGUGUUUCUUGGAGUUCAGAUCACUAGGCUCGUUCCUCAUACAAAAUGGAGAGUUCCGGUCACUUGUUUAUUUUCCUCGCAUUAGAGAAUUAACAUAUAGUUAAUUCUCUAACCGGUGUUGUACAGAUGCUUCCCAUUAAUGGGUUCAAUCACUAAAUCCCUCUCACUGAUGCAUCUUACAAUGACUCAUACCUCUCACCUAGCACUUGCCAUUCAAGGUGAUCUUUAACCUUGGAUUACCCGUCAAAAGCUUGCAAGAGAUAACUAAUGGAUGUCUCCUUGGAGUCCAAAAGCUUACCAAGUGUUGGCUAUUCUAGAAAAUCCUACCUUCAAGUCACCUCCCAAAGGCUCGCAAGGGGUAAACUAGUGCAUUUCCAUGGUUGGAAAUCACUUGCCUUACCAAGUGUUGGCCCAGGUGAUUUAAAGGCGUUUUAAGUUAACUAAAAACAUAGAAAUCACUAACGGGUCACACUUUCUCUUCAUUAAAAACUAAAACAACAAAACUUCCAAAUUAUGCAUGUGGAAACUUACCCGGCUUUCCUCACUCCAAGAGACAAAAAGCUUAGCCUCUCAUCCUCUGUGGAAAAAUCCUCAAAGUUUGGUUGGCUAGAAAUAAAAAUAAAUGAAAAAUGAAAGAGAAGGAAAAACAGAGCAAGGCUCUGUAUAUUCUAUAUAUGAUAUAUGAUUACAGUGGAUGCAAAGGAAUAUAUAUAGAGAUGUUUUUCCAACCUUCCUAACUAAGAAAUCUUAUGGUUCGUGGCUUACAAGGAGAAGAAUGGAAAUUUAUACAAAAAUAUCUGAAGAAAAAUAUCCAAAAGAGUCGGUGCAAAAAUAUCGGGAAGCUCCAGGAACAUUUCGCAGGUGAAAAUGGUGUCUGCGAGAUUUCGCAGACACUCAAGAGGGCUGCGAAAUAUUUUUGCAUCAACAAGUUAUUCUCGUAGGGCUGCGAAGUUGGCUUCCACCUUGAUGUUCUCAGCUUCCAGCUUGUGGCAUAUAUCGGGCAACUUCAGGAGGAAUUCCAUAGCACUGUACAAAAAGGCUGCGAAAUUCUCGCAACAAAAGGCUGAUUUCGCAACACUUUGGAGUGAUCUGCUUGCAAUGGCUGUAACUCCUUCGUUUCAACUCCGAAUCAUGCACCGUUUGAAGCAUUGGAUUCUUGACUUCCUGAGCUUUGAAAUGGUAUAUCGAAUGUAGAAAAUGGACUUCGGGAAGUGCUCCAAAAGUGUGAAAGAAGACUGCAGCUAGCUUUCCUCUGUUUUCUUCACUCUGUUUUUCCUCUCUCCAGUGCUCUUUCCUUGCAUACUUUGAACGACUUUGGCAAAGGGCUAUGGAGCUCCAAAGCUUGGUUCUUCAUGAAUUUGAGCUCUUCAUUGCUUUGCCAUGGAUUCCAAAUAACUCUCCUCAAUCUUGGAUUGUUUUGGUGAUCAAAUUACUAACAAAAACACCAAAACUUACACAAUUUGAUAAGAAAUGAUUGCAAGGGUCCUUAACAUGUUAAUUGGGUUAAAAGGCAAUAACUACUACUCAAAAGUGUUUAAAAGGAUUAAUUACAAGCUAUCAAAUAGCACUUUUUGAGUAGUAAUCACUCCCCCCAACCGACAUAUUGCUAGUCCCUUAGCAAUGAAGGAGAGAAAAAUAAAAAUAAACAAUACUAUAAUUUACAACAUCAUGCUGAUCAAAAAACAAUUUUCAAGUGGCAUGAUGAUCUAACUCUCACAUGGAACAUUAAAGAAAUAAAACUCAAACUUCAACAAGAGUUAUCAAAUAACUUGUCUAAUCACAAUUCUUAAAGAGAAGGCAUUAUGCAAAUUUAAGCUUUAAAAUCAUUUCCACUUCCAAAGGAUCAAACCUUACUCUUCCACAAAAAUCUAAGUGUUAUUUAUUAGCUUCCGAAUAUAGUAUGUUGAACUAAUCUCUCCCCCUCAACCUAGUUCUUUUUCAAAGCUUAGCAAACUAAUCAACCUCCAAUAGGCUAAGAACGCACCUCUUUUUUCAUAAUUUUUUUCAUUGUAGGAGUACAAGGCUUAAAGGUAUUCUUUUCUAAAUUGUCCAUGUAACGGGGGUCCAUCGAUGACUCCCAACCAAUUAAGGUUUAGGGCAUCAAGCUUUAAGGAUCUUUCAACCACUAACUCCUCGGAUUUUACCCCGGACUUUUGAGAAUGAAUUUUUAAUACCCAAGCACCUACAGUAUGUUAAACUCCACCUAUUCACCCUUGUAACGAGCAUUGAGGUCGGUGACUCCCAACCAAUGAAGGCUUAGGGCACCAGGUUUUAAAGAUUUUCACCAUAUACCCCUCAGACCUUGCUCGGGUUUCAAGGCAAGCAAACAUUUUUUUUUUUUUUUUUUCAAAGACUCAUUGGCCUUUUAUAAGGUGUCCCAACACUAUUAAAUGAGGUCAAAGGUACCAAGUCUAAAAUUUUCCUAAGUCAAGAGGGAAAUAGUUUUUCAUCUUAUACUCGGAACCUAUUGUGCACAGUGUGUGGAUAGCUUAAAGUGGAAGAACUAAGGUUGACUUCAAUAGAAGUUUCAACAAUUCAUCAACUUUAAUAAGCAUAAUACAAAAUCUAAGUCAAGUAAAAAGACAAAAAUUCAAUUUCUCCAAUUUUAGUUUGAAAAUUUUUCCUUAAUAACCAUGGAGAGUAGAAUAAAAACUUUAAAAUUUUUUUAAAUUAAGCAAAAAACAACUAAAUUACCAAAAUAACUUAGCAUUAUUAACAAUACUUACUUCCUCAACUCUCCCCCCAACCAAGCUGAACAUUGUCCUCAAUGUGACAAAAGCGAUUGAAAAAUAGGGAGGAAGUGGUACCUCUUGAGUGACAUGGAGUCUGAGUUGUAUAGGAGAAACCACAUGUUUCAAAGAAAACAUAAGAGUUAGUGAGUAGAAGAAAUAGAAAAAUGCCAAGUUUAAACAAAAAUGAUGUCUAUGUAUGAUGUAUCAUCAGUAACACAUCCAAUUCCAAAAUAUAAGACAUCAAAACAUGGAAUUAUCUAUACUAAUAUAAUAUGUAAAGACAAAAAUAAAGAGAUGAUCAAGCAAUGGUAAGGUCCUGUGGAGCUGAUGCAUCUAUGGUGGCCUCUUGAGUGGGUUGGAUAAGGACUUUGACCUCUGUUCUGGUAGUCUCCUUAGGUGGCAUAGUCUCCUCAACUGGAGCUCUCAGUUGGUAGCUAUGGGAUUUGAUGGUUUAAGGAGGUAAGAAAUGGAGUGAGAGGCUUGGUGUGUGUGAUCCCAGGGUAUGCAGGGCUCUCCUUUUCAGAUGCAUGUUUGCAGGGCUCUAUUGGCAUUUUAGUAACUUCCCUUGGCUUUGCAAAGUGUUUUUGCAAAUCACCCUCCAUUUCACAAGUCAAUUUUGCAAUUUAAAGUCCAUUUUGAAGCUUGGAGGUGAUUUCACAGCCCUUUCGAAGCUUGGAGAUCAUUUCGCAGAAAAGUGGCAUGUUCACUGACCAUUUUUGAAGCUUGGAGCAUUUUCGCAGCCAUUCUGAAGCUUGGAGAUCAUUUUGCAGAAAAGUGGCAUUUUCGCAGACCAUUUUUGAAGCUUGGAGCAUUUUCGCAGCCAUUUCGAAGUUUGGAGAUCAUUUCACAGGCAAUGGGCAAUUCCGCAGCCCAUUUCUGAAGCUUGGAGCAUUUUCGCAGCGGGGGGUGGAUUUCACAGAGGAGGGGAAUUCUCGCAGCCCAUUUCGUAGCUUAAAAGUAAUUUCAUAGCUCAAAGGUGAUUUCGCAGCCAUAUCGCAGCUUCAAAAUGAGGGGAACUGUGCUGCAAAUGGCACUCGUGUGCCAAAAAGUGGUUUCGUAGCUGCGAAACACCCUUCCAAAUGGCGUCUCGGCUGCGAAAUUCCCGUUCAGCUUUGCGCGCUUGUCUUCAAAUGACCAUAACUUCUUUAUUUCAAAUCCAAAUCGAGUACCGUUUGAAGCUAUGGACUCCUGACUUCCCAAGAUUUGAAACGAGAUAUCAUAUGCAUAAUUUGAGCUCCAGGAAGUGCUUCAAAAAUGUGUCCAACAGUAGCAAAAUUGAGGUGCGACAUUUCCGCUCAUGGUUUGCACAGUCAUCUUCAAACAGCCAUAACUUUUCUGUUUCAAAUCCAAAUCGAGCACCAUUUGAAGAUAUGGACUCCUGACUUCCCAAGCUUUCCAACGAGAUAUUGCAUGCAUAAUUUGAACUUCGGGAAGUGAUCGAGAUGUGCCCAACAAUUGCCAAAAUGAGGGUGCGGCUGUGAAAUUGGGAUUUUUCAAUUUUGGGUUUCGCAGCCAUUUUCGCAGCUGCGAAAUGGCACUCGUGUGCCAAAACCAGCUUCGCAAUUGCGAAAUACCCUGCGGAAUGGGGCUUUGGCUGCCAAAAAAAAUGAAUUUUUUUUUUUUUUUUUUUUUUGGUUUCGCAGCCAUUUUCGCAGCUGCGAAAUGAGGGUUACUGUGCUGCGAAAUGGCACUCGUGUGCCAAAAGUUGGCUUCGCAGCUGCCAAACACCCUUCCAAAUGGAGCUUUCCCUACGAAAUGGAGGAUUUCAUGCUUUGGUGGUUCGCAGCCGCUUUCGCAGCUGCGAAAUGGGGGCUCCUGUGCUGCGAAGUGGCACUCAUAUGCCAAAAUUGGUUUUGCAGCUGCCAAAAUUUUCGCAAAGAGGGCUAUUGGGUUGCGAACUGGUUUCGCAGCAAAAUUUCGAUUUCGUAGAGGCUGCGAUAUCUCGCAGACCCCUGUUUUUCCCCUAUUUCUCCCCUGUUUUCGCUCCGUUUGACUCCGAUUUUGCUCCGAUUUUUUUCCUUCAAUUUCUUUGCAAUUCCUCUUGAUUUUGAUCAUCCAAAAACCUAUAUUACAUCAAAACAAACUAGAAUUAAAACAUUUAAAUCAAAAUUAAAGCAUUGAAAUCAAAAUUAAAACAAGUAAAAAAAAAACAAAACAAAAAGAUAUGGACUAGCUAGUCUUUAAAAAGACUAAGUCCAUCAAAAAAUUUGCUCCUGAUUUAGCUUGCCCGGAUCCCAUAUGAAGCUUGCAUCUCUCACUUGGGGCUUUCUCUGUAUGAUUUUCUCAUACAAAGCUUGGAGAAAAGUUAGAGGCACGUGUUUCAUCAUCAAUUCUUCCUUGAUGACUAUCCUCUGUGGUUCUUCAUCUAUAUAGUCAUCUUUCUCUGUACUUUUCCCCUUUUUCUUUCCUUUGAUUUCCUCCCUCUUUUCUUUCUCUGUUUCACUAUCUACCUUAUGCUCUAGCUUGCAUGUGGGCAGAUCAACCUCUUUACCACUCCUCAGAGUGAUCACUUCUUCAAUUUCCUUCACCAUUGAAGAUUCUCCCUCUUUAGUCUCCAUUUCAUGGAUACUCAUGGAAUUUUGAUAAGGUUGAGAAGGAGAGUUUUCUUUCUCUUGCAUUGUUUUGAGGUUGGCAAACCUUGAGAUUGAAUCUUGGAGAAUAUCUAACUUCUGAGCCAUAUCAUUUUGCAUUACAUCCAUCCUUUAUUCAAAGUACUCUCCAUUCUGUCAAUUCUUUGAUUGAUUUGAGCAUUGAUGGCUUCUUGCUUUCCAAUAAAAUCUCCCACGACCUUGCAAAGAUUCACCAUAGCUUGUUCAAGGAUUGAGGCUUGCUGUGGUGCUUGAGCAGGUUGCUGAUACUGAGGUGGCUGUGGUUUCCAAGAGAAAUUUGGAUGGUCCCUCCAAUUGGAAUUGUGGGUGUUGCAAUCACCAAACAUUUCCCUCUCGGAUGGAAUGGUAGGACACUCAUCCACCAAGUGCUCAUAUGAUCGACAAAUGGCACAAGGCAUAGCUUGCAAUGGUGUUUAAAAGAUGGUUUGCACUUCUUGCAUCUGGUUCAUUUCUAGCUCAUCCAAUCUCCUUUCCAUAGCUGCAAUCUCUGCCUUCAUGUCCAUGCCGUCAUUCAAAAUAUACAUCUCACCCUUAGCUUUAGGUUGAGACGUCAUUCUUCCCAUAUCUCUAGCAUUUGGUUCAUCCCAUCCUCUUGAAAAUUCAGCCACAUAACUCAUGAAGUUCAUGGCUUCCUCUGCUAUGUGGUUCAAUAUGGCAUGCACAACUAGCAAUUUGUGAUUUAAAAACAGAGAACACAAAAGAAAACAAAAGAAAAACAAUUCAAAGAAAGAAAAUUAAGGUAAACUAAAGACUAAAUAAAAGGUAUACUAAAAUAUGAACAACAAAGAAAUAAAAAGGGUUAGUGAAAGGAAAAGAAAAGUCACCAAACUUGUGAUGAAGAUCACAAGUACUCUAGAAAGGUGCAUUGUAAAGUGGCACCAUCCCCGGCAACAGCGCCAUUUGAUUCGUGCCCACUUGGUGUCUCAGCUGAUUCGUGUCCAGCUGGUGCUCCUUGAUUGAGGGAGUAAUCAACAAAAUUUAUAACCUAUUACACCAUGAACUAGGGUAGCAAAGACAAAGCUACUAUAGCAUAGUGGCUCUAGGAUCGUUCACUGGGAUGGGUUUUCACUUCACAAAUGAUAUCAAUUCAAAGCUGAAUUGGUGCCUUUUCAUUUCAAGGUUAGCUUUAAAAGAAAACAUAAAGAUGUUUAAAUGAAAAAGGUUUGGUUUUAAGCUAACAAAAAAUAGUAACUAAUUUUAACUACAAAGAAAAGUGUUUCUUGGAGUUCAGAUCACUAGGCUCGUUCCUCAUACAAAAUGGAGAGUUCCGGUCACUUGUUUAUUUUCCUCGCAUUAGAGAAUUAACAUAUAGUUAAUUCUCUAACCGGUGUUGUACAGAUGCUUCCCAUUAAUGGGUUCAAUCACUAAAUCCCUCUCACUGAUGCAUCUUACAAUGACUCAUACCUCUCACCUAGCACUUGCCAUUCAAGGUGAUCUUUAACCUUGGAUUACCCGUCAAAAGCUUGCAAGAGAUAACUAAUGGAUGUCUCCUUGGAGUCCAAAAGCUUACCAAGUGUUGGCUAUUCUAGAAAAUCCUACCUUCAAGUCACCUCCCAAAGGCUCGCAAGGGGUAAACUAGUGCAUUUCCAUGGUUGGAAAUCACUUGCCUUACCAAGUGUUGGCCCAGGUGAUUUAAAGGCGUUUUAAGUUAACUAAAAACAUAGAAAUCACUAACGGGUCACACUUUCUCUUCAUUAAAAACUAAAACAACAAAACUUCCAAAUUAUGCAUGUGGAAACUUACCCGGCUUUCCUCACUCCAAGAGACAAAAAGCUUAGCCUCUCAUCCUCUGUGGAAAAAUCCUCAAAGUUUGGUUGGCUAGAAAUAAAAAUAAAUGAAAAAUGAAAGAGAAGGAAAAACAGAGCAAGACUCUGUAUAUUCUAUAUAUGAUAUAUGAUUACAGUGGAUGCAAAGGAAUUUAUAUAGAGAUGUUUUUCCAACCUUCCUAACUAAGAAAUCUUAUGGUUCGUGGCUUACAAGGAGAAGAAUGGAAAUUUAUACAAAAAUAUCUGAAGAAAAAUAUCCAAAAGAGUCGGUGCAAAAAUAUCGGGAAGCUCCAGGAACAUUUCGCAGGUGAAAAUGGUGUCUGCGAGAUUUCGCAGACACUCAAGAGGGCUGCGAAAUAUUUUCGCAUCAACAAGUUAUUCUCGUAGGGCUGUGAAGUUGGCUUCCACCUUGAUGUUCUCAGCUUCCAGCUUGCGGCAUAUAUCGGGCAACUUCAGGAGGAAUUCCAUAGCACUGUACAAAAAGGCUGUGAAAUUCUCGCAACAAAAGGCUGAUUUCGCAACACUUUGGAGUGAUCUGCUUGCAAUGGCUGUAACUCCUUCGUUUCAACUCCGAAUCACGCACCGUUUGAAGCAUUGGAUUCUUGACUUCCUGAUCUUUGAAAUGGUAUAUAGAAUGUAGAAAAUGGACUUCGGUAAGUUCUCCAAAAGUGUGAAAGAAGACUGCAGCUAGCUUUCCUCUGUUUUCUUCACUCUGUUUUUCCUCUCUCCAGUGCUCUUUCCUUGCAUACUUUGAACGACUUUGGCAAAGGGCUAUGGAGCUCCAAAGCUUGGUUCUUCAUGAAUUUGAGCUCUUCAUUGCUUUGCCAUGGAUUCCAAAUAACUCUCCUCAAUCUUGGAUUGUUUUGGUGAUCAAAUUACUAACAAAAACACCAAAACUUACACAAUUUGAUUAGAAAUGAUUGCAAGGGUCCUUAACAAGUUAAUUGGGUUAAAAGGCAAUAACUACUACUCAAAAGUGUUUAAAAGGAUUAAUUACAAGCUAUCAAAUAGCACUUUUUGAGUAGUAAUCACCUAUAAUUAGUGGUCGUUCUACCAUCAUUGUUCAUAAAUCGUGGUUACAAGCACAUCAUUAUCUAUUAGAGAAUACAACUAUCGUCCAACCAUACACUGAGUAAGAAAAACAUACCUUUAUCUUUUUAUAAUUUCAUAACAUAAUGAUGAAAUCCUAAGUUUGCAUUCCUUGUCUUUAACGUCAUAGGGAACACAUGAAUUGGUUGAGGUCUCAAUACCCUCGACAAUCUAAUAGACAAAUUUGGUUGCAAGAAGAACAUAUGAGUUGUUUUACAUAUUGGCUUAAAGAAACGGUAAUCUCUUAGUUUUUAGAAAAAUUUUCAAUAUGUUGAAAACAUCACAAGUUUUCAAUAUGUUUUGAUUAUACAUAGGUUGAAGAGGCUAUCCAUAAUGGGCAAGAUAUUCCCGACACACUUAGGUGGUUAGCACAUGGCCCUACUCUCCAGGUAGUCAAAUAUCCUAGAUAUAUCGUUAAUGAGUGUCGUUACCAUAUUAAGAAACGCGAUAUGACAUGCAUCACCCAAAAUAGUGGUGUUAGCAUUUUAGCAAGGACUAUGCAAAUUGCCAAUUCUAAGGAUAAGAACCUAGUUUGUGGUGAACUUUGCUUUUAUGGGGUCAUUAAUGAGAUAUGAAAUCUUGAUUACAACAUGUUCACAAUUCUAAUUUUCAAGUGUGAUUAGGUUGACAACAAGAAUGGUAUAAAAGUUGAUGAACUUAGGUUCACAUUAGUUGACUUCUCCAAAAUAGGUCACAAAUUGGAUCCAUUUAUUUUAGCAUCACAAGCCAAGCAAAUCUUCUAUGUUGAAGAUCAACUUGAUCCUAAAUGGUCAAUAGUUCUCUCAAUUCCUCCAAAAGAUUUCAAGAACAUAGAAGGACUAGAUGACUUCACCAAUAAUUGCAUGGAACAUCACCCCUUUAUAAGUUCAAUGCCAGAAUUUGAAUCAUUUGAUGCUAUGGAUGAAUCAUAGGCAAUACACAUGAGAGAAAACUGUGAGGGCAUAUGGAUUGAAAAUAAUUAAAUAACAUAUUGUACCCUUGAAUGAGAUAUAAUAAGGCAUUUCACUUAUUAGUUUUCAUGAGUUGCACAUUAACUUAGCUUCUAUAUAUUGCUCAUGAUAUAUCUAUAUAUAUUAAUCAUCCUAAAUUUCUUUCAUGCAUCAUAAACAUAUGUUAUUCAAAGGUACCACUUCAAUCUUCAUUCAACUAUCUUUUUGUUGUCCAUAGAACUAGAUUUAUAUUAUUUUUUAUUAUCAUGUUUUGAUUUUAUGCUCACAUAACUUGAAACUCUCAUUCCUAAAUUUCUUUUUCAUUAAAACUAUAAAUCAUAAUUGAAACUAUGCACUAAUUUAUUUUAUUAUUAUCCUCACAAAUAAAUUCUUCAUUAUUGAUAAGAAAUCAAAAAACAAGACAAACUUUGAAAGAAAAUUUCAAAAAAUAUAUUUGUGAAUGACCAAUUUAAUUAUAGAAAAUAUAUGCAAGGCUAUACUAAUCUUGCUUUUGAGUCAUUUUACAGGUUUGUUGGUGAAGUACUAGUUUGCACAUUUACUUGAUAUCUUCCACACAAAUAUGGAUCUAGAAGAAGGGGAAAUGCCAAAAAUAAAGCAUAGAGGUAGUGCAUUGAAACCAAAGAUUGCAAAAAAUCGAAGUAAAGGGAUAAAGCUCAAGAUUGAAUACAAUAGCCUUGGUAGUCACAUUGAGGAAAAUUCAGUUAAACUAAGUAGUUAUCUUAGUACAAUAACUAGUACCCAUGUGCCAAUAAUUAUUGAGAGUUGGAGGAAAGUCCCUAAAGAGACUAAGGAGAAGUUGUGGGAUUUGAUCACGGUAAGCCUAUCUAUAGCUUUAAUAUAUAAUUAUUGUAUACAUUCAUUAACAUGAGCUAACAUGGGUUGCUAUUUUGUAGACAAGCUUUAAUGUGAAUAAAAAAUCCAAGAGGAAUUGUUUCAUACUAAUGGGCAUCAGGUUUCGAACCUUUAAGUAUAAGUUGACAAAGAAAUAUAUAUUGUCUUUCAAGAAUGACCAAAAAAGCUGAAAAAGUCACCUCCUAUUUGCCCAUUCAUACAAGAGGAUCAUUGGAGACAGUUUGUUAAAGAUAGACUUUUUGAACAUUUUAACGUUAAGCAUUAUUUUUAUUACAUCUUCAAUUUUCACAUUUACAUAGUUUCAUUAUGUACUAAUUUUGUGUCUAUAUUUUGUAGGAAUAUCGCAAAGUUCAAAAAUCAAGAAGAGAUAAACACAUUUACAAUCAUUAUCUUGGAAGAAAAUGAUAUGCACGUUUUGAGCAAGAUAUAGUAAGUUAUCAAUAUCCAUAAAAAAAAUGGAGUAUAUAUUUUGUUUAUAGGAAAAUGAUUCUAGUUUUUAAAUAUCAUUUAUUAACUUGAUCAUGUUGAACUAAUGAGUUUUAUUGUUAAAAAUUUUAUAGCUACAAGCAGAAGGGGCUAUUGGUAGGGUUGAUAGAAGUGUUUAUGAAAGAAAACACGUGAGAAGAAAGGAAAGUUUAAUAAGAUUACAAAGCUAAUGAUUAACUAAGUUAGCAUAUUUAUCUCUUUUAGAGCCUAUAAUGUUAGUAUGUCUAUGUGAUUAUGGUUUAGGAUGAUAUCGUUAGGUGUUAAUAGGGAAGAGGCUUAAUGCUAUCAUUUUUAUGAGUAGUCAUGUUCUAUUAGUGCAAAUAUAGUAGCCUAAUUUGAAAAUUAAUUUUGAAACAAUAUACAUUAAUUUAUCUAUUAUCAUUUUUAUUAAAACAAUUCAUUUUCUAGCUACCUUGAAUUGGUCCUCUUGAAUUGGUUGUCUUUGAUUGAUAUGUUAAUCAUCUUCAUCAAAUUAUUACUAAUAUAUGUUUUGUUGUAGGAUGAAUUACUAGAAAAGGCAAGGAGACUGGACUACCUCCACCUGGUCCAAAUGACAUAUUAUGUCAGGCAUUGGGUAAGCUUGAUCAUCUAGGACGUGUGGUAGGUCAAGACCACUUGGUUAGGCCGAACUCAUACUUUCAUCAACCAUUUGAUGACAUGAAAAAAAAUAAUCAAAGAAGAAAUAUGGGAAAUGGUGUGAAAGGGGAUGCAAAAUGCUGUAACAAGACAAACUAUGUCUCCUCCCACACCCCAUUCUGAUAUAGGUAGUAAUAACAUGAGACAACAACUUGUUUUACAACUAGUUGUAGCAAAAAAACCAAUGUUUAAAAUGAUGGAAGAGCCCUAACCACCAGAACCACCACUGAAACGUAAGGUAUACAUUUACUUACUAAUAAUACAAGAUUAAUAUAAGUGAUAUAUAGCCUAUGUAAAUGAUAUUAUUUGUUGUAUUAAAGGUGAUUAAAUAUAAAUUAGCAGUGGAAUGAAAAUGAAAUGUUGUUGCAACCAGUACAUUAAUAGAAGAAAAUUGAUCAAAUGGGUUGGUCGUAAUAAAUGUUGCACACAAGCUAGAUGCUAGACUCCCAUUUCCAAAUCCAUAUGAGAUUAUCAAUGUUGGGGAUUCUAUUGGCCUUAAGCUUGACUGGCCAACAAGCCUUGUCAUACUUGAAACUAAACAUCCUCGGGUAUGUCAUUUUAUACUUGUAGUAAAUUUGAUUGUAACUUGGUAUUUUAUUGUUUAGGAGUAUAUAUUACUAACAUUCCUUCAUUUUUCAUAAGUGUUGGAUAAAGGAAAGAAGUAGAUAGUGAAUGCACCAAUUAUUCGAAAAUCUAAGCCUCAAAAUUAUUCGGUCAUUAAAAAUUUUCAGAAAUUUAUGGAUGGUUGUCUUAGUAAUGAGAAGACAUACCCAAUACAACUCCCCAUUUCACUAUUUGGUGUCGAAUUCCGAACAUAUAUAUCUAGAGAGGAUUGUGAAUACAUUAUUUCAUCUUCAGAGGUGUCAUCAAAAUGCAUCUCCUUCCACUUAUGGUGUGCACCUUUUAUUUUCAUUUGUUUUUAUUUUUUUAAUAUGAGUUGCCCAUGUUGAACAAGAUUGGAUAUGACUAAUGAUAAUUUUCUUUUGGUGUUUUGAUAAUAUAAUAGGUACAUGCAUGAUCAACUACAUAUUGCCAAAAAGGAAUCACAAUUUAUAUUUGUUAAUCCUUUUACAAUAUCAUGAGCAGGCUUUAGUAAUCCUCAAACAGAGAAAAGAACACAAUUGUUGUCAAAACACUUAAUAGAGUGCCAAGAUGUCGGAUAUGUUUUCAUGCCCUACAACCCCGAGUAAGUGACGAAUAUUAUACUUUAAUUUGAGGUUUUAUGAUUGAUUUAUAUUUAUAAUUAGAUGCUACUUUUGUUUUUAAUGUUUUAGCUUUCAUUGGGUCUUGGUAGUGAUUGAGCCAAGGAAAAUGAUAGUCCACUAUCUUGACCCUAUGCAUCACAAACCAUGUGAGGACUUAAAGGAUAUCGUAAACAUGUAAGUUCUUCCUAUUAUUUUUCAUAGUAUUAUUUUAAAAAAAAUUACAUUCACCUCAAACACAUUUUUUAUUGUUAUUUCUAUAUAUUAAAACAUAUAAUAUUUACCUAUUUUAAAAUUGUACCCAUUGAACUUAUUUACAUAGGGCUCUUUAAAUAUAUGCAAAGAAAAUAUCUAAGAGAGAGCCAUCUUGGCAACUAGUGCAAGUAACAUCCAAAAAUUUUCUUUACACAUUUAGCUUAUGCAUUUGCACCAUUUAUAUAUAUGAGUACUAAUGUUAUUUUAUAACUGAUCGAUUAGUGUCCAAGACAAGAAGGAGGGUUCAAAUGUGACUACUUUGUUAUGAGAUUCAUUAAAGAGAUAAUUUUUUAUCCUACAAUGAUUGCUUCAAAGGUAUUACUUAUUUAAUGACUUGUACAUAUUUUUAGGCUUCCAAAUGUUAUGCAUUUUAAUGUUAUUUUCUUAUUUGAUUUCAGUUUGGUGAUAAAAAAAACAUAUUAUCAAGUAGAAUUCAAUGAAAUUAGAGGAGAAUUGACUACUUUUGUGCUACAACUAAUCAUGAAUCAUGUUGAUGCAUCAUGAUCACCAUGCAUGGUGAGUCCCUUAGCUACUACAUGAAUUUUUCCAUAGAUUAUAGUAUUGCUUUUCUUUGAACAAUGUUUUUAUUUGAAAAAAAGAAAAAAAAAAGUUCUUAGAUUUGUUCAUUUAUGAUAACAUCGAUCCAUAUUUAUUUUCUUCAAUNNNNNNNNNNNNNNNNNNNNNNNNNNNNNNNNNNNNNNNNNNNNNNNNNNNNNNNNNNNNNNNNNNNNNNNNNNNNNNNNNNNNNNNNNNNNNNNNNNNNGGUAUACACUCUUAGGAGGGUGGAAUAGAGAAUAAAAAGAACAAAGAAGGCAACAAGAUUUUGGGUUUUUAAAUGCAGCUCGUAUGUCAUACAUUGUAGGACAUAAACGUUACUUUAAUUGGUAGUGAGAAUUUUAGAUUUUUAGAUGCUACUUUUAUGUCAUUUUAUAGUUAGUCGGUUUUAUGCUUAUGAAAUGAAGGUAUACAUGAAUCUUGGGAUGCUUAACAUUACUAGAUCAUGUUUUGGUAUGUAUUCACUCUUCUUUUUUAGUUUUGGUGGGUUUGAUAUAUUGGAUGUACUAUCUUUUUGUGAACAUUUGAUAUACAAAUAUUAUUAGAUGAUCAAUGUAUUACGAGUUAUUCCAUAAACAUUACUGAAAAAUGAGUUAAAUGUAAUAUGAUUGUUAUAUUUAUGGACAAAAUAUACACAGGUUAAUCCUAUUUGUUAAUUCAUAAGCAUUACAAAAAUCUACAACUAAAAGCAAUCAUAUCUUCCAUGAUAAUUUACAAUGAUGUGACACCAUAACUCAAAGGUGAUGCAUUUAAUGUGACAUCAUAACUCAAAGAUCAUGCAUUUAAUGCGACAUCCUAUCAUCACUAGAAAUAUAUGAUGUCACUUUCGAAUGCGUUACCAUUUAUCUACUUUGGUGUCACUUACAAAUACGUCACCAAUUGGUACCCUCUAUGGUGUCAGUGGAGAAGGUGACACUAUGUUGUAGUGACACCCUAUGUUUAUGGUGACUCGUUAUAAAUGUCACCAUAUAUCUUUUUUCUUGUAGUGCAAAUUACUUAUCUUACUAUGCAUUGGGCUUUGAUAUUAGCCAGAGACAGUAGUGGCUCCUAAUUUUUAUCCUUAACUGAAAUGAAAACGUUAAGCAGGUCCCCAGCCUCUUUUUCGCCAUUCUUCCACUAUUCUACUAUUUGGUCCAUGAUUGGAUCAUGGUACUUGUUAAUGGUGUUCAUAGCCUCCCAUAUAGUCUUUUCAUGGCCAUCUAAAUUCAGCACUCUCUGCCAUGGGAAGUAAUCAGAUAAAGAGAAUACAUAUAGAUGAGCAAGUAUAGUAAAGAAGGAUUCAACAUGUUGCUCCACUUCAACUCUAGGGCCUCCAUCUUUCUUUCGUUCGCCAAAGUAUCUUGUGUUGAGGAUCAUCUUUCAGAUGACAUUCCCGUUGUAUUGACGGACUUUAUUUCUGUCACACCCCAAAUACUAGGCAACCCAGAACUUGACUCGUGGCCCUAGGUCAAAGGUUUGACCCUAAGAGUUACUCUUAUCCAUGUUGGCAAUCAAUCAAAACACCCUAGAUUUUUUUUCUUUUCAAUAAAGCGUUUAAUCCUAAAUAAAUUUAUUAAGCUAAGAUUUACUAUAACAUAUCAUUUUAUUUUUCCAAAACUAACCAUCACAUUAUCUCCUGUUCACAAGUAUUAAAAAAAUAAAAUUCCACCAAUCAUCUUCCUACCCAAAAGCUCAAAUAUUUACAAUAAUCUCUAAGUCAAAAAGAAUAUUUCCAAAAAUGUUUUACAAACUAAUAAAAUAUAAUUUAACUUAAAAAGGUCCAUAUAACUCAAAUUAGUAGAUGUCAAAAAGGUAAUUAAAAAAAAACAACAACCAUUAUUAUGGUUUUUUUGCUUUUUAGAACACUUCAUGAUCUUCUUAUGGUCCCUUAGAAACUAUAUCUGCAUCUAAAAAUUUUAGAAAAUAAAGGGAUGCACAUUUCCACGUUACUCUUUAGACCUAGACGAGUUAGAAAUUCUAGGUCAAUAAAACACAACCAUAUGCCAAAAUAUAAUAUUACAUUUACAUUAUACACACUAAAAGAAACCUCAACCAUACAAAUUUAAAUCAAUCAAAAUUAUCAUUUUCCUUAUUUAAUCAUAUGUUUAGCAUAUCAAUAAUUUUAAAUUUACAAAAUAAAUAAGUCACUUUAGUCUUGAAUAAUAUAUUCAAACAUACACUUGAUAAAUAAUACAAAUCAUUUUUCCAAAUGCAACCAUGAUACAAAUGCUUACACACAAUCGCGCAAUGCAAUAUCGUUCUCGGGCUUUCACCGAAGGAUAUGCAUUUAUACCCAAAUACACUCCCCAUUCGGAGUCUUCCUGGGAUAAACUUUUGAGUAUUUCACCCUAAGGAUCUCACUCCCUUCUUAACUCACCAUCUCUAGGGUCAUUCAAUUUCUUAUUUUUCUUUUCUUUUCAUUUUUGCCAUUUUUGGGGUCUUUUCAUUCUCAUUUCCAUUUCACACAACCAUUUCUUUAAUUUUUCUUUUUCUUCACACAAUCAUGAUGCAUAUGAAAUGCAAUUGAAUCAUAUUUUAACAUACAUAAUUUUCCAAGACAUAAUUUUAUUUACUCCCAUUAUGUUUCAUAAUUUCCAAUAAUCCACACAACGAUUUUUCUUCACUUUAAUCGUCACAAACAUAAAAGAAAAUUCACAAUUAAUUUGUAUAGCAUCAAAACAUAGUUUUAAACAUUGACCACAUAAAUUCUAUUUAUUCCCGACAUGCUUAAUAAUUUCCAAAUCCAAUAUAACCAUUUUUUUUCAAUUAAAUAAUCACACAUAUCCAAGAAAAUUCUCGCUAAUACAAAUAUCAACGAAAAUGUAAUUUAUGUCAUAAUUUAUUUGUCUCCAAUAAUUUCAAAAAUUUUGACACCCAUAUGACAAAUUUCCACAAUUAAGCCACCCCAACAUUUGGGAAAAAUUUUCCAAUAAUUCAAAUAUCAACAAAAACCCAAUUUAUAUCAUCAUUUUAUUUAUUUUUAAAAGCAUUAAUAAUUUUAAUAAUCAAUACAACACUUUUCCACAAUUAAGCCACCACAACAUUCUGGGAAAAUUUUCCAAUAAUUCAAAUAUUAACAAAACACAAUUAUACCUUAGUUUUUCUUAUCUCCAACAACAUCAAUAAUUCUUAGUACUCAAUACAACUAUUUUUAUUUUUUCAUAUUUAAUCUUCUCAAACAUUACCAAAAUUCCAAGAAAAAUCUAUAAAUCACGAAAUAAAAUUAUUCACAAUAAUAAUCACACUUCAAAUACUACAAAUAACAUCUAUUAUAUUUCAACAACACAAUAUAUAAAUUUUUUUGAAAGAAAAUAUUAAAUCAAAGUUUUAGGGUUAAAUCACCCUACCUUAAAUUUGAAAAUUUUAACCAUUAAAACUAAAACGGGACACCGUAGGAGUGUUCCUUGCAUUGAAUAGAAUAUCCUUCCAAAAUUUCAUGCGAAAUGGACGUCAUUUGGUAGGUCCACCAGCAUCCUAAAGCUGGCGACCCAUUUUUCCCACUCUUUGCUGAUGACUCCCCUACAUCUCUCACUCGAUUUCCUUUCUUCAUUUUCUUUUCUUCUUCUUCUUUUAAACUCCCACGCCAAUUUCACUUUAUAUAUAUAUAUAUAUAUAUAUAUAUAUUAUUAAAACAAAUCCUAAAAUACCACGCACAUCCAUUUCUCAAUAAAUUAAAACCAUUAUUCUUAAAUUCAUCUUCCGUAAUUAUGAAUUAUACCAAACUUAUGAUUUUCCAUUUCACGAAAAAUACCACCGUAUUCGUAAUUUAAUUUACUACAAGUCUACUCUUCAAAAAGUAUAAUUUGAUUAUAAUUACAUGAAACAUUGUUUUUUUACUCUAAAAUUCAUUUAAAACAUGAUAUAAUUAACUAUUAAAAAAAUUUAAUUCCAUAAAAUAUUAAAAACAUAAAAUAAUUUUUUGGCAAUCAAGAAGUUGAAAUUUGUAAUAACCUUUAACCUGUUAAUUUUACCUAUAUUUAUUUACCAACAAAAAUUUAAAUAAUAUUCUAAAAUUUAAUUCCAUAAAUUAAUUAGUCAUUCAAUUUAUAAAAAUCAAAUUCUCUACCCUUUGGUAUAACUUUUAUUUAAUUUACUUCAUUUUUCAAAUUAUUCAAUCGCAUCAAAAUUUCAAAAGUUAAAUUCACUAAAUUCACAUUUAAUUAAUUUAUCCUUUUGUAUUUUUUUUUUCUAAAUUCGCAUAUCAUAAUUUAAUCUUAAUUUAAUUUUGAUUCAAUUUUGUUUUAUGUUUUCUAAUUUUAUGAGGUUUAAUUUCAAUUAUAAAAAUUAAAUUCAAUUUCUUUUUAAUUAUCCAUUAUCACAAUUUGAUAUAAUAUAAUUUUUUAUCAAGUUUUUCUUACUACGAUUUUUCUUAUAAUUAUCCAAUGAUAAUUAAAUUAAUUCUCAUAACAUAUUUAAUAUUCAAAUUUUAAAAACUUAAUCUCAAUUAUUUGAUGGUUAAUUUUUUUCUCAAAAUCUAAAUUUAAUUUAUGAAAUUCUCACUUCUUACAUCUGACGUGGCAAAAUUUUCAAACUAUUGACUUUUGACCAACUUUUCCUAAAUUUAUCCUAAUUAAAUACUAACACAUGGAUUUUCACCACUCUUUUUGACCUUUUGACCCACAAAUUUAUGAAAGACUUUAUGCUUGGAGAAUCUACAAAAACCUGGGUAUUACAAUUUCUCAGGUUGAUAACUGUCGUGGUUACGAAGCCACCACUUGAAUCCUCAGUCGCCAUUGUAAUGGGCCUGGAUGCAAAUAGUACAUCAUGUUUCUUCAAAAGUUCUCUGCUAAUCUCUGGGAAAGUCGUAGGGACGAAAUGAAAUAUUUCCCAAUUGAAUACAUGCAAUUUUAGUGUUCAUUUCUUUCAUAAAGCCAAUGUAUCCACCAGAAAGUUGGCUUUUUGUUGAGUAAAUGAGGUAGAUAUUGCACUAGUGGCCAUGGAGCUAAUCCUGGAGGAAGUUGUAUCGGCUUGCUUUUGGUACUUGUUUUGGAAUUUAAUUUAGUGAAGAUGAGAAAGAUUGAUGUGAUGAAAAGCAAUAAGAGGAAGUUGAGAUGAGACAACACAUCGUCUGUGGUAGUAGAAGAAAACAAGGUUGAGUUACUGCUACUACUCUCUGCAACAAAACCAUUUACACGUCUUUUAUAGCAAAACCAUGUUUGUCCUAUCUUGGGUCUGGAUGCACAUUUUUAAUAUUGGGGAUCAUGCAACCAAAUGUCACACACAAAGAGAGAGAAAAAAAUACGUUUUUUAGAACUUGAAAAGGUAAAAUGGGACAAAAAAUAUUAUCCAUUCUUGAACUCUAAAAGUAAAGUUAUAAAAAGCUUAGGUGGUGUUUGUUUUUUUACUUAAUUCUAAAUAGAACCUUAAUGCUUAAUAGUGUUAAAUAUUAGGUUGUUUGUUUUUGUAGUAUUUUAUUUCUAUUAAGUAUUAAAAAGUAAAAAAACCAAUAUGUUAUUUUUUCUAUUAAGAAAAAGUUACAUAUUUUGACUUUUUCUAUUUAGUAAAAAGUUUAUAAUAAGUCAUGAAAAAGUAGAAAAACAAACAACUUAAAUUUUAAAACUAAAUUGCUUUCAGCAAAAAGCCAAAAAAACAAACACCACCUUAGUUUUUUUUUUUUUUUUUUUUUGUUAUGUAUGAUUACAUGAUUUCCCCCUUUUAAGAUUUUAUCUCAUAAAAUUUUUUUUCUAGAAGGUUCAAAUAAGUUUGAUGAAUAUUGUUUAUUUUAGUAAUUUUAAUUUUGUGGGGUACUUAAAACAUUAGAAGUUCACAAAAAGCAACAUUUAUCAGCUACCUAUCUAAAAAGCUUGGCCUAAUCAUUGAAAUCCAAAAUAUAAAGUGACAACACACUUUUUAAAGCAAUUUUCAAAAUAGUUUUCAAAAACACAUUUAUUUAUGAUAUUUUUAAAAUAAAAAUCUCAAAAAUAACUUGUUUAUAUAGCGUUUUAUUAGACAAAUACUUGAUCUUUAUAAGAUCACCCUAAUUAUAGAUUUAUGAACAUGUAACACAACAAUUAUCUAUAUAUAUACUUAGAAUUAUUAUAUUUUAAGUUUUUAACUACAUAGGACAUCGUGAGUUUUUCCACCAUUUAUCUUAUAAAAAGUUUAUUUAAAUAUGAUAAAGGAUAUAUUAUCUCAUUUCUUAUUAUAUCUGAUGCUAUAUAUAUAUAUAUAUAUGUAACAGAUCAAAUACAAUUUAAAGAUUUUAAUUAACCAUCUAUUAGCAACAAAGCAAUCUCUUAAUCUCAUUCAUAAUAUUAGGAUAAUUUAGUAUUUCCUUUUAUAAAACACUAGCAUAUAAAUCAACACAAAUCAUAUUAAGGGUGUAUUUGGUGUUGAUUUUAGGAAGCGUUUUUAGUAUUUCUAAUACUUGAAAGAUAAAAAUUUUCAAGUUUUAGAAAGAUCAAAAGCGCUUUUUAGAAUGACUAUCAAAUACAUGCUAAAUAUUACUUUUGGAUACUUAUAUUUUUAAAUAACUCUUAAAACUUUUAAGGCAAGUCUCUACUAUUUAUAUAAAUCCCCUAUUAUUUUUAAUUUUUAGAAACAAAAAAUAAAGAAUAGAAACUCCAUUUAAACAUCACCUUAUUAUUUCCUAUUAUAAAAUAACACAAAUCAAAUGAAUUAUUUAAAAAUAAAUAAAUAUAAAAUCAAAGUUGAAGAGAAAAAACUCUUGUGCAUUAAAAAAACAUCAAAAUAAAUAAAUAAAUAAAACAUCAUCAAAUAAAUGUAAAAAUAAAUUAAUGUUAUGGAAAAAUGAGAAUAGGCAACAAGAAAAUAAGAACACAGAUUUACAUGAAAAAUGCUAGACGGGAAAAACCAUGGAUAGAGGAGAAGAAAAUCCACUAUAUUAAAAAUUUGGUAUAAAAUGUGAGAGAAUCAAGCGACUAUUGUAUAGGCAUAAUCACUAUGACCCUAAAUCCUAUACAUCAUCGCAUAUGUAUGGUGUAUGCGAUAAUAUUUGUGAUAAUAAAAAUAUUGUCACAUAAAAUAACUAUGGGAUGUAAUAUUUGUAAUAAUAUUCUUUACAAAAAAAUAUUUUUUCUUUGCUUUAUUCACUUUGAUCACAACUUGAAAUAAGACAAUAAAAAUAUUUUCUUAAUUUUUGAAAAUUAAUUGAGGACUUAGAGCUACUUGUUACUGAGUGAAUUUGCUGAAUGGUGAAGAAUGCGUGUAUAGUAGUUUUGCAAUUUUUCAAACUUGUAGACAUAUUUUGUGAAGUCUUUUUCUCUUUGUAAAGCCCCAUUUUCUAUGUGAAGUUAUUUUUUCAAUAUUCUCUUUGGAAGGAAUUUACCAUUAGUUAUAUAGGUAAGAUUAAGGAAUUAAAUUUGGAAUUCUUAAGAUUUGAUUACUUAAUUCAAAGAAUUUGGUUCAAGGGAAAUUUGCCAACAAAAUAAUAUUUAAUUUUAAUUCUAUGAUGACUUUAAUUAUUUGAUAUAAUUUUAUUUUGAAAGACUUGAUGUGGGGGACUCAUCACUUAUUGAGUCCAAAUUUUGUUGCACCCAAAUUUUUAUGAGCUAAGAAACCAUAAUUUUAAAGACCAAUUCAGUGGUAAGUAAAUCUGCUAAAAUCUUCUAUGUACAAAUGACCUCACUUCAAGGUGCAACACAUACAUGUAUUAUUAUGUGUAUGGGAUGAGUCUUGAAGUUAGUCUUCAUUCUUCUUUGAUUUUUUUUUCUUCAAAUAAAUAAAUAAAACAUCAUCAAAUAAAUGUAAAAAUAAAAUAUGUAUCAGUUAAUUGGAGAGGAGAGCUUUAAGGGCAUUUCUUCUAUGAAAUUCUAUGCUCCACGUACCAUAAAUUUGUACUCAACCAACAAAAUUACAGAAUGGGUCCAUGCACAAACAAAAAUAACCCAAAUGUGAAUAUCUAAAAAUGUAUGAAGUUCACAAUAGAUAUUCAAGCCCAAAUUUAAAUUUCAAAUUAGUCCAACAGAUUUCAUUAAUCAAAAUGGGUCCAAAUUAGCAAAUAUAACCCAACAAAAAUAUCUCAUAUGUCAUAGGCCCUAAUUUAAAAUUUUCAAAUUAAUAGCCAAAAUAUAAGUUCAAUUAAUCAAACCCAAAACAUGAUAAAUUAAAAUAAAUCUCAUUAGGCCUAAACUUAAUAUCCCAUAAUUCAAGCCUAAUUUAAUAUAUAAACCUAAAUCCACAAUCAAAAUCAACCCAAUUUAUGCUAAUCCCGAUUUACAAUCAAAAUCAAACAUAAUUUAAUAAGUAAAUAACUAAAUAAAUUAAGCAAACUCAAAACACCCAAACCACUACAACAUAAAUCAAACAAUAAUAAAUAUAAUGACAACAAUAAUAAUAAUAAAUAAAAUAAAAUAAAAUAAAAUAAAAAUAAAAAAUUUAACUCACGUCGGAGCCAGUUUGAAUGUCUUAGGAAAGAAAGAAAAUGAGAGAAAAGUGAGAGAUGAUUGACAACUGACAGUGGCUCACUAGCGGCAACUGGUUAGUGGUCCUACCGAUGGUAGUGAGGAUUGAUUGGUUUUUGGGAAAAAAAAUAAAAUGAAGAAAAGAAAAUGAGAAGUAAUAAAAAAAAUGGAGAAAUGAGAGGAAGGUGGGAGAAGAAUGGAGAGAGAGAACGUAGAAAAUGAGUGAAAAGAAAUGAGGCUAGUUGGAGGAGAAAGUGGUAGUGUGUGAGCUAAAGUGAAGAAUAAUAGAAGAAGAAAAUGGAGAAGAAUGGGGAAAAAAAAAUCCGUCUCCCUAAAUGAAGAAAGGUGGGUAGCCUAAAGAAGAAGAAAAAAUAAAAUAAAAUAAAAUGGGGAGAAAAUGAGAGGGGGUCGGUGGUCUUGCGAAUGAGGUGGUAUGCGUUAGAGAGAGAGAGAGUGGGUGGGGUUGUUGGGGUUGUUGGGGAAGGUAUGAGAGAGAGAGGAGAGAGAAAAGAAAAAAAAGAAAGAAAAGAAAAAAGAUAAUAUAAAAUAAUAAUAAUAAUAAUAAAAUAAAAUAAUAUACAAAAUAAUAAAAACUAAUAAUUAAAUAGUGAGUGGGCAAAAAAUAUCAUAUGUAAUCAAGAUUUAAUUUUAAGAGUAAAAUUGGGUUAAAAAUUAAUGUAAAAUAAAAUUGGGAUAAAUUUUGGGGUAUACAAAUAUGCACCUCUUCAAUAGAGUCCACGAGUAAAGCAAGUGUAUAUGUGAGCAAAACAAAGUGGGCUCUACUGAAAAAUAAGAAAGACCACCAAAUUUGUCUUAAUAUGACAUGAACUCUCCCAAAUAAAAAAAAUAAAAAAUCUAAAACCCUACAAAAAUGGCCAAAAUGGAAACUCCUAAGGUGCCUCUAAAGUUAUACUAUGGAUCUAGACUCCCUUAGAAAAGCCUCCAAAAAUGGCCCAAAAAUCGGUGCCAAAAUCGAGUAGCAAUCAGACCACUAAGGAGCACAUGAACGAAUGCAUACAAAGGGAAAAAAACCAUACGUGUACCAUACGAUGACAAAAGGCAUAAGGUAUCCAACAAUAUGACUGAUUCACGUGUUACGAGCUUAAAGAACUUUGUCAUGCACCAUGGAGGAAGGGAAACUCUAGAAUAAUGUGAUGAGGAAGUUAUUAGCACAAUGUAACAGAGUGAGGAAAAAAGUGAUGAGUGCAAAGCUGUGAGGACAAAGUGCACAAUGCUAAUGAAUAUGAAAUGAAUAGCACUAGGCUAUAAUGCAAUGAAUAGCUCAGGGUUGUACCAUAAUGAACAAGUCAAGGAUGUGUAAAGAUGAGGAACAACUCAAGGUUGUAAUGCAAUGAACAACUUAGGGCUAUGAAUGCAAUGAACAGCUCAGCUCAAUGAAUGAAAUGAAUAGCUCAGGGCUGUGAAUGCAAUGAACAACUCGACGUUGUGGAUGUAAUGAACAACUCAUGGUCAUGGAUGCAAUGAACAGCUCAGGGCUAUAGAUGAACAACUCGGGGUUGUGGAUGUCAUGAACAACUCAAGAAUAGGGGCACUAUACACCCAAAAUGGGAGAUCACGGUCUACGAUUCCAAGUCAAACCACUAAAGGGUGACCAAAAUGAGGGUGAUCAACUCACUAAAAAAGAUGAUCAAAAUGUCUUAAGGGAGAGGAGAUGCCCCAGAUGAAACUUAAAGGAAAUGAGUAGUGCUAAUGAAACUAAAAAAAGAAAAAAUGUCACAACUGAAAUUGAAAAAAUAGCAAACUUAGAUUAAAGUGCAAUGAACAACUUUGGGCUGUUGCGAUGAGUAGUACCGUGUUGUAAUGAAAUGAAUAACUUUAAGAUAUGGGCAUUGUACGCCUAAAGAGGGAGAUAGUGGUUUACGACUCCAAGUCAAACCACUAAAGGACGACUAAAAUAAGAUGAUCAACUUACUAUAAAUGAUAAUGCAACUAUCUCGAGAAAAAGGGUAUGCCCCAAAUGACACUCAACAGUAAAAGAAUGACACAAAUGAAACUAAAACAAGAGGAUGCCACAAAUGAAACUGAAAUGAUAACAGACUCAGUACUAAUGUGUAAUGAACAACUUUGGACUAUGGAUGCAAUGACUAGCACUGGGUUGUAAUGAAAUGAACAACUCUAAGAUGUGGGCACUAUACCCCUAAGAAAUGAGAUCAUAGUUUACGACUCUAAGUCAAACCGCUAAAGGGCGACUAGAAUAGGAUAAUCAACUCACUAAAAAUGAGGAUGCAACUAUCUCGAGAAAGGGGGUAUGCCCUAAAUGACACUCAAUAGUAUAAGAAUGACAUAAAUGAAACUAAAAUAAGAGGAUGCCACAAAUAAAACUAAAAUGAUAACAAACUCAAAACUAAUGUGCAAUGAAUAACUCUAGGUUGUGGAUGCAAUGAACAACAUUGGGCUGUAAUGAAAUGAACAACUCUAAGAUGUGGGCACUAUACGCCUAAAGAGGGAAAUCACGGUCUACGACUCCAAGUCAAACCACUAAAGGGCGACUAGAAUAGGAUGAUCAACUCACUAAGAAUGAGAAUGCAACUAUCUUGAGAAAAGCGGGAUGCCCUAAAUGACACUCAAUAGUUAAAGGAUGACACAAAUGAAACUAAAACGAAAUGAUACUACAAAUGAAACUGAAAUGAUAAUAAAUUGAUAACUAAAGUGCAAUGAACAACUCUAGGCCGUGGAUGCAAUGGACAGCUCAAGAAUAGGGGAACUGUUCGCCCAAAAUGGGAGAUCGUGGUAUGCGACUCUAAGUCAAACCACUAAAGGGUGGCUAAAAUCAAAAUGAUCAACUCACUAAAAAUGAGGAUCUGAACAUCUCAAGAAAGGGGUUAUGCCCCAAAUGAAACUGACAAUAGAGGGAUGCCUUAAACAGACUGAAGAAAGAAGGAUGCCCUAAACAAAUUAACGAAAAAUGGAUGCCCUAAACAAACUGACGGAAGUGAAAUGCCCUAAAUAAACUGACCAAAGAAGAAUGCACUAAACAAACUCUGAGAAAAAAAAAAAAAGAAGUAUGCAAUAUAGAAUCAAAAACACCUAAAGCAAAAACAAGAAACAAAGAAUGUGGUUUACAACUAGAAACACCCAAAAGAACCUUAAAGAAGUAACUGGGAUAAUGAACUUAAUGAAAAUGGGGUAUGCCACAGUAAAAGACUCGGAAGUAUCAGCAAAUGGGUCAAACGACCAUGAAAUCAAUAGGAGAUAUGAUGAACCCAAAAAGGGCAUAUGCCCCAACAAAAGAACACUAAAAGGGGGGUAUGCCCCGAUAUGACGACUCACAAUAAUUAAGAAAUGGAUCGAGUAAUGAGAAAAUCUGCAAAAUAUCCUAUGAACUCAAAGAUGGGGGUAUGCCCCAGUGUAAAAUAGUGACCAACAUAAGACACAGAAUGUCACCAUACAAUACACUCUGGGAUAUGCUCAAUGUCAAUGUAAUGAAAACAAUAGCCUCAAUCAACAAAUGUUCAAGCAAGACCAUGCAUCACAUAAACUAAAAUAAUAGGCUAAACAAAUGCUAACCAAGUCUCUCAAUCUGAAAUGUAAGCAAGUCAAGACAUGACAUGCCAACCAUCGACAUGAAAACAUCAUCACAAAUACAUCAACAAACUAAUAGUCCCUACUAUCAUGGAAGAUGUAGAACCUAACGUCCAAAGGCAUGUGAAAACUCAACCAGAAAGCUCAAGACUAGUUUGCAUCCUCCUCUAAUAAAAAGAAUGAGAUAAGGUCAUGUAGGAUGAUGAAAUAGGCAAGCUCAAUAUUCGUUAGGCUCUACCAAGAUGGAUGUAGGUAUAAUAGUGUCAAAGGUAGGAUGUCUAGAUUUCCAACGAAGGAAACUGGGUAUCCAAGUCAAACCAAGUAUGUUGAGGAAACUGAACCCAUAGGACAAUAACUUUAUGAUCCAUUGAAAAUAGCAAUCAUGAAUAGAAGGUCGAGUCUCGAUGUCAAAAUCAACAAGGUGGCAUUGCCCCAGUAUGAAUACAUCUUCUCAAAAUGGGUAAACCUUUAGUGCAAGAUAAUCUCUAGAAAGUGUGUGUCUAGUAUAAACUGUCAUCUCACAAAAUUUAUCACUGAUGAGUGGGCUAUACCCCAGUGUAAGCAUUUCCAAAUCAAACAUCGAUGAGAGGAGUACAACCAAUCAUACAUAAUAUGAUCAAAACAAAUCUCCACUCCUCAAAGUCAUCAUGGUAACGUGAAAAGAGUAUCUAACCUCAUUUAAAGAAAGAUCAUGUCCCAAUGUGAAAAAUAUCAAGCAAAGUGGUAUGUCUCAACAAAAAUGCACUCUAACAUGAUCAUGCCUAGAUGUAAGCUGGUAUCUUUAAGAUCAAUCACCAAUGAAAGGGUUAUGCCCCAGUAUAGGGCAAUCUCUUAAAUGACUAAAAUCCGCUACAAGCUCUCACAAGUGUCUAUGUCAUGAACCAAUCAUCUCAAAAAAUAAAUAAAUAAAUAAAUCUAUCAACAAUGAUGAGAAGGUUAUGCUCCUAUAAUCACACCAAGAAAAUCACCCGGUCAUAUCUUGUACUCCAAUGUGAAAGGAAAAUAUGAUCACCUCCAAAGAAUGGCUAUGCCCCAAAAUACAUCAUCGAUUGAGAAAUAUGCCCCUACGUAAAGUACAUCAACUGAAAUAUGCCAAUCAUGCCUCAUGCUCCAAUGUGAAAAAUGACGUAUAAUCUUCUUUGAGGGAUGGUCAUGACUCAAAUCCAUCAUCAGUUGAGAGAAGUAUGCCCCGACAUAAUGGUCAUCUAAAAAAUCAAUCCCCGACUAAGAAAUAUGUGCCUUGAUGUGAUGUAUCAAGCAAAAUGGCUGCAUACCCCAUAAAAAACUCUCUAAGGUGGCUAUGCUCCAAUGUUGGAUCAUACCACAACUCCUGGUCUAUCACAAUCAAAAUGCUGUCCAACCAAUCCCAAGUAUCGCCCACAUGAGAGCUAUCAAACACAAUGUGUGAUGUCAUGGCCUCAAGGUGGUCUUAAGAUUCGGAACGUAACGUAGGCUAGGGUAAUAAGGUAAAGAAAUGAAGGAAAACUAGGCUUAAUAAUCCUAAUGAUAAAACCCCAUACCUUAUGUAUAAAAUGCAAUAUGUGCAAAGAGUCUCAUAAACCAUGGAUCUAAGGACACCCAAUAUGAAUAUAUCAGUGAGGAAGAAAGAAUCUAAGAUGAAUAUAUCAAUGAUAACAGAGAAGAAAUGAAGAAUAUUAAACUGUUGAUGGGAUGUAUAAGAAUGAUGUAUGGAAAAUAUUGAACAUGGAAUGUAAAUUGAUAUGAACAAAGAACAAUGUAGGCAAGGCAAAUGUGAUAUCAUGAUAAGAACAAAUAAAUCGAAGAAAAAUGAAUGAACACUAAUCCACUCAAAUCAAGUCAUGGAGAAUAGUCAAAUCACCAACGUAUGUAAUGAUGGAGAAGACAAUGAUUCAAAGUCCCUAGGAAAAUGUCACUUGUUUGUCACACAUAAAAUACAUAACGAGAUAGACACAAAAAUAUGAGAGUCUUUUGAAAGUUCACAUACGAACUUUCAUAAGCAACUAACUCAAUAAAGCAACCUCAAUGACCAAUAUAUACACUCAAUAAAGGAUGACACUGUAUACAUGUGUUUAUUACUUUUUCUUUUCAUUUUGUUUUUCAUUUUUUUCAUUUUUGUUUUCAUUUUUUUUCUUUUACUCGCGCAUACUCUGAAUAUCAAUAAAUGAACUUCUCUGAGAAUACAUAAUGAAAUGGAUAUACUCUCAAACAAUGAUGUCAGCGAACUCUCUCUGACAAGAUGACCCUCUAAAUUAAGGAUUUUCGAACUAACGUCCAUGAGAUAGGAGUGGAAGGGGAUAUGACCAUCCUUCCUGCACCGAAAUGUGAAAAAUCAUCACUCAGGGCACAAAAAAAUGUGAUGAAAAAAAAUAAAAAAAUGAAACAAAAGAUAUAAACAAUGAAGUAUGAUGAAGACUGAUGUUGGGAAGACAAAAAAAAUUGUGAAGAAGGUGAGCCAAUAAGUCCUCAACUCAUGAAACUCUCGAAUAAAAUAUAUAUACACCAAAAAACCCUUAUCCCGGUGUAAAAUGUGAGCAAGGAUAUAAGAAAGAAAAAACUAUGGUGCUCAUGUGAGGUUCAAAGGGCUAGCAACGGUCCAAAUGUCAAUAAAGGUAAUAGGGUGUGAGCUAACCAAAAUGAAGGCCACCUAUGAUGGUCUGAAACAUCAUGCUCUUAAGCUUUCAAUGAUCAAUACUGAAAAUCGAUGUCAACCCUUUGGAAUUGUGCGCCAAACCAUACUCCAAAUGCUCCAUAAUAAUCUCAAAGAUAAUCCUCUCAAAGCAAAGUAAAUAGCGAUCUCAUAAGGCACAACUACUCAUCACAAGCCAACUCUCAUCAUGCAAGAUCAAUCUCUAUUUUCAUGGAAAAAUAAGUGACAAUCUCAUCAGGCAAUCGACGAAUCCUCACAUCGUAAACCAACCAAAGAUCAUAAGUCAUUCAUUGCCAUGCAAGAUCAAUCCCAGGCUCAAACUCCUCAUACUCUACCUGGUUGGAUUAGAGAAGAAAUGGGCAAAGCUAGAAAAACUGAAGAUGGAAAGGUCAUAUAAUGGUGUCAAGGGUGAUGUUGUGCAAAACUCACAAUGAAUGGAUGUAGGUCAAAGAAAAGUCAAUGUGUGAGAGUGAGUAAGGCACUACUCUGAUCAUAAGAAGAUGGGUCACAAUCUCAAACUCCUAAGGUCAAAUCUUCGAUCCUAGGCUAAUAAGCUCAACAUCCUCCAUGAUAGGUCAACCCCCAAGAUCACAAUGUGCAAAUGAAUAGAUGCCUCAAGUCAAAAGUACAACACAUCAUAUGAUAUAUGGUCCUACGAUGACAAUCUAAAACUGGAAAUAUGUUAGAAACUCUAAGGUCAUAAAGGUGUCCACUGUGAGAUGACUACAAAUGUGACUAAGGAAUCUUUAUCAAUAAUCCAAAAAAUGAAUGAGGUGUGAAAAACAACACUAUCAUGAGAUCGAUACCCCAUCAAUAACAAAAUAUCUCUAAUUCACUUUCAAUCUAAGCUCUAUAAAGAAAAACGAUAAGGUUAUAAAGGCAAACCUCUCAAAAAUGGUGUGAAUGUGAAAACAUGUCUUCACCUUUCUAUAAUGAAAAUAUCAUGUUGAAAAUAGAAAUAGGCAAAUCAACCAAAGAAUGAAGCACGGAGCCCAUGACAAGUGAAGAAUGUAAAAAGGUGAACAUGAUCAAUGAACAUAUCCCAAAACAUUAAGCAUAAAGUGACAACAAACCGAAAGAAUGUGUCAAUUUAAGAAAAGAAGACUAUCUGAAGCCCUAGGGAGAAAGUGUGCUAGACUCAACGAGCGACAAGAAGAAACUAAAACCAUAUAGCAAGGGGUGGUCCAACUGAUACUCAAACUCGUACCAAUAUCUAAGCACUCUCGACUGGAGACCAAAAGAUGGAGUAUUGGAUCCAUAUUGUGACUAAAGUGGCCUCGAAGGCUCUCAGAUGCACCCACGUGUAGGAAAGGAAAUCCUAAUGAAAAUAUCUAAGGCUUAACCUACAAGGUCAAGGCGGCUCUCAAAAGAAAAUUUGAGUAGACUUUAAAGGAUCCCUAGCAAAAGCGAUCAUACCCUCCGAUGGUACACAACCUCCUACACGUCUUGAAAUAUACGGGAGUGAUUCCAUGCAAGGUGGUCAUCACCUCCACACAUGCACUAUCUCGUAUCCUAGAGGGUUUCCUAAUGAUGAAGACUCUUACAUCUCUCAACACUUAGUGGUAAUCUAAGGUGCACAGUGAACGGUGUGGGUUCAUCCAAAAAUCCUAUCAAGCUAAGCAAAGAGAAAAAACAUUGGUCACACAAAUAUCCUGAAAUCUAGCUCUAACCUAUACAAGUCUUCAAAGAUUAGACUCCAAUUAGCAUUAAUGUUUCGACCUUCUCUAGAAUGCUCCCAAACAUAGAUAUAGUCCAUCACUAAACCCUACUCCGAAUCACUAGCUCGGUCAAAGAGCAAACAAAGUAAUAAGUCUCAUAUCAAAUACGAGAUCAAGGGGAACAUGGUCACCCGAGACUAGGGAAUUGAAGGUAAGGGGAUAGAUGUGUGUCCCGCAUAGAAAAGCAACAUGCAUCACACAGAAGAAGAAUAGUCAUGCAAUAGACAACCAAGCAAAGAACAGGUAUAUCAUUCAUAUCUACACACAAGCUAAACAAGAAAUAGGUAUUUAACAAGAAUAAACAAUAUGUUGAGAUAAACAAGAUAAUAUACGAUAAAGAGAAUCAAUCACACCAAUAUGAAUGAGAUAUACAAAAAUGAGAAUAUACAUGUCAAGGAGAGCAAGAUAAUCAUACAACAAGAAGAGUCUUAUGUUAAAGCAAGCAAGAGAAUCAAUCGAUGUAGUCAACAUGUCAAUAUCUCAAAUGAACAUAACAACCAAAUAUGCAUCAUAAAGAAAAAAUGGUAAUCAUGCAGCACACAGUCAUACAAAACAAAUACAGACAAACAUAAGCAAAUAAAUGUAAACACACAUGAUAACAAAAAUCAAUGUAUAGUAAGGCACAUGCAAUAUAUACAUAAAAUAAUCAUCAAGUCAACACUCAUAUACCUUAAAACAUGAAAAUAUACAAUAAAGACACAACGAGAGGGUAUUCACUGAUCGAUUAAUCAAACGCUACAUUUCCCUUAACUCGAGUUCAAGUUUGAUCCUUUAAAUAUCCCUAGUGAAGUCGCUAUUUUGUGGACCCACAUUUUUCAAAUACGUCCUUACACAACAGCGAGACUCAUUUUUUUUAUUUGGUGAAAAUUUGAUUUUUAGAAAAAAGACUUUGAGUCGUCACUUAUUUUUGUUUUUUUUUAAGGGAAAACAAAACAAGAAAGAAAACCUUGUGUGACUCCUUAUUUGGGAAAGACAUGUAUGCAAAAACCAAAUCUGGAUUCGGGGGUUAAGUUCCCUAUUGAGAAUGUACGAUGGUGAGCUGUAGCACCUCUCUAAGCUCAUAUACGUAUGGUCUCUACUAAACGAAUUAAGAGAAUUGUAGUAAUUAAUUAAUUAGUCAAGGAUACCAAGAAAAAGAAUCGCACAAAUGAGUACGUACAAAUCAUGAUAAAAAAAAUCAAAUUAUAAGAAUAGACAAAAUAAAUAACAAGAGAAUUGUGCAAAGUGAUUUAUUAAACUAAAUAAAAAAGAAGAUAUUAAAAAAAUUAGUUUUCAAGAAAUUUCAACGGAUUUUAUUAAAAUGAUUUUGAAUUAAUGAUUUUUAUUUAUUUAUUUACAAAAAAAGUGUCAAUUUAUUUUCUUCAAGUGAUUUGAUUCAAUUUCAUUUGUAUUCAAUUUUUUUUUUUUAAAAGUUAUUUACACUCAUGGUUGUUAAAAGAAUUAUUCACAAAAUUUCAAGUUGACAAUAAAAAUGAUUUUUACUUGCUUUUACUCAAAAACAAUGAAUUUUUACAAUUUUAUUAACAAAAGCAUUUCAAUUUAAGAAAAGUGACUUAAACAAAUUAUUAAAAAAAAUAUAACUUUAUCUGCAAAAGAAUUUUUAAUUAAAAAGAAAAAAUUUAAGUCAUCUAUUUCUAAAAAUGACUUUUAAUCCCAUUUUAAUUAAGGAAAAUUGAGUUAUCUAAAAAAACAUUUUUUGGACAAUUUGAAUAAAAAUUAAUUUUUGGGACAACUUUAUUUACAAAACAAUUUUUGGACAAUUAUUAUUAAAAACAAAAUUUCAAAUUCGAUUAAAAACAAUUUUUUGGAUUUUUCCAAACACAUUUUUAUGAAUUUUUAUUAAUAAAAAACUUUUUUUUAUUAAGAAGAAUAUUUUUUGAGCUAUUAUUUUAUUAAAACAUGUUUAUUGAAUUAUUCUUCUUCUUCAAACAAAAUUUUUAAUUUGUUCGAUAUCCAAUUCUGUACACAACAAGUAAAUAUAUACAAACAAAUAUUUAUAGAAACCAAUAAAAAUAAAACCAAAUAGAAGUGAGAAAUAAAACAUGUACUUAAACAAGCUUACAACAAGCUCAAUGUCUUCUUACGACUUUUCGAGUUUCACUUUCUUUCAUUAAAUUUUAUGCUCCACGUACCAUAAAUCCGUACUCAACCAAAAAAAUUGCAGAAUUGGCCCAUGCAAAAACAAAAAUAACACAAAUGUAUAAAGUUCACAAUAGAUAUUCAAACCCAAAUUCAAAUUUCAAAUUAGUCCAACAAAUUUCGUCAAUCAAAAUAGGUCUAAAUUAGCAAAUAUAGCCCAACAAAAAUAUCUCACAUGUCAUAGGCCUUAAUAUAAAAUUUCCAAAUUGAUAACCAAAAUAUAAGUUCAAUUAAUCAAACCCAAAACAUGAUACAUUAAAAUAAAUCUCAUUAGGCCUAAACUUAAUAUCUCAUAAUUCAAGCCUAAUUUAAAUAUAAACCUAAAUCCACAAUCAAAAUCAACUCACUUUAUGCUAAUCCCAAUUUACAAUCAAAAUCAAACAUAAUUUAAUAAGUAAAUAACUAAAUAAAUUAAGCAAACUCAAAACUCUCAAACCACUAUUGCAUAAUAUCAAACAAUAAUAAAUAUAAUGACAACAAUAUUAAUAAUAAAAUAAAAUAAAAAAAUUUAACUCACGUUGGAGCCAGUUUGAGUGUCGUGGGAAAGAAAGAAAAUGAGAGAAAAGUGGGAGAUGAUCGUUAGCUGGUAGUGGCUCGCCGACAGCGACUGGUCGAUAGUCCUACUGGCGGUAGUGAGGAUUGAUGAGUUUUUGGGAAAGGAAAAAAAAAAAAAAGAGGAGUAAUAAAAAAAAAAUGGAAAAAUGAGAGGAAGGUGGGAUAAGAGGGGAGAGAGAGAAUGAAGAAAAUAGGGGAAAAGAAAUGAGGCCGGCUGGAGGAGGAAGUGGUAGUGUGUGUGAGCUAAAGUGAAGAAGAAUGAAAGAAGAAGAAGGAGAAAAAUGGGAAAGAAGGGGAAAAAAAUUCGAGCCCUCUAAAUGAAGAAAGGUGAGUAGCUUAAAGAAGAAAAAAAAAUAAAAUAAAAAAAGAAAAAAUGAGGAGAAAAUGAGAGGGCCAGUAGUCUUGGGAAUGGGGUGGUAUAAGUGAGAGAGAGUGGGCGAGGUUGUUGGGGAAGGUAUGGGAGAGAGAGGAGAGAUAAAAGAAAGAGAAAAAAAAACAUAAUAAUAAUAAUAAUAAUCAUAAAUAAUAUAUAAAUUAAUAAAAAUUAAUAUUUAAAUGAUGAGUGUGUCAAAAAUAUUAUAUGUAAUUGGGAUUUAAUUUUAAGAGUAAAAUUGGACUAAAACUUAAUGUAAAAAUAAAAUUUGAACAAAUUUUAGAAUCUACAAAUACAUUCUUUAAUCUUUCCACAACAUCAAUCUGAUCUAAAUGAAAUGCAAUAAAUUCUAAAAAUGAUACAAUCUUUAAUCAAUCCACAACAUCAACCCGAUCAAAACUCAAUGCAAUAUUGCUUAAUGGAGAGAAUCGUAAAAUCCUUUUAUGAGAGGAAAACAAAACCCUUAACAGACCUUUAUGAGAGGAAAAUAGGAAAACAUAGAACUAAAAACCCUUAACGUAUUCAUGAGAAUAAAAAAAUCCUUAACACCUUAAUAAGAGGAAAACAAAGAAUUUGAACAAUCCUUAAUCCAUCAAAAGCUCUUAAUAUGAACGAGGGGAAAACAUAACCUUUAUUUUUCAUAUCGUUGAAUACAGAAUCUAAAGAGAUAGAAUUUUUAGUUAUUAAGGAUUUUUUAUAGAUGUCUAUUGAAAGUUCAAGAACUUUUAUGGAUAAGUGUUAAUUAAGAGACUGAAAGGGUACUUAGGAUUUUCAACUAAAAAAGUUAUAACAAUAUGAAUCGUAAGAACUUAAAAACAUCACCCAUCCAUAAGAGGAAUAUGGAAUGAGAGGUUAUAUUUUUACUUAUACAACAAUAAACUUUUUUGGAAGAGGUUUUUCUAAGUACAAAAAGUUAUGAAUAAAAAACCAUUGUUACGAUGAGUUAACUAAAAUAGAAUUAAUUUAGAAAAUAUCAAUAAAGUUGCAUGAAUUAUUAUCAUGAGUUAACUUAAUAAGAAUAAAUAGUAAUAAAGUUAAUGAGGUGAAUUUGGAUUGGCAGAUAUAUUUGAUGAUAAGAUUUUUUUAAUAAUAAAAAAUUAUUAUGGCAGGAAAAAUAGGACAAAAUUGACCUUAUGAUAAGAUUUUUUUAAUAAUAAAAACAUUAUUAUGGUAUGAAAAAAAGGGACAAAAUUGGCCUUNNNNNNNNNNNNNNNNNNNNNNNNNNNNNNNNNNNNNNNNNNNNNNNNNNNNNNNNNNNNNNNNNNNNNNNNNNNNNNNNNNNNNNNNNNNNNNNNNNNNUUUUCUAAGUACAAAAAGAGUUAUGAAAUAAAAACCCCAUUUGUUACGAUGAGUAACUAAAAAUAGAAUUAAUUUAGAAAAAUAUCAUAAAGUUGCAUGAAUUAUUAUCAUGAGUAACUUAAUAAGAAUAAAUAGUAAUAAAGUUAAUGAGGUGAAUUUGGAUUGGCAGAUAUAUUUGAUGAUAAGAUUUUUUUAAUAAUAAAAAAUUAUUAUGGCAGGAAAAAUAGGACAAAAUUGACCUUAUGAUAAGAUUUUUUUAAUAAUAAAAACAUUAUUAUGGUAUGAAAAAAAGGGACAAAAUUGGCCUUUCCUUAAUUGUACCGGUUAAUGGAAUAAUGGGACAUGCGGUGGUUACAAGCCACCCCAAAAGGUAGGAAGAAUCUCCAACCCCCAUUCUCGGCUCCCUUAUCUUUUCCCUUACAACCAAAAAUCAACAACUAUCUUAGAAUGUCCUUCAGUCCAUCAAAAUUCAACAACAACAAUUAUACAUUACAAUAAUGAAAACAAAAUUGAUUGAUCACCAGCUAACAUUAGGAGAUUAUAAGAUAAGGAUGUAAUUGCAAUUAUUGAAAUCACUUAAAGAGUAAAAGUUAGGAACAUGCUCACAAUAAAUAAAAUCACCUUAGAAUUAAAAAUUAGGGACAUGAUUAUGAUGAUUAAAAUCACUCGAGAACUAAAAUGUUUUAGAGAUACAAUAAUUGAAAUCAACUGAAAAAUAAAUUCGGGAUGUGAUCGCAAUUAAUGUAUAUAUAAACAACCAAAUGUUGAAAGGAAAAACUAAUGAAAUUAAUAUGAUUUUCUUUUAGAUUUCUCUUGACACCAAACAAAUGUAAGGAAGUUUAUAAAGGAAAAUUAGGUUUUGAUUCACUAAAUUAAAAUAAUAUAGAAAAAAGAUCUUCAAAUUUUAUAUACCAGUUUUAUUUUUAUUUAUUUAAAAAUAUUUUAAAAUACAUAUAUUUUUUCAUAACUCAAAUAGUCAUUCCUCAAAUGCUAGUUUUACUUGUUAUGUUAAUAACACUAGUUAAUAAUUUUUUAUUGUGAGAACGAUUUAAGAUUAAUAAAAUAAGAAAUUUUUAAAACUAAAAAGACAUUUAAAACUUUAAAAUUAAAAAUAUAAAAAUAAAACAAUAAUUUUUCAUUUAGUAAAACACGCCAGUAGAAAAUAUAGAUAUAGAGAAAGAGUUGGAAAUAAAAUAAGAGUUAAUAUUUUAUUUUUAAAAUUUUAUGUUUUUUAUUUUAAUUGUAUUUAAUUUUAUGUAUUUUAGUUGUAAUUAUAUUUUUAAUUUUUAAUUUUUUUUUAUUUUAUUGUUGAUGUAAACUAAUAAAUUUUUUGUUCAAUUAUAUAUAUAUAUAUAUAUAUAUAUAUAUAUAUAUAUAUAUAUAUAUAUUUUAAAAUUAGUGAGUAAAAACCCACUUUUUCUAAUUUAUAAUAUAUUUAUGGGAUUUUAUAAUAUAAGCAAUUUUUUUUUUUUUGAGAAAGAGGAAAAAUCAACUUUUCAAUUUCCCUUAAUAAUUAUUAUUAUUAUUAUCCAAUUUGGCUGAUUAUGAGAUUAGUUCGUAUCAUUACUAUAUCCAUUUGUUCUUAACCCUUCAUUAGAAUAGUAUUAGGAGUUGAACGUCAGUUGGAAUACAGGCUUAUGGAAACAAAUCUAUCCGAUUAGUAGGUUCUUAUUAUUUUCAAUAUAGCCCCAUAAAAUAAAUAGGAGAUGGGCAGCCCGUCCCUUUUGUCUGGAGGCCAUCCUCCCAACUUAUUAAAGGUGAUAUGAGAUAAGACAGUGACAAAAUUGUCGGUUACUUCCCGACACCUGGCUCUCCACAAGCAAACCCAGUGAUCCAGAAAUUAAUUGGUACCUGGACACGUGACUAACAAACCUUCGCUCAUCUACCAAACCCAUGGCCUCAUGCCUUAUAUAUUUCCACAAACCUAGCUCAAUUUUCAUAGCCACCUUCACUAUCCUAUACUCACUAAGCCAUGGCCAUAGAUACAAGCCUCUUGCUUGAGUUUGCUGCAGCAACUCUACUCUUCUUCAUCACCCGCUUCUUCAUUCGUUCUCUCCUUCCCAAACCUUCCCGGAAGCUCCCCCCUGGCCCCAGAGGGUGGCCGCUCCUCGGCGCUCUUCCUCUUCUAGGUAACAUGCCUCAUGUUGCAUUAGCAAAGAUGGCCAAAAGAUACGGGCCUGUCAUGUUCUUGAAAAUGGGCACUAACAGCAUGGUGGUGGCCUCAACUCCCGAGGCGGCUCGGGCUUUCCUUAAAACGCUAGACAUUAAUUUCUCUAACCGCCCGCCUAAUGCCGGUGCCACACUCUUGGCCUAUCAUGCCCAAGACAUGGUUUUUGCGGAUUAUGGGGCAAGGUGGAAGCUACUGAGAAAGCUAAGCAACUUACACAUGCUUGGUGGGAAAGCUCUUGAGGACUGGUCUCAGGUCCGAGCUGUUGAGCUAGGCCACAUGCUUCGAGCCAUGCUUGAGUUAAGCCAGCGAGCGGAGCCGGUGGUGGUGCCGGAGAUGUUAACUUUUUCCAUGGCCAACAUGAUAGGUCAAGUGAUUCUAAGCCGCCGGGUGUUUGAAACAAAAGGGUCGGAGUCAAAUGAGUUCAAGGACAUGGUGGUGGAGCUCAUGACCACUGCUGGGUACUUCAAUAUUGGCGACUUUAUUCCGUCCAUCGCAUGGCUGGACAUCCAAGGGAUCCAGCGCGGGAUGAAGCAUUUACAUAGGAAGUUCGACCGGUUAUUAACAAAGAUGAUGGAGGAGCACACGGCGUCAGCCCAUGAGCGAAAGGGAAACCCAGAUUUUCUGGACGUAAUCAUGGCAAACCAAGAAAAUUCUACAGGGGAGAAGCUCACUAUUACCAACAUUAAAGCACUCCUCCUGGUAUGCAUAGUUAAAGCUCGUCUUCAAUUUUGUUUUCCGAUAUUUUCUUUCCGGAAACAGCACUUUUAUUGCUUUUAGAUAUGUACGUUUUUAUCAGGUAGCCAUUUUAGGGGCACAUCACUAUUCUUUAUUUUUGGACUAUUUUUUUCUUUUUCCACUUGCAUGGUUGUUUUCAUAUGCUCAGCUGCAUGGCACAAGAAAAUUGUGAAAAAUGAUUGGUUCUCUGAUCAGACCUUCAGCACCAAAACACGCUUUUCUCUAUGUUAUAAAAUCGGUUUACAUGAUUUUUCAACCAGCUUCCUUGAACUUGAACUUUUGCUAGGGCUAAUGCAAAAAAUGAUUGAUCUCAAUUUUCAAUAGCGUUUGAUUACAUAAAUUUCAAGUAUGUGAACAUAUUUUUGUUUCCUUGGCUAGAAUUUAUUUACUGCAGGAACAGACACUUCAUCGAGCGUAAUCGAGUGGUCUCUGGCUGAGAUGUUGAAAAACCCGAGCAUCCUCAAGCGUGCUCACGAAGAAAUGGAUCAAGUGAUUGGAAGGAGCCGGCGGCUCGUGGAGUCUGACUUGCCAAAACUUCCAUACCUACAAGCCAUAUGCAAGGAAAGCUUCCGGAAGCACCCAUCCACACCACUGAACCUUCCUCGUGUCUCAACCCAGGCAUGUGAAGUGAACGGCUACUACAUCCCAAAGAACACUAGACUUAGUGUGAACAUAUGGGCAAUCGGGCGAGACCCUGAUGUCUGGGAAAGCCCGGAAGAAUUCAGGCCAGAAAGGUUUUUAAGUGGAAGAAAUGAAAAAAUUGAUCCUCGUGGAAAUGAUUUUGAGUUGAUCCCGUUUGGGGCUGGACGAAGGAUUUGCGCUGGCACUAGAAUGGGAAUAGUGCUGGUUGAGUACAUUUUAGGGACGUUGGUACAUUCAUUUGACUGGAAAAUGCCGGAUGGAGUUGAGAUCAACAUGGACGAAGCUUUCGGGCUUGCGCUGCAGAAGGCAGUUUCUCUUUCGGCCAUGGUGACACCAAGGCUUCACCAGAGUGCGUAUGCAGUCUGAGCUCAAACCGCUCAGACCAAAACCCAGGCCUCGCUGCUAUAUGGCAUGGAUGCAGUUAAGUAGAAAAUAUUUUGGGAUUUUUGCCUGUGGCUUAGUAUAAGAUGUAUUAGCUCAAAGAUGGUCGUUUCAUUCUACCACCAAGCCAUAUGCAUCUAUGCAUAAUCUAUUGAUUUAGGCUCGAUUUGGUUAUAGUUUUUGUUUUUUUGUCUUCCAAAUCAGUAAAUAGUAGGGGUAUUUUUGUCCUAUGUAGUGAUUCUUUUUGUUUGAUUGAUUAUAUUUGGAUCCUUCAAAAAUAUACGGUCAGAGCCAUCUCCAUCUUUUCACUUCUUGUGCUGCAGAAUGGGAUUGGCUUAGAUCGUUAGUCUAAUGUUAACCCCCUUCAAAUCUAAUUAUUCAUACUCAAUUUUGACACGAAAGAGCCAUUGUCAUGAAAGGGGGACCAGGGACCUCAGCACCCUUGGUUCAUCAUUUUGGUACGAUGCCAACUCUACCACAUAACCACCAUUUAGAUAUCUAUCCUUUUAUUUUUGGCAUGUGAACUUAUAGUGGGUGGCUGACCUUGAAUCCAAUAGUUAUCAUGAUAUAUAUGGCUGAAAUUAACCAUCAUUUAGAUAUCUAUCCUUUUAUUUUUGGCAUGCGAACUUAUAGUAAGUCCGAUUUAUGUCCAAGGGUCAAAUUUAAAUCUCUCUUCAAUCUAAUGGCUAAGAACUUCCCAACUUUAUUUAAUACUUAAUGUAUCCAAUAAUUGUAAUCGAGUAAUCCAAUGACAAGUACCUUCAAUGAUUAUUUUGGCAAAAGAAAUAAUAUAAGUUUGUUAUUUUAUGAUAUAAUAAAUUUAUUAAUACUUUCCUUUUUCAAAAUAUGUAAUUAGUUGUAAUUUCAUUAUAUAAUAUAUAAAUUAAGUUAUUUGCAAUUUUAAAAUAUGCUCAUUUUGUAUUUUUUUAAGUGUUAAUUAAAAAUUAUACAAUUUUGUUUUAUAAAAAGUAUUUAGUACUUUUAAUUUUAUAAAUUACAAGCAUUAAUUUAUACUAUUUUCUUAAAAUAUUUAGUUUAGUAUGCAUAUUAUUAGUUGUUUUCUUACAUCACUACUACAAAAAUAAUAUAUGAUGUCACUAUUUAUAGUGUCGCAUUUAAAAUAAUGACACCAUUGAACUUAAAAUUUAUAAAGGUGACACAUCAUUUAAAAAAUCUUCAAUUAGGAUAGUUAGAUUAUGCUAAUUUCAGAUUUACGGUGUCAUUUUUUGGAAGUGACACCAUAUGAAAUAAAAAGUUUUAAAUUUUAUAACUCAAUGGGCCUUUUUUAAAAAUAGUGAGUAGGAACAAUUUAUGAAAAGUCUAUUGUUUCCAUAUAUACAUUAACUAAUAUAAAAGAUCUUGUUGCUUGACCCUAACCAUCGUUUUCUUCUCCUUCUUCUCACACCCAUGGUCAGCACACCCAUAAUUGAUAUUCUUUGCUUCGUAAAAUCUCGGGUAAGUCAAAAUCUCUUAUCUAUCAUCUUUAUUUUUUUUAUUAAUGCAAAAAACUUUGUUAGUAUAAUUGUUUUAUAUCUCUUGAUUUAGUAUAUCUAUGAUGUGGGUUUUGUAAAUGGUGUUUUUUAUCGAGUUCUAAGGAAGUAAAAACUAAGUUUAACAUUCUAACAUAUUUUUUGUUUCAUUGCUAAUAAGCCCCAAAACAAAUGAAAACAAGAAAAAUGAAUUAUUUUUAAAAAAUUUGUCUAAUUGAGAAUGAGAGAUACACUAGUUUGUAGUAAUUUUUCGCAUGAAAUAGUAUUUUAUUGAAGACUUGACUAUAUUUGAUACUUUUUUCCACCGUGCUAGGAGCUUUUUGGUGAAGUCUAACAAUAGAGAUUGAUAUCUGCUACAAGAUGAUACUCAAUUAAACCAAAAGCACUUAAGUUAUUUAGGGUUUUCUUCGGUUAACCUAAGAAAACAUUCCCACUUUCUUUGUAUUGAGUCAUCUAAAUAGAAUAGAAUAUUGGGUAUCAGAGUCGUAAAUGGUAUUAUAAAUAUGACUUUUUUUUUAGAGUCACCUACAUGGAAUGAAUUAUUGGUAGGUGAACAAAAUAUUGGGGUGAUUGUAAUAGUUGAAUUAGUAAAUGGAAGAUAAGUGUAUGUUGCUUUGUUUAUUCUAUAAAAACAAUAAUUUUAGUAGUUGAAAUUUACAUGCUUUGUUGUUUUAUAAAAACAAUAAUUUUAGUAUUUGAAAUUUUAAAAUGUGAAUGAAAUGCCUGAAAAUAUAUUUUGAAAAAUAGGAUAGUAAUAAAUGGAAAAUAACUCAUUUCCUAAAAAUAUUUUGAUAAAUUAAAAUAAUAUGUGGUUAAAAUAUAUUUUUGUGAAAGUAUUUAAAAAUGAAUCAAAAUAUAAAUAAUUGUUAUUUUUUUUUAAAAUAAUUUAGGAAUAUAAAAUAAUAUUGGGGAUAAUUUUUGAGUUUAAAUUGUGUUAUAAAUGGUUAAUUUUUUUAGGACUGUCCUUUUUGAAAAUAAUCCAAUGAUAAUUUUUUUAAAUAAGAAUGUUGAAACUAAUUUUAAAAAUAAAAUUUUGUUGGCAAUGAUUUUUCUAAAAGUAUUUUAGGCAUAAAUGGAAAUUUCUUGUAUGAAAAUAAGAGAAUUUAUAUAUAUAUAAUAGACAUAAAAAUAGAUUUCUUUGAUAUUUAAUAAACAAGUGAAUUUUUCUCUAAAAAAAGAAUAAAAUAAGAAUUUCUCUAUAUAAUAAAAUAAUUUAUAUAUGAGAUAGUUUUCAAUAAGAAAGUUUUGAAAAUAAAUUUGGGAUAAAAUAUUUUUUAGUAAGUUUUGUUUAGAUAAUUCAAGAAUAAAGUGGUUUAUUAACUUUUCUUAAAAAAUAACAUUCUUCUUUCUUUUUUGAAUUGAUCAAUAGUUUGGAAAUAAAAUUGUUAGAUUCUAUUUUUUGUAAAUGUUUAAGAUAUUCUAAAAAAUUCUUUAAAAAUGAAAUGACCUUUCUACCACAUUCCUUUAAUAAAUAAUUGUAUUUUUAUACAUAUUGUAAAGUAAAAAAAAAAGUCUUUAUUUAGUUAACCUAAGAAGACAUUCCUACUUUUCUUUGUGUUGAGAGUCACCUAAAUGGAAUAAAAUAUUCAAUAUCAUAGGAGAGUAAAAAGUAUUGUAGAAAUGAUUUUGUUGAGAGAGUUAUCUAAAUGGAAUGAGAUAUUGGUAGGUGAAUAAAAUAUUAUGGUGAUUGUAAUAGUUGACUUAGUGAGUGGAGGAGAAGUGUAUGCUUCUUUGUUUAUUCUAUAAAAACAAUAAUUUUAGUAGUUGAAAACGUGUAUGAAAUGACUGAAAAUAUUUUUUGAAAAAUAAGAAAAUAAUAAAUGGAUAAUAGCUCAUUUCCUAAAAAUCUUUUGAUAAAUUAAAAUAACUUGUAGUUAAAAUAUAUUCUUAUGAAAGUAUUUAAAAAUAAACCAAUAUAUUAAUAAUUGUUAUUUUGUUUAAAAAUAAUUUAAUAGUAAAAAAAUAAUACUGAGUUCAAAUAUGACUACUUUGUUAUGAGAUUCAUUAAAGAAAUAAUUGUUGAUUUUACAGUUAUUGCAUCAAAGGUUUUACUCGUUUAAUGAAUUGUACAUAAUUUCAUACUUUCAAUUAUUAUGAUAUUAAUGUUAUUCUCAUUUGAUUUCAGUUUGAUUACAAAUAAAACAUAUUCUCAAGUAGAAUUUGAUGAAAUUAGAGAAAAAUAGAUUACUUUUGUGUUAUAACUAAUCAUGAAUCAUAUUGAUGUAUCGUGAUCAUUCAUGGUAAGUCCCUUAGUUGUUAUAUGAUUGAAUUUUCCAUUGAUAUUGUAUAACAUUACUUAUUCUUUACGAACUAUUUUUAUACCAAAAUGAGAAAAAGGAAAAAGAAAAAGAAAACAUUAGUACUUAGAUUUGUUUAUUGUUUAUAACAUCACAUUUUUAUUUUCAAUAAGAACUCUAAAACUCAUUAAUCUAUGAAAUGCAGGUAUACACUCUUGGGAGGACAAUAUGAAGAAUAAAAAGAAAGGAGAAAGAGACAACAAGAUUUAGGUUGUUAGAUAUGACUCUUAUGUCAUACAUUAUAGGACAUAAAUGUUACUUUAUUUGGAAUUGAGAAUUUUGGGUUUUUGGAUGCAACUCUUGUGUCAUUUUAUGGUUAGCCGGUUUUAUACAUAUGAAAUGCAAGUAUACAUGAAUGUUGGGAAACUUAACAUUUCUAAAUCAUGUUUUAAUGUGUAUUCACUUUUCUUUUUUAGUUUUGGUGGGUUUGAUGUGUUUGAUGUACUAUCAUUUUGUGAACAUUUGAUAUACAAAUAUUAUUGGAUGAUGUAAUAUGUUACAAAUUAAUUCAUAAGCAUUAUGAAAAUAUAAGUUAAAUGUAAUAUGAUUAUUAUAUUUAUGGACAAUUUACACAGGUUAGUCUUAUUUAUUAAUAAGCAUUACAAAAAUCUACAAACUAAUCAACAAAAAACAACCAUAUCUUCCAUAAUCAUUUACAAUGAUGUGACACCAUAAAUUAAAGGUGAUACAUUUAACGUGACACCAUAACUCAAAGAUGAUGCAUUUAAUAUGACACCUUAUAUAUCUCAUACAACUCUAUAUCAAAUUAAGCAUCACUAAAAAUAUAUGGUGUCUCUUCUGAAUGUGUCACCAUUUAUCUGCUUUGGUGUCGCUUCCAAAUACGUCACCAAUUGAUACCCUCUAUGGUGUCAGUGGAUAAGGUGACGCUAUGUUGUAGUGACACCCUAUGUUUAUAGUGACUUAUUAUAAAUGUCACCAUAUAUCUUUUUCCUUGUAGUGCAUCUCAAGUUUCAAUCAAAAAAAUAUUUAUGAUUUGUUUUUAUUAAUUUGUGUCUUGUUUUCAAUUUAAUUAAUGAAAAUUUAUUUGAUCAAAAAGUUCAUUACAAACCAAUUUUAAAAAUCUAAUCCUUUAUUAUAUUUUGAUAUCGUUUUGAUAAAAAUGUCUUUAUUAUUAUUAUUAUUUUUUUUUUUAUAAAAAUAAAUUUUUUUAUAAAUAUAUUGUAAAUAUUUAAAAUAAUUAAAAAUAUUUAGAUCAAAAAUCGAUUAUUUUUCAAACAAAUAUAUGAAAGUGAUAAAUUUGCAAAUAUGGGGAAUAUUUAAUCCUUUUAAUCGAUUAUUUCAUUAAUGAAGUGGGUAUAAUGAUGAACGCAUACUUGGUUUUACUAGGGCAUGCAGAGGUUUUGCAAGAGAGAGAGAUCAUUUCUCGACUCUGAGAAAUCAAUCUCCUUUUGGCCCGGUGGCGGACUCCAAGUAAAGCCUUGAAGGAGCCUUGCUAACAUCCCUGCACACCCACGCCUUCCAGUACUGAAGGAAAUGAAGCGAAGGUUUGGCUCGUUCAACUCCACUGCUUGAACUGUACUAGCAUUCAGAUGCCGCUCUGGAUUGAAAUUUAGCGGUUCUUCCCAGAUUCUAGGGUUCCGGCCCAGCCCCAGACGGCUCAGAAGGACAUGACUGCCUUUGGGGAUAGAGUACCCAGCAACACUAGUCGGAUUCCUGAACUCGUCUAUCCUUUCCAACCACUCCAUCAAUUUCUUCACUGCUUUGCUCAAAAUCCCUGGUUGCUUGAUCAUUGCCUACUCAAUUGCAUUUGAUGGACUAUCGACGCCUGCAAGCAUCAACUCCUGCAAAUUAUGGAAGGAUCAUAAUCUGAUGAUUGAUCAAGUUAUUUGCUGGCUAGGAAAUGAUCAUCAUGCAAUGUAGAUCAAAAGGUAAGCACAACACUACUACAAAAAUAAUUUAUGGUGUCAUUUUUAAAAUAAUGACACCAUAGGGUUUAUAAUUAAUAAAGGUGAUACAUCAUAUGAAAAUUCUUCAAUUAAGGUAGUUAGAUUAUGUUAGUUUUAUAUUUAUAGUGUUAUUUUUUGGGAAGUAACAUCAUAUAAAAUAAAUUUUUUUUUAAGUAUUAUAACUUAAUGAGCCCACUUUUAUAAUUAAUAAUGAGGGAUAAUGUAUAAAAAGCCCAUUGUUUCCACAUGCCACCCAUAAUCCAAAAAAUCUCAGUAUACAAACCUUAUAUAUAAAACCAUAAUCUUCUUCUACCUUUUCUCUUACCUAUAGUCAAUACACUUACAACCGACAUUUUCUACUUUGUGGACUCCUGGGUAAUCCAAAUUCUCUUAGAUCUAUCAUAUUUUUUUUUCUUUUAUUAAUAUAAUUAUAUUGAUUGUUUCACCAUCUUUGUAUUAUGGUUUUUGUAAACUGCGUUUUCUUGAGUUGUAGGGAAGAAAAACUUAGGUUUAAACUUCUAGCAUAGACGAAGAAACUUGUAGAUUAAUUGAUUUUUUAAUAUGAACCAAACACAUGACUGACUUCUUAAAAACAAGAAAAAAUGAAUGAUUUUUAAUAUGUAUUUAUGUGAGAAUGACAGGUACAAAAUUUUGUUGAGAUAUACUGUCACAUAAUCUUCAUCCCUUCCCUAAAACAAGAGAGAGAGAGAGAAAAAAAAAAAGGAAUGAUUUUUUUUGUGUGUAUCUAAGUGGGAAUGAGAUAUAUAGAAUUUUGUUGAGAUGCCACAUGAUCUUUAUCCUCCAUUAAACCCAACAUAUUAAAUCCACUAACUCUCCCCAAAAACGAGUAAAAAAAAAGGGAAAAAAGUAUGAGUUAAAAAACAAAAACGGAAAAUAUGAUUUAUUUUUUUUUAAUGUGUUUCUAAGGAAAAUGAGAGACACAAAUUUUUGUUAAGAUGCAUUGCCACGUGUUCUUCAUCCUCUCCAUUAAGCCUAAUAUAUUAAACCUAAUAGCUCUCUCUUUUAACUUUCCAGUGAAGUGCCUACAGUAUCCAACUCAAAAUAAGACAACUUAAGCCCCAUUAGCCAACAACCCAUAUUUUGUGUACAUCUUGAUGAGAUUAUUUUGUGAGAAAAUGUCAUGAAACAAUCCCAAUUUGAUAAUCUAGGCAUGUAUUUGAGUUAAAAAUAAAUUUCUAUUCUAUAGAUCAAAUAAUAAAAUCAUGUUUGAAAAUUAUUUUUAAAAACUUAUUUAGAGCAAAAAUAGUUUUCUAACAUAAAAAUAAUUUUUUAACUGAGAAAAUAUAUUUGAAAUUAUUUGAUAGAAAAUUGGGCAUGUAUUUGACUUAAAAACAAAUUUCUAUUCUAUAGCUCAAAUAAUAAAAUCAUGUUUGAAAAUUAUUCUUAAAAGCUUAUUUAGAGCAAAAAUGGUUUUCUAACAUUAAAAUAAUUUUUUAAUUUAGAAAAUAUAUUUGGAAACAUUUGAUAGAAAACUAGGCAUGUAUUUGACUUAAAAAUAAAUUAUUAUUCUAUAGAUCAAAGGAUAAAAUCAUGUUUGAAAAAUAUUCUUAAAAACUUAUUUAGAGUAAAAACAGUUUUCUAACAUAAAAAUAAAUUUUUAACUUAGAAAAUAUAUUUGAAAACAUUUGAUAGAAAACUUUUUUUUUAAUGUCAAUAAGUUGUCUUUUUGUUAAUUUAAUUGUAAUCAAUUUGCUUAUACGCAUUUAAAAGUAUAUAUUAUCAUAUUUAGUAAUAUUUUGAUUGUUAGGCAAAUUAUCAUUUUUGAGAGGAAUUUUUGUAGCUCUCAUAAUUAUAAUUGUAUUUUAAUAACCAUUUCCAAUAAAAAAGAAAAAGAAAAAAGAAGUUAGACAAUUAUCAAAAUCUGAUUUUUAGGAUUUUAAAAAAAUCUACAAGCCAAAACUAUCUAUAAUUUUGAUCAUGUGAGAACACUUCUUUUUUAAUACUUUGAAUUAUUUUGUUUUUUUUUUUCUUAGUAUCUGAAAGUAUAAAAGAAUUUCUCUUAUUAUAUUAUUAUAUUAUAUAUGUGCAUGUGUGUUCUCAUGGUUUCUUUAUGUCAUGUCUUAUUAAAGAAUAAAGUGAUGAAAUUUCCUUUGAGUAGAAGGUUUUAGUCCACGCUAGUGAGUGGACACGGUAUGAAUAGUUUGGGUGGGUUGUAUCUAUGGUAAAAAAUAAUAAAAGAUACCUUUUGCAAGUCUCCAAGUUGGUUGAGAUACAUGGCAUCAUGUUGACUAAACCUUGACUUUUGCAAGUCUCCUAGUUUCCAACUUUUUUUUUUCUUUUUUUUUUAAUAUUAAGGUGUGGGGCCAUGAACUCCUUUCUUUCCUUUUUAAAUAACAAAAAGGAAGAUAAUUUUAUUGUGAGAAGGCUAUUUCUAUCAAUUGUGUUCACGUCGAGAAUUUUUUAAUUUAUGGAGGCCAAAUAUAUAUUUAUGUCUAAUUUAGGAGGGUAAUUUGGGUUUGUUUAAUCUAUUCCAUUUAAUCAUACUAUACAAUCAUUUUUUUAUUUGGAUUAUUUUUGUAUUAAAUUUCUUCAACCCAAAUUUUGUUGAAAAAUUACAAUGUAUUAUUAAAAAUAUGACUUGAUAGUUGAUUAUGGACAUGUGUCAUUUUUAGUAAAAAAAAAAAUCUAUAACAUUUUAUAUUGAUAAUAUAUUAUUCUUGUAACAGGUUCGAAUAGUAAGCAAGUCAUUAUCAAAGAAGUUAUUGAAAGUAUAAGUGUACGUUUAUUUAUUGCAUGCUCUUAUAUUGUAUCAAUUGUAAGGAAGAUAAAAUUACCUUGUAAAGGUAAUUAAAUCUUUCUAUAUUUUAAAAACUUUUUUCCUAUAUACUAUGCUUUUGAAGCUUGUUUAAUUAAACAUAUUAGUUAUUUGACAAACUUUUCACAAAUGUUUUGUAUACUUAUGUGUUCUAUUUUGUUCCAUAGUUUUAUCGCAUAAUACUAAUGUAUAUUUUUUCACAAACUUUUUACAACUAUUUUGUGUACUAAUGCAUAUUAAGUUUUGUUCUUGCCUAUAUAAGCUACAUUUAGUUAUUUAAAUAUAUCCAAUAUUAUGUUGAAGAAAGAUGUACUUAACUUUUUUUAUUCUAAAUAUUAACAAGUUUUAUAGUUCUCUUGUCUUGAGAUUGAAUGUCAAAAGAUAGAAGGUCAGUUGAGUAUGAUGAAAGAGUUGAAAACUUUAUCAAUUUUGCAUUAGCACAUUCAAUCAACCAUUCCCCUAUAAAAUGCCCAUGCUUACGUUGUGCAAAUCUAUUAUGUCAAACUCUUCAAGUCAUUACAGAGCAUUUGUUCUUUAAUGGAAUAGAUCUCAGUUAUCGAGUAUGGUAUUGGCAUGGAGAAAAUGGACCCAGUGGAGGAUUUUCAAAUGUCUCACAACAACAUUAUGACAAAUGCAAGUAUAAUGAUGUUGUUGACACAAUAGAUAUGGUUAAUGCUGCACAAGUUAAUUGUGUGAAUGAUCCCUAAGUGUUUGGAAGGUUACUUGAAGACGCAAAAAAACCUUUAUAUCUUGGAUGCAUGAAAUACACAAAGUUGUCAGCAUUGGUAAAACUUUACGACUUAAAAGCACGUUAUGGUUGGUCUGACAAAGGAUUCUCAAAAUUGCGUCAGUUGCUUGGAGAUAUGUUGCCAUUGAAUAAUGAGAUGUCAUUGUCCAUGUAUGAAGCUAAAAAGACUUUCAGUGCACUUGGGAUGAAUAUCAAAAAAUUCAUGCAUGUUCUAAUGAUUGUAUUUGGUAUAGAAACCAGUAUAAGGAUGCUAUUGCAUGCCUAACUUGUGGAAAGUCAAGGUGGAAGAUAAACAAUGAGGGGAAAAAGAUUAAGAAGGGGCUUCCUUCAAAGGUUUUGUGGUAUUUCCCACCAAUCCCUAGAUUCAAAAGGAUGUUCCAAUCCUCAAAAAUCGUUAAACAUCUUAUGUGGCAUGCCAAGGAUAAAGAAUAUGACGGUAAACUAUGCCACCCAUCAGACUCCUCAGCGUGGAAACUAGUUGACCAUAUGUGGCUUGAUUUUGCUUCUGAACCGAGAACCUUAGACUAGCACUCUCAACAGAUGGUACAAAUCUUCAUAAGUCUAUAAGCAAUAGACAUAGUUGUUGGCCUGUUAUACUGAUCAUAUACAACCUUCCUCCUUGGUUGUGCAUGAAAAAGAAGUUUAUGAUGCUAUCAUUAUUGAUCUCAGGACCACGACAACCUGGUAAAAAUAUAGAUGUUUACUUGAGUCCAUUGGUAGAUGACCUUAAAACUUUGUGGGAAAAAAAAGUUGAGACUUAUGAUGCACACUUGCUUGAGGUUUUUACUUUAAAGGUCAUCAUUUUAUGGACAAUCAAUUAUUUCCCUACAUAUGGAAACUUGGCCAAUUGCACCGUGAAAGGAUAUUAUGCAUGUCCAAUAUGUGGAGAAGGAACAUAUUCCCAAAGAUUAAAGUAUGGUAGGAAGAACUUGUAUAUGGGUCACCGACGAUUUCUUCCACGUAACCAUCCCUAUUGGAGACAAAAGAAGGCAUUCAAUGGUGAACAAGAUUUUAGAAUUCCUCCUAAAAUUUUGAGUGGAGAAGAAAUACUUGAAAAAGUUGAUCUCAUUCCUAUUUCUUGGGGAAAAAUGAAGAUAAAAUCUCUUGAACUGAUGUGAACACAAAUUAUUGGAAAAAAAAGUCCAUAUUUUUUGAGUUAGAAUAUUGGAAAUAUCUUCAUAUCCUUCACAACUUAGAUGUCAUGCACAUCGAAAAGAAUGUCUGUGAGAGUAUUAUUGGUACUUUGUUUAACAUCCCAGGAAAACAAAAAGAUGGACUUAAUGCUCAACUUGACCUAGUUGAAAUGGGUUUAAGGUCUGAACUUUUCCCAAGAGUUGACUUGAAGCGGACCUAUCUUCCCCCUGCAUGUUAUUCACUAUCCAAACAUAUAUGACAAAAAAUUAGUUUGUCAAACAUUGUCUAAUUUGAAGGUCCCUGAGGGGUAUUGCUCAAAUUUUAGAAAUCUUGUCUCCUUAAAGGAAUUGAAGUUAUUUGGUUUAAGAUCCCAUGACUACCAUGCACUUAUGCAACAACUAUUGCUAGUGGCAUUACGUUUUGUUUUGCUAAAGCAUGUGAGAUAUACUAUAUCAAGAUUGUGUAUCUUCUUCAAUCAAUUAUGUACAAAAAUGGUUGAUGUGCCAAAAUUGGAUGAAGUACACAAUGAGUUAGUGGUCACGCUGUGCUUACUUGAAAAGUAUUUUUCACCUUCAUUUUUUGAUAUUAUGCUUCAUCUAGUAGUGCAUUUGAUAAGGGAGGUGUGACUAUGUGGUUCAGUUUACUUUAGGUGGAUCUACCCAUUUGGGAGGUAUAUGAAAGUUCUUAAAGAAUUGUUCGCAAUCAUAAUUGGCUUGAAGGAUGCAUUACUAAGUGCUAUUUAACAGAAAAAGCUAUUGAAUUUUGUACUGAAUAUUUAUUAGGGACUCAUGCAAUUGGAAUUCCAAAAGCAACAAUUAUGACAACAAAUUUGGUAGACCUAUAAUUGGUGGUCGUUCUACCAUCAUUGAUCAUAAAUUGUGGUUACAAGCACAUCAUUAUCUAUUAGAGAAUACAACUAUCGUCCAACCAUACACUGAGUAAGAAAAACAUACCUUUAUCUUUUUAUAAUUUCAUAACAUAAUGAUGAAAUCCUAAGUUUGCAUUCCUUGUCUUUAACGUCAUAAGGAACACAUGAAUUGGUUGAGGUCUCAAUACCCUCGACAAUCUAAUAGACAAAUUUGGUUGCAAGAAGAACAUAUGAGUUGUUUUACAUAUUGGCUUAAAGAAAAGGUAAUCUCUUAGUUUUUAGAAAAUUUUUCAAUAUGUUGAAAACAUCACAAGUUUCCAAUAUGUUUUGAUUAUACAUAGGUUGAAGAGGCUAUCCAUAAUGGGCAAGAUAUUCCCGACACACUUAGGUGGUUAGCACAUGGCCCUACUCUCCAGGUAGUCAAAUAUCCUGGAUAUAUCAUUAAUGAGUGUUGUUACCAUAUUAAGAAACGCGAUAUGACAUGCAUCACCCAAAAUAGUGGUGUUUUUAGCAAGACUAUGCAAAUUGCUAGUUCUAAGGAUAAGAACCUAGUUUGUGGUGAACUUUGCUUUUAUGGGGUCAUUAAUGAGAUAUGAAAUCUUGAUUACAACAUGUUCACAAUUCUAAUUUGCAAGUGUGAUUAGGUUGACAACAAGAAUGGUAUAAAAGUUGAUGAACUCAGGUUCACAUUAGUUGACUUCUCCAAAAUAGGUCACAAAUUGGAUCCAUUUAUUUUAGCAUCACAAGCCAAGCAAAUCUUCUAUGUUGAAGAUCAACUUGAUCCUAAAUGGUCAAUAGUUCUCUCAAUUCCUCCAAAAGAUUUCAAGAACAUAGAAGGACUAGAUGACUUCACCGAUAAUUGCAUGGAACAUCACCCCUUUAUAAGUUCAAUGCCAGAAUUUGAAUCAUUUGAUGCUAUGGAUGAAUCAUAGGCAAUACACAUGAGAGAAAACUGUGAGGGCAUAUGGAUUGAAAAGAAUUAAAUAACAUAUUGUACCCUUGAAUGAGAUAUAAUAAGGCAUUUCACUUAUUAGUUUUCAUGAGUUGCACAUUAACUUAGCUUCUAUAUAUUGCUCAUGAUAUAUCUAUAUAUAUUAAUCAUCCUAAAUUUCUUUCAUGCAUCAUAAACAUAUGUUAUUCAAAGGUACCACUUCAAUCUUCAUUCAACUAUCUUUUUGUUGUCCAUAGAACUAGAUUUAUAUUAUUUUUUAUUAUCAUGUUUUGAUUUUAUGCUCACAUAACUUGAAACUCUCAUUCCUAAAUUUCUUUUUCAUUAAAACUAUAAAUCAUAAUUGAAACUAUGCACUAAUUUAUUUUAUUAUUAUCCUCACAAAUAAAUUCUUCAUUAUUGAUAAGAAAUCAAAAAACAAGACAAACUUUGAAAGAAAAUUUCAAAAAAUAUAUUUGUGAAUGACCAAUUUAAUUAUAGAAAAUAUAUGCAAGGCUAUACUAAUCUUGCUUUUGAGUCAUUUUACAGGUUUGUUGGUGAAGUACUAGUUUGCACAUUUACUUGAUAUCUUCCACACAAAUAUGGAUCUAGAAGAAGGGGAAAUGCCAAAAAUAAAGCAUAGAUGUAGUGCAUUGAAACCAAAGAUUGCAAAAAAUCAAAGUAAAGGGAUAAAACUCAAGAUUGAAUACAAUAGCCUUGGUAGUCCCAUUAAGGAAAAUUCAGUUAAACUAAGUAGUUAUCUUAGUACAAUAACUAGAACCCAUGUGCUAAUAAUUAUUGAGAGUUGGAGGAAAGUCCCUAAAGAGACUAAGGAGAAGUUGUGGGAUUUGAUCACAGUAAGCCUAUCUAUAGCUUUAAUAUAUAAUUAUUGUAUACAUUCAUUAACAUGAGCUAAUAUGGGUUGUUAUUUUGUAGACAAGCUUUAAUGUGAAUAAAAAAUCCAAGAGGAAUUGUUUCAUACUAAUGGGCAUCAGGUUUCGAACCUUUAAGUACAAGUUGACAAAGAAAUAUAUAUUGUCUUUCAAGAAUGACCAAAAAAGCUGAAAAAGUCACCUCCUAUUUACCCAUUCAUACAAGAGGAUCAUUGGAGACAGUUUGUUAAAGAUAGACUUUUUGAACAUUUUAAUGUUAAGCAUUAUUUUUAUUACAUCUUCAAUUUUCACAUUUACGUAGUUUCAUUAUGUACUAAUUUUGUGUCUAUAUUUUGUAGGAAUAUCGCAAAGUUUAGAAAUCAAGAAGAGAUAAACACAUUUACAAUCAUUAUCUUGGAAGAAAAUGAUAUGCACGUUUUGAGCAAGAUAUAGUAAGUUAUCAAUAUCCAUAAAAAAAAUGGAGUAUAUAUUUUGUUUAUAGGAAAAUGAUUCUAGUUUUUAAAUAUCAUUUAUUAACUUGAUCAUGUUGAACUAAUGAGUUUUAUUGUUAAAAUUUUUAUAGCUACAAGCAGAAGGGGCUAUUGGUAGGGUUGAUAGAAGUGUUUAUGAAAGAAAACACGUGAGAAGAAAGGAAAGUUUAAUAAGAUUACAAAGCUAAUGAUUAACUAAGUUAGCAUAUUUAUGCCUUUUAGAGCCUAUAGUGUUAGUAUGUCUAUGUGAUUAUGGUUUGGGAUGAUAUCGUUAGGUGUUAAUAGGGAAGAGGCUUAAUGCUAUCAUUUUUAUGAGUAGUCAUGUUAUAUUAGUGCAAAUAUAGUAGCCUAAUUUGAAAAUUAAUUUUGAAACAAUAUACAUUAAUUUAUCUAUUAUCAUUUUUAUUAAAACAAUUCAUUUUCUAGCUACCUUGAAUUGGUCCUCUUGAAUUGGUUGUCUUUGAUUGAUAUGUUAAUCAUCUUCAUCAAAUUAUUACUAAUAUAUGUUUUGUUGUAGGAUGAAUUACUAGAAAAGGCAAGGAGACUGGACUACCUCCACUUGGUCCAAAUGACAUAUUAUGUCAGGCAUUGGGUAAGCUUGAUCAUCUAGGACGUGUGGUAGGUCAAGACCGCUUGGUUAGGUCGAACUCAUACUUUCAUCAACCAUUUGAUGACAUGAAAAAAAAAAUCAAAGAAGAAAUAUGGGAAAUGGUGUGAAAGGGGAUGCAAGAUGCUGUAACAAGACAAACUAUGUCUCCUCCCACACCCCAUUCUGAUAUAGGUAGUAAUAACAUGAGACAACAACUUGUUUUACAACUAGUUGUAGCAAAAAAACCAAUGUUUAAAAUGAUGGAAGAGCCCCAACCACCAGAACCACCACUGAAACGUAAGGUAUACAUUUACUUACUAAUAAUACAAGAUUAAUAUAAGUGAUAUAUAGCCUAUGUAAAUGAUAUUAUUUGUUGUAUUAAAGGUGAUUAAAUAUAAAUUAGCAGUGGAAUGAAAAUGAAAUGUUGUUGCAACUGGUACAUUAAUAGAAGAAAAUUGAUCAAAUGGGUUGGUCGUAAUAAAUGUUGCACACAAGCUAGAUGCUAGACUUCCAUUUCCAAAUCCAUAUGAGAUUAUCAAUGUUGGGGAUGCUAUUGGCUUUAAGCUUGACUGGCCAACAAGCCUUGUCAUACUUGAAACUAAACAUCCUCGGGUAUGUCAUUUUAUACUUGUAGUAAAUUUGAUUGUAACUUGGUAUUUUAUUGUUUAGGAGUAUAUAUUACUAACAUUCCUUCAUUUUUCAUAGGUGUUGGAUAAAGGAAAGAAGUAGAUAGUGAAUGCACCAAUUAUUCGAAAAUCUAAGCCUCAAAAUUAUUCGGUCAUUAAAAAUUUUCAGAAAUUUAUGGAUGGUUGUCUUAGUAAUGAGAAGACAUACCCAAUACAGCUCCCCAUUUCACUAUUUGGUGUCGAAUUCCGAACAUAUAUAUCUAGAGAGGAUUGUGAAUACAUUAUUUCAUCUUCAGAGGUGUUAUCAAAAUGCAUCUCCUUCCAUUUAUGGUGUGCACCUUUUAUUUUCAUUUGUUUUUAUUUUUUUAAUAUGAGUUGCCCCUGUUGAACAAGAUUGGAUAUGACUAAUGAUAAUUUUCUUUUGGUGUUUUGAUAAUAUAAUAGGUACAUGCAUGAUCAACUACAUAUUGCCAAAAAGGAAUCACAAUUUAUAUUUGUUAAUCCUUUUACAAUAUCAUGAGCAGGCUUUAGUAAUCCUCAAAUAGAGAAAAGAACACAAUUGUUGUCAAAACACUUAAUAGAGUGCCAAGAUGUCAGAUAUGUUUUCAUGCCCUACAACCCCGAGUAAGUGACGAAUAUUAUACUUUAAUUUGAGGUUUUAUGAUUGAUUUAUAUUUCUAAUUAGAUGCUACUUUUGUUUUUAAUGUUUUAGCUUUCAUUGGGUCUUGGUAGUGAUUGAGCCAAGGAAAAUGAUAGUCCACUAUCUUGACCCUGUGCAUCACAAACCAUGUGAGGACUUAAAGGAUAUCGUAAACAUGUAAGUUCUUCCUAUUAUUUUUCAUAGUAUUAUUUAAAAAAAAAAAUUACAUUCACCUCAAACACAUUUUUUAUUGUUAUUUCUAUAUAUUAAAACAUAUAACAUUUACCUAUUUUAAAAUUGUACCCAUUGAACUUAUUUACAUAGGGCUCUUUAAAUAUUUGCAAAGAAAACAUCUAAGAGAGAGCCAUCUUGGCAACUAGUGCAAGUGACAUCCAAAAAUUUUCUUUAAACAUUUAGCUUAUGCAUUUGCACCAUUUAUAUAUAUGAGUACUAAUGUUAUUUAUAACUGAUCCAUUAGUGUCCAAGACAAGAAGGAGGGUUCGAAUGUGGCUACUUUGUUAUAAAAUUCAUUAAAGAGAUAAUUUUUUAUCCUACAAUGAUUGCUUCAAAGGUAUUACUUAUUUAAUGAAUUGUACAUAUUUUUAGGCUUCCAAAUGUUAUGCAUUUUAAUGUUAUUUUCUUAUUUGAUUUUAGUUUGGUGAUAAAAAAACAUAUUCUCAAGUAGAAUUCAAUGAAAUUAAAGGAGAAUUGACUACUUUUGUGCUACAACUAAUCAUGAAUCAUGUUGAUGCAUCAUGAUCACCAUGCAUGGUGAGUCCCUUAGCUACUACAUGAAUUUUUCCAUAGAUAUUGUAUAGUAUUGCUUUUCUUUGAACAAUGUUUUUAUUUGAAAAAAAGAAAAAAAAAGUUCUUAGAUUUGUUCAUUUAUGAUAACAUCGAUCCAUAUUUAUUUUCUUCAAUGAAAUCUAUAAAACUCAUUAAACUAUGAAAUGCAGGUAUACACUCUUAGGAGGGUGGAAUAGAGAAUAAAAAGAACAAAGAAGGCAACAAGAUUUUGGGUUUUUAAAUACAGCUUGUAUGUCAUACGUUGAAGGACAUAAACGUUACUUUAAUUGGUAGUGAGAAUUUUAGAUUUUUAGAUGCUACUUUUAUGUCAUUUUCUUGUAGUGCAAAUUACUUAUCUUACUAUGCAUUGGGCUUUGAUAUUAGCCAAAGAUAGUAGUGGCUCCUAAUUUUUAUCCUUAACUGAAAUGAAAACAUCAAGCAGGUCCCCAGCCUCUUUUUCGCCAUUCUUCCACUAUUCUACUAUUUGGUCCAUGAUUGGAUCAUGGUACUUGUUAAUGGUGUUCAUAGCCUCCCUUAUAGUUUUUUCAUGGCCAUCUAAAUUCAGCACUCUCUGCCAUGGGAAGUAAUCAGAUAAAGAGAAUACAUAUAGAUGAGCAAGUAUAGUAAAGAAGGAUUCAACAUGUUGCUCCACUUCAACUCCAGGGCCUCCAUCUUUCUUUCGUUGGCCAAAGUAUCUUGUGUUGAGGAUCAUCUUUCAGAUGACAUUCCCGUUGUAUUGACGGACUUUAUUUCUGUCACACCCCAAAUACUAGGCAACCCAGAACUUGACUCGUGACCCUAGGUCAAAUGUUUGACCCUAAGAGUUACUCUUAUCCAUGUUGGCAAUCAAUCAAAACACCCUGGAUUUUUUUUCUUUUCAAUAAAGCGUUUAAUCCUAAAUAAAUUUAUUAAGCUAAGAUUUACUAUAACAUAUCAUUUUAUUUUUCCAAAACUAACCAUCACAUUAUCUCCUGUUCACAAGUAUUAAAAAAAAAAAAAAUUCCACCAAUCAUCUUCUUACCCAAAAUCUCAAAUAUUUACUAUAAUCUCUAAGUCAAAAAGAAUAUUUCCAAAAAUGUUUUACAAACUAAUAAAAUAUAAUUUAACUUAAAAAAGUCCAUAUAACUCAAAUUAGUAGAUGUCAAAAAGGUAAUUAAAAAAAAACAACCAUUAUUAUGGUUUUUUUGCUUUUUAGAACACUUCAUGAUCUUCUUAUGGUCCCUUAGAAACUAUAUCUGCAUCUAAAAAUUUUAGAAAAUAAAGGGAUGCACAUUUCCACGUUACUCUUUAGACCUAAAUGGGUUAGAAAUUCUAAGUCAAUAAAACACAACCAUAUGCCAAAAUAUAAUAUUACAUUUACAUUAUACACACUAAAAGAAACCUCAACCAUACAAAUUUAAAUCAAUCAAAAUUAUCAUUUUCCUUAUUUAAUCAUAUGUUUAGCAUAUCAAUAAUUUUAAAUUUACAAAAUAAAUAAGUCACUUUAGUCUUGAAUAAUAUAUUCAAACAUAUACUUGAUAAAUAAUACAAAUCAUUUUUCCAAAUGCAACCAUGAUACAAAUGCUUACACACAAUCACGCAAUGCAAUAUCGUUCUCGAGCUUUCACCGAAGGAUAUGCAUUUAUACCCAAAUACACUCCCCAUUCGGAGUCUUCCUGGGAUAAAAUUUUGAGUCUUUCACCCUAAGGAUCUCACUCCCUUCUUAACUCACCAUCUCUAGGGUCAUUCAAUUUCUUAUUUUUCUUUUCUUUUCAUUUUUGCCAUUUUUGGGGUCUUUUCAUUCUCAUUUCCAUUUCACACAACCAUUUCUUCAAUUUUUAUUUUUCUUCACACAAUCAUGAUGCAUAUGAAAUGCAACUGAAUCAUAUUUUAACAUCCAUAAUUUUCCAAGACAUAAUUUUAUUUACUCCCAUUAUGUUUCAUAAUUUCCAAUAAUCCACACAACGAUUUUUCUUCACUUUAAUCGUCACAAACAUAAAAGAAAAUUCACAAUUAAUUUGUAUAGCAUCAAAACAUAGUUUUAAACAUUGACCACAUAAAUUCUAUUUAUUCCCGACAUGCUUAAUAAUUUCCAAAUCCAAUAUAACCAUUUUUUUUUCAAUUAAAUAAUCACACAUAUCCAAGAAAAUUCUCGCUAAUACAAAUAUCAACAAAAAUGUAAUUUAUGUCAUAAUUUAUUUGUCUCCAAUAAUUUCAAAAAUUUUGACACCCAUAUGACAAAUUUCCACAAUUAAGCCACCCCAAUAUUUGGGAAAAAUUUUCCAAUAAUUCAAAUAUCAACAAAAACCCAAUUUAUAUCAUCAUUUUAUUUAUUUUUAAAAGCAUUAAUAAUUUUAAUAAUCAAUACAACACUUUUCCACAAUUAAGCCACCACAAAAUUUUGGGAAAAUUUUCCAAUAAUUCAAAUAUUAACAAAACACAAUUAUACCUUAAUUUUUCUUAUCUCUGACAACAUCAAUAAUUCUUAGUACUCAAUACAACUAUUUUUAUUUUUUCAUAUUUAAUCUUCUCAAACAUUACCAAAAUUCCAAGAAAAAUUUAUAAAUCACGAAAUAAAAUUAUUCACAAUAAUAAUCACACUUCAAAUACUACAAAUAACAUCUAUUAUAUUUCAACAACACAAUAUAUAAUUUUUUUUGAAAGAAAAUAUUAAAUCAAAGUUUUAGGGUUAAAUCACCCUACCUUAAAUUUGAAAAAUUUAACCAUUAAAACUAAAACGGGACACCGUAGGAGUGUUCCUCGCAUUGAAUAGAAUAUCCUUCCAAAAUUUUAUGUGAAAUGGACGUCAUUUGGUAGGUCCACCAGCAUCCUAAAGCUGGCGACCCAUUUUUCCCACUCUUUGCCGACGACUUCCCUACAUCUCUUACUCGAUUUCCUUUCUUCAUUUUCUUUUCUUCUUCUUCUUUUCUUCUUCUUCUUUUAAACUCCCACGCCAAUUUCACUUUAUAUAUAUAUAUAUAUAUAUAUAUAUAUAUAUAUAUGUAUGUAUGUAUGUAUUAUUAAAACAAAUCCUAAAAUACCACGCACAUCCAUUUCUCAAUAAAUUAAAACCAUUAUUCUUAAAUUCACCUUCCGUAAUUAUGAAUUAUACCAAACUUAUGAUUUUCCAUUUCACGAAAAAUACCACCGUAUUCGUAAUUUAAUUUACUACAAGUCUACUCUUCAAAAAGUAUAAUUUGAUUAUAAUUACAUGAAACAUUGUUUUUUUACUCUAAAAUUCAUUUAAAACAUGAUAUAAUUAACUAUUAACAAAAUUCAAUUCCAUAAAAUAUUAAAAACAUAAAAUAAUUUUUUGGCAAUCAAGAAGUUGAAAUUUGUAAUAACCCUAAACCCGUUAAUUUUACCUAUAUUUAUUUACCAAAAAAAAUUUAAAUAAUAUUCUAAAAUUUAAUUCCAUAAAUUAAUUAGUCAUUCAAUUUAUAAAAAUCAAAUUCUCUACCCUUUGGUAUAACUUUUAUUUAAUUUACUUCAUUUUUCAAAUUAUUCAAUCGCAUCAAAAUUUCAAAAGUUAAAUUCACUAAAUUCACAUUUAAUUAAUUUAUCAUUUUGUAUUUUUUUUUUUUCUAAAUUCGCAUAUCAUAAUUUAAUCUUAAUUUAAUUUUGAUUCAAUUUUGUUUUAGGUUUUCUAAUUUUAUGAGGUUUAAUUUCAAUUAUAAAAAUUAAAUUCAAUUUCUUUUUAAUUAUCCAUUAUCACAAUUUGAUAUAAUAUAAUUUUUUAUCAAGUUUUUCUUACUACGAUUUUUCUUAUAAUUAUCCAAUAAUAAUUAAAUUAAUUCUCGUAACAUAUUUAAUAUUCAAAUUUUAAAAACUUAAUCUCAAUUAUUUGAUGGUUAUUUUUUUUUUCUCAAAAUCUAAAUUUAAUUUAUGAAAUUCUCACUUCUUACAUCUGACGUGGCAAAAUUUUCAAACUAUUGACUUUUGACCAACUUUUCCUAAAUUUAUCCUAAUUAAAUACUAACACAUGGAUUUUCACCACUCUUUUUGAUCUUUUGACCCACAAAUUUAUGAAAGACUUUAUACUUGGAGAAUCUACAAAAACCUGGGUAUUACAAUUUCUCAGGUUGAUAACUGUCGUGGUUACGAAGCCACCACUUGAAUACUCAAUCGCCAUUGUAAUGGGCCUAGAUGCAAAUAGUACAUCAUGUUUCUUCAAAAGUUCUCUGCUAAUCUCUGGGAAAGUCGUAGGGACAAGAUGAAAUAUUUCCCAAUUGAAUACAUGCAAUUUCAGUGUUCAUUUCUUUCAUAAAGCCAAUGUAUCCACCAGAAAGUUGGCUUUUUGUUGAGUAAAUGAGGUAGAUAUUGCACUAGUGGCCAUGGAGCUAAUCCUGGAGGAAGUUGUAUCGGCUUGCUUUUGGUACUUGUUUUGGAUUUUAAUUUAGUGAAGAUGAGAAAGAUUGAUGUGAUGAAAAGCAGUAAGAGGAAGUUGAAAUGAGACAACACAUCGUCUGUGGUAGUAGAAGAAAACAAGGUUGAGUUACUGCUACUACUCUCUGCAACAAAGCCAUUUACACGUCUUUUAUGGCAAAACCAUGUUUGUCCUAUCUUGGGUCUGGAUGCACAUUUUUAAUAUUGGGGAAAUCAUGCAACCAAAUGUCACACACAAAGAGAGAGAAAAAAAUACGUUUUUUAGAACUUGAAAAGGUAAAGUGGGACAAAAAAUAUUAUCCAUUCUUGAACUCUAAAAGUAAAGUUAUAAAAAGCUUAGUUUUUUUUUUUUUGUUAUGUAUGAUUGCAUGAUUUCCCCCUUUUAAGAUUUUAUCUCAUAAAAUUUUUUUCUAGAAGGUUCAAAUAAGUUUGAUGAAUAUUGUUUAUUUUAGUAAUUUUAAUUUUAUGGGGUACUUAAAACAUUAGAAGUUCACAAAAAGCAACAUUUAUCAGCUACCUAUCUAAAAAGCUUGGCCUAAUCAUUGAAAUCCAAAAUAUAAAGUGACAACACACUUUUUAAAGCAAUUUUCAAAAUAGUUUUUAAAAACACAUUUAUUUAUGAUAUUUUUAAAAUAAAAAUCUCAAAAAUAACUUGUUUAUAUUACUUUUUAUUAGACAAAUACUUGAUCUUUAUAAGAUCACCCUAAUUAUAGAUUUAUGAACAUGUAACACAGCAAUUAUCUAUAUAUAUACUUAGAAUUAUUAUAUUUUAAGUUUUUAACUACAUAGGACAUCAUGAGUUUUUCCACCAUUUAUCUUAUAAUAAGUUUAUUUAAAUAUGAUAAAGGAUAUAUUAUCUCAUUUCUUAUUAUAUCUGAUGCUAUAUAUAUAUAUAUAUAUAUAUAUAUAUGUAACAAAUCAAAUACAAUUUAAAGAUUUUAAUUAACCAUCUAUUAGCAACAAAGCAAUCUCUUAAUCUCAUUCAUAAUAUUAGGAUAAUUUAGUAUUUCCUUUUAUAAAACACUAGCAUAUAAAUCAGCACAAAUCAUAUUAAGGGUGUAUUUGGUGUUGAUUUUAGAAAGCGUUUUUAGUAUUUCUAAUACUUGAAAGAUAAAAAUUUUCAAGUUUUAGAAAGAUCAAAAGCGCUUUUUAGAAUGACUAUCAAAUACAUGCUAAAUAUUACUUUUGGAUACUUAUAUUUUUAAAUAACUCUUAAAACUUUUAAGGCAAGUCUCUACUAUUCAUAUAAACCCCCUAUUAUUUUUAAUUCUUAGAAACAAAAAAUAAAGAAUAAAAACUCCAUUUAAACAUCACCUUAUUAUUUCCUAUUAUAAAAUAACACAAAUCAAAUGAAUUAUUUAAAAAUAAAUAAAUAUAAAAUCAAAGUUGAAGAGAAAAAACUCUUGUGCAUUAAAAAAACAUCAAAAUAAAUAAAUAAAUAAAUAAAUAAAACAUCAUCAAAUAAAUGUAAAAAUAAAUUAAUGUUAUGGAAAAAUGAGAAUAGGCAACAAGAAAAUAAGAACACAGAUUUACAUGAAAAAUGCUAGAUGGGAAAAACCAUGGAUAGAGGAGAAGAAAAUCCACUAUAUUAAAAAUUUGGUAUAAAAUGUGACAGAAUCAAGUGAGUAUUGUAUAGGCAUAAUCACUAUGACCCUAAAUCCUAUACAUCAUCGCAUAUGUAUGGUGUAUGCGAUAAUAUUUGUGAUAAUAAAAAUAUUGUCGCAUAAAAUAACUAUGGGAUGUAAUAUUUGUAAUAAUAUUCUUUACAAAAAAAAUAUUUUUUCUUUGCUUUAUUCACUUUGAUCACAACUUGAAAUAAGACAAUAAAAAUAUUUUCUUAAUUUUUGAAAAUUAAUUGAGGACUUAGAGCUACUUGUUACUGAGUGAAUUUGCUGAAUGGUGAAGAAUGUGUGUAUAGUAGUUUUGCAAUUUUUCAAACUUGUAGACAUAUUUUGUGAAGUCUUUUUCUCUUUGUAAAGCCCCAUUUUCUUUGUGUAGUUAUUUUUUCAAUAUUCUCUUUGGAAGGAAUUUACCAUUAGUUAUAUAGGUAAGAUUAAGGAAUUAAAUUUGGAAUUCUUAAGAUUUGAUUGCUUAAUUCAAAGAAUUUGGUUCAAGGGAAAUUUGCCAACAAAAUAAUAUUUAUUUUUAAUUCUAUGAUGACUUUAAUUAUUUGAUAUAAUUUUAUUUUGAAAGACUUGAUGUGGGGGACUCAUCACUUAUUGAGUCCAAAUUUUGUUGCACCCAAAUUUUUAUGAGCUAAGAAACCAUAAUUUUAAAGACCAAUUCAGUGGUAAGUGAAUCUGCUAAAAUCUUCUAUGUACAAAUGACCUCACUUCAAGGUGCAACACAUACAUGUAUUAUUAUGUGUAUGGGAUGAGUCUUGAAGUUAGUCUUCAUUCUUCUUUGAUUUUUUUUUCUUCAAAUAAAUAAAUAAAACAUCAUCAAAUAAAUGUAAAAAUAAAAUAUGUAUCGGUUAAUUGGAGAGGAGAGCUUUAAGGGCAUUUCUUCUAUGAAAUUCUAUGCUCCACGUACCAUAAAUUUGUACUCAACCAACAAAAUUACAGAAUGGGUCCAUGCACAAACAAAAAUAACUCAAAUGUAAAUAUCUAAAAAUGUAUAAAGUUCACAAUAGAUAUUCAAGCCCAAAUUUAAAUUUCAAAUUAGUCCAAUAGAUUUCAUCAAUCAAAAUGGGUCCAAAUUAGCAAAUAUAACCCAACAAAAAUAUCUCAUAUGUCAUAGGCCCUAAUUUAAAAUUUUCAAAUUAAUAGCCAAAAUAUAAGUUCAAUUAAUCAAACCCAAAACAUGAUAAAUUAAAAUAAAUCUCAUUAGGCCUAUACUUAAUAUCCCAUAAUUCAAGCCUAAUUUAAUAUAUAAACCUAAAUCCACAAUCAAAAUCAACCCAAUUUAUGCUAAUCCCGAUUUACAAUCAAAAUCAAACAUAAUUUAAUAAGUAAAUAACUAAAUAAAUUAAGCAAACUCAAAACACCCAAACCACUACAACAUAAAUCAAACAAUAAUAAAUAUAAUGACAAUAAUAAUAAUAAUAAUAAUAAUAAUAAUAAUAAUAAAAUAAAAUAAAAUAAAAUAAAAAAAUUUAACUCAUGUCGGAGCCAGUUUGAAUGUCUUGGGAAAGAAAGAAAAUGAGAGAAAAGUGAGAGAUGAUUGACAACUGACAGUGGCUCACUGGCGACGACUGGCUAGUGGUCCUACCGAUGGUAGUGAGGAUUGAUUGGUUUUUGGGAAAAAAAAUAAAAUGAAGAAAAGAAAAUGAGGUGUAAUAAAAAAAUGGAGAAUUGAGAGGAAGGUGGGAGAAGAAUGGAGAGAGAGAACAUAGAAAAUGAGUGAAAAGAAAUGAGGCUAGUUGGAGGAGGAAGUGGUAGUGUGUGAGCUAAAGUGAAGAAGAAUAGAAGAAGAAAAUGGAGAAGAAUGGGGAAAAAAAAUCCGCCUCCUUAAAUGAAGAGAGGUGGGUAGCCUAAAGAAGAAGAAAAAAUAAAAUAAAAUAAAAUGGGGAGAAAAUGAGAGGGGGUCGGUGGUCUUGUGAAUGAGGUGGUAUGCGUUAGAGAGAGAGAGUGGGUGGGGUUGUUGGGGAAGGUAUGAGAGAGAGAGGAGAGAGAAAAGAAAAAAAAGAAAGAAAAGAAAAAAGAUAAUAUAAAAUAAUAAUAAUAAUAAAAUAAAAUAAUAUACAAAAUAAUAAAAACUAAUAAUUAAAUAGUGAGUGGGCAAAAAAUAUCAUAUGUAAUCGGGAUUUAAUUUUAAGAGUAAAAUUGGGUUAAAAAUUAAUGUAAAAUAAAAUUAGGACAAAUUUUGGGGUAUACAAAUAUGCGCCUCUUCGGUAGAGUCCACGAGUAAAGCAAGUGUAUAUGUGAGCAAAACAAAGUGGGCUCUACUGAAAAACAAGACAAACCACCAAAUUUGUCUUAAUAUGACAUGAACUCUCCCAAAAAAAAAAAAAAAAAAAAAAUCUAAAACCCUACAAAAAUGGCCAAAACGGAAACUCCUAAGGUGCCUUUAAAGUUAUACUAUGGAUCUAGACUCCCUUAGAAAAGCCUCCAAAAAUGGCCCAAAAAUCGGUGUCAAAAUCGAGUAGCAAUCAGACCACUAAGGAGCACAUGAACGAAUGCAUACAAAGGGAAAAAAACCAUACGUGUACCAUACGAUGACAAAAGGCAUAAGGUAUCCAACAAUAUGACUGAUUCACGUGUUACGAGCUCAAAGAACUUUGUCAUGCACCAUGGAGGAAGGGAAACUCUAGAAUAAUGUGAUGAGGAAGUUAUUAGCACAAUGUAAUAGAGUGAGGAAAAAAGUGAUGAGUGCAAAGCUGUGAGGACAAGGUGCACAAUGCUAAUGAAUAUGAAAUGAAUAGCACUAGGCUAUAAUGCAAUGAAUAGCUCAGGGUUGUACCAUAAUGAACAAGUCAAGGAUGUGUAAAGAUGAGGAACAACUCAAGGUUGUAAUGCAAUGAACAACUUAGGGUUGUGAAUGCAAUGAACAGCUCAGCGCAAUGAAUGAAAUGAAUAGCUCAGGGCUGUGAAUGCAAUGAACAACUCGAGGUUGUGGAUGUAAUGAACAACUCAUGGUCAUGGAUGCAAUGAACAGCUCAGGGCUGUAGAUGAACAACUCAGGGUUGUGGAUGUCAUGAACAACUCAAGAAUAGGGGCACUGUACACCCAAAAUGGGAGAUCACGGUCUACGAUUCCAAGUCAAACCACUAAAGGGUGACCAAAAUGAGGGUGAUCAACUCACUAAAAAAGAUGAUCAAAAUGUCUUAAGGGAGAGGAGAUGCCCCAGAUGAAACUUAAAGGAAGUGAGUAGUGCUAAUGAAACUAAAAAAAGAAAAAAUGUCACAACUGAAAUUGAAAAAAUAGCAAACUUAGAUUAAAGUGCAAUGAACAACUUUGGGUUGUGGAUGCGAUGAACAGUACCUUGUUGUAAUGAAAUGAAUAACUCUAAGAUAUGGGCAUUGUACGCCUAAAGAGGGAGAUCGUGGUUUACGACUCCAAGUCAAACCACUAAAGGACGACUAAAAUAAGAUGAUCAACUUACGAUAAAUGAGAAUGCAACUAUCUCGAGAAAAAGGGUAUGCCCCAAAUGACACUCAAUAGUAAAAGAAUGACACAAAUGAAACUAAAACAAGAGGAUGCCACAAAUGAAACUGAAAUGAUAACAGACUCAGUACUAAUGUGUAAUGAACAACUUUGGACUAUGGAUGCAAUGAAUAGCACUGGGUUGUAAUGAAAUGAACAACUCUAAGAUGUGGGCACUAUACGCCUAAGAAAUGAGAUCAUAGUUUACGACUCUAAGUCAAACCGCUAAAGGGCGACUAGAAUAGGAUAAUCAACUCACUAAAAAUGAGGAUGCAACUAUCUCGAGAAAGGGGGUAUGCCCUAAAUGACACUCAACAGUAUAAGAAUGACAUAAAUGAAACUAAAAUAAGAGGAUGCCACAAAUAAAACUAAAAUGAUAACAAACUCAAAACUAAUGUGCAAUGAAUAACUCUAGGUUGUGGAUGCAAUGAACAACACUGGGCUGUAAUGAAAUGAACAACUCUAAGAUGUGGGCACUAUACGCCUAAAGAGGGAAAUCACGGUCUACGACUCCAAGUCAAACCACUAAAGGGCGACUAGAAUAGGAUGAUCAACUCACUAAAAAUGAGAAUGCAACUAUCUCGAGAAAAGAGGGAUGCCCUAAAUGACACUCAAUAGUUAAAGGAUGACACAAAUGAAACUAAAACGAAAUGAUACUACAAAUGAAACUGAAAUGAUAACAAACUGAUAACUAAAGUGCAAUGAACAACUCUAGGCCGUGGAUGCAAUGGACAGCUCAAGAAUAGGGGAACUAUUCGCCCAAAAUGGGAGAUCGUGGUCUGCGACUCUAAGUCAAACCACUAAAGGGUGGCUAAAAUCAAAAUGAUCAAUUCACUAAAAAUGAGGAUCUGAACAUCUCAAGAAAGGGGUUAUGCCCCAAAUGAAACUGACAAUAGAGGGAUGCCCUAAACAGACUGAAAAAAGGAGGAUGCCUUAAACAAACUAACGAAAAAUGGAUGCCCUAAACAAAUUGACGGAAGUGAAAUGCCCUAAAUAAACUGACCAAAGAAGAAUGCACUAAACAAACUCCAAGAAAAAAAAAGAAGAAGUAUGCGAUAUAGAAUCAAAAACACCUAAAACAAAAACAAGAAACAAAGAAUGUGGUUUACAACUAGAAACACCCAAAAGAACCUUAAAGAAGUGACUGGGAUAAUGAACUUAAUGAAAAUGGGGUAUGCCACAGUAAAAGACUCGGAAGUAUCAGCAAAUGGAUCAAACGACCAUGAAAUCAAUAGGAGAUAUGAUGAACCCAAAAAGGGCGUAUGCCCCAACAAAAGAACACUAAAAGGGGGGUAUGCCUUGAUAUGACGACUCACAAUAAUUAAGAAAUGGAUCGAGUAAUGAGAAAAUCUGCAAAAUAUCUUAUGAACUCAAAGAUGGGGGUAUGCCCCAGUGUAAAAUAGUGACCAACAUAAGACACAGAAUGUCACCAUACAAUACACUCUGGGAUAUGCUCAAUGACAAUGUAAUGAAAACAAUAGCCUCAAUCAACAAAUGUUCAAGCAAGACCAUGCAUCACAUAAACUAAAAUAAUAGGCUAAACAAAUGCUAACCAAGUCUCUCAAUCUGAAAUGUAAGCAAGUCAAGACAUGACAUGUCAACCAUCGACAUGAAAACAUCAUCACAAAUACAUCAACAAACUAAUAGUCCCUACUAUCAUGGAAGAUGUAGAACCUAACGUCCAAAGGCAUGUGAAAACUCAACCAAAAAGCUCAAGACUAGUUUGCAUCCUCCUCUAAUAAAAAGAAUGAGAUAAGGUCAUGUAGGAUGAUGAAAUAGGCAAGCUCAAUAUUCGUUAGGCUCUACCAAGAUGGAUGUAGGUAUAAUAGUGUCAAAGGUAGGAUGUCUAGAUGUCCAACGAAGGAAACUGGGUAUCCAAGUCAAACCAAGUAUGUUGAGGAAACUGAAGCCAUAGGACAAUAACUUUAUGAUCCAUUGAAAAUAGCAAUCAUGAAUAGAAGGUCGAGUCUCGAUGUCAAAAUCAACAAGGUGGCAUUGCCCCAGUAUGAAUACAUCUUCUCAAAAUGGGUAAACCCUCAGUGCAAGAUAAUCUCUAGAUAGUAUGUGUCUAGUAUAAACUGUCAUCUCACAAAAUCUAUCACUGAUGAGUGGGCUAUACCCCAGUGUAAGCAUUUCCAAAUCAAACAUCGAUGAGAGGAGUACAACCAAUCAUACAUAAUAUGAUCAAAACAAAUCUCCACUCCUCAAAGUCAUCAUGGUAACGUGAAGAGAGUAUCUAACCUCAUUUAAAGAAAGAUCAUGUCCCAAUGUGAAAAAUAUCAAGCAAAGUGGUAUGUCUCAACAAAAAUGCACUCUAACAUGAUCAUGCCUAGAUGUAAGCUGGUAUCUUUAAGAUCAAUCACCAAUGAAAGGGUUAUGCCCCAGUAUAGGGCAAUCUCUGAAAUGACUAAAAUCCGCUACAAGCUCUCACAAGUGUCUAUGUCAUGAACCAAUCAUCUCAAAAAAUAAAUAAAUAAAUAAAUAAAUCUAUCAACAAUGAUGAGAAGGUUAUGCUAUAAUCACAUCAAGAAAAUCACUCGGUCAUAUCUUGUACUCCAAUGUGAAAGGAAAAUAUGAUCACCUCUAAAGAAUGGCUAUGCCCCAAAAUACAUCAUCGAUUGAGAAAUAUGCCCCUACGUAAAGUACAUCAACUGAAAUAUGCCAAUCAUGCCUCAUGUUCCAAUGUGAAAAAUGACAUAUAAUAUUCUUUGAGGGAUGGUCAUGACUCAAAAUCCAUCAUCAGUUGAGAGAAGUAUGCCCCGACAUAAUGGUCAUCUAAAAAAUCAAUCUCCGACUAAGAAAUGUGUGCCUUGAUGUGAUGUAUCAAGCAAACUGGCUGCAUACCCCAUAAAAAACUCUCUAAGGUGGCUAUGCUCCAAUGUUGGAUCAUACCACAACUCCUGGUCUAUCACAAUCAAAAUGCUCUCCAACCAAUCCCAAGUAUCGCCCACAUGAGAGCUAUCAAACACAAUGUGUGAUGUCAUGGCCUCAAGGUGGUCUUAAGAUUCAGGACGUAACGUAGGCUAGGGUAAUAAGGUGAAGAAAUGAAGGAAAACUAGGCUUAAUAAUCCUAAUGAUAAAACCCCAUACCCUUAUGUAUAAAAUGCAAUAUGUGCAAAGAGUCUUAUAAACCAUGGAUCUAAGGACACCCAAUAUGAAUAUAUCAGUGAGGAAGAAAGAAUCUAAGAUGAAUAUAUCAAUGAUAAAAGAGAAGAAAUGAAGAAUAUCAAACUGCUGAUGGGAUGUAUAAGAAUGAUGUGUGGAAAAUAUUGAACAUGGAAUGUAAAUUGAUAUGAACAAAGAACAAUGUAGGCAAGGCAAAUGCGAUAUCAUGAUAAGAACAAAUAAAUCGAAGAAAAAUGAAUGAACACUAAUCCACUCAAAUCAAGUCAUGGAGAAUAGUCAAAUCACCAACGUAUGUAAUGAUGGAGAAGACAAUGAUUCGAAGUCCCUAGGAAAAUGUCACUUGUUUGUCACACAUAAAAUACAUAACGAGAUAGACACAAAAAUAUGAGAGUUUUUUGAAAGUUCACAUACGAACUUUCAUAAGCAACUAACUCAAUAAAGCAACCUCAAUGACCAAUAUAUACACUCAAUAAAGGAUGACACUGUAUACAUGUGUUUAUUACUUUUUCUUUUUCAUUUUUUUCAUUUUUGUUUUUAUUUUUUUUCUUUUGCUCGCGCAUACUCUGAAUAUCAAUAAAUGAACUUCUCUGAGAAUACAUAAUGAAAUGGAUAUACUCUCAAACAAUGAUGUAAGCGAACUCUCUCUGACAAGAUGACCCUCUAAAUUAAGGAUUUUCAAACUAACGUCCAUGAGAUAGGAGUGGAAGGGGAUAUGACCAUCCUCCCUGCACCGAAAUGUGAAAAAUCAUCACUCAGGGCACAAAAAAAUGUGAUGAAAAAAAAUAAAAAAUGAAACAAAAGAUAUAAACAAUGAAGUAUGAUGAAGACUGAUGUUGGGAAGACAAAAAAAUAGUGAAGAAUGUGAGCCAAUAAGUCCACAACUCAUGAAACUCUCGAAUAAAAUAUAUAUAUACACCAAAAGACCCUUAUCCCGGUGUAAAAUGUGAGCAAGGAUAUAAGAAAGAAAAGACUAUGGUGCUCAUGUGAGGUUCAAAGGGCUAGCAACGGUCCAAAUGUCAAUAAAGGUAAUAGGGUGUGAGCUAACCAAAAUGAAGGCCACCUAUGAUGGUCUGAAACAUCAUGCUCUUAAGCUUUCAAUGAUCAAUACUGAAAAUCGAUGUCCAUUUGAUAUAAACACGUCAACCCUUUGGAAUUGUGCGCCAAACCAUACUCCAAAUGCUCCAUAAUAAUCUCAAAGAUAAUCCUCUCAAAGCAAAGUAAAUAGCGAUCUCAUAAGGCACAACUACUCAUCACAAGCCAACUCUCAUCAUGCAAGAUCAAUCUCUAUUUUCAUGGAAAAAUAAGUGACAAUCUCAUCAGGUAAUCGACGAAUCCUCACAUCAUAAACCAACCAAAGAUCAUAAGUCAUUCAUUGCCAUGCAAGAUCAAUCCCAGACUCAAACUCCUCAUACUCUACCUGGUUGGAUUAGAGAAGAAAUGGGCAAAACUAGAAAAACUGAAGAUGGAAAGGUCAUAUAAUGGUGUCAAGGGUGAUGUUGUGCAAAACUCACAAUGGAUGGAUGUAGGUCAAAGCAAAGUCAAUGUGUGAGAGUGAGUAAGGCACUACUCUGAUCAUAAGAAGAUGGGUCACAAUCUCAAACUCCUAAGGUCAAAUCUCCGAUCCUAGGCUAAUAAGCUCAACAUCCUCCAUGAUAGGUCAACCCCCAAGAUCACAAUGUGCAAAUGAAUAGAUGCCUCAAGUCAAAAGUACAACACAUCAUAUGAUAUAUGGUCCUACGAUGACAAUCUAAAACUGGAAAUAUGUUAGAAACUCUAAGGUCAUAAACGUGUCCACUGUGAGAUGACUAUAAAUGUGACUAAGGAAUCUUUAUCAAUAAUCCAAAAAAUGAAUGAAGUGUGAAAAACAACACUAUCAUGAGAUCGAUACCCCAUCAAUAACAAAAUAUCUCUAAUUCACUUUCAAUCUAAACUCUAUAAAGAAAAACGAUAAGGUUAUAAAGGCAAACCUCUCAAAAAUGGUGUGAAUGUGAAAACAUGUCUUCACCUUUCUAUAAUGAAAAUAUCAUGUUGAAAAUAGAAAUAGGCAAAUCGACCAAAGAAUGAAGUACGGAGCCCAUGACAAGUGAAGAAUGUAAAAAGGUGAACAUGAUCAAUGAACAUAUCCCAAAACAUCAAGCAUAAAGUGACAACAAACCAAAAGAAUGUGUCAACUUAAGAAAAGAAGACUAUCUGAAGCCCCAGGGAAAAAGUGUGCUAGACUCAACGAGCGACAAGAAGAAACUAAAACCAUAUAGCAAGAGGUGGUCCAACUGAUACUCAAACUCGUACCAAUAUCUAAGCACUCUCGACUGGAGACCAAAAGAUGGAGUAUUGGAUCCAUAUUGUGACUAAAGUGGCCUCGAAGGCUCUCAGAUGCACCCACGUGUAGGAAAGGAAAUCCUAGUAAAAAUAUCUAAGGCUUAACCUACAAGGUCAAGGCGGCUCUAAAAAGAAAAAUUGAGUGGACUUUAAAGGAUUCCUAGCAAAAGCGAUCAUACCCUCCGAUGGUACGCAACCUCCUACACGUCUUGAAAUAUAUGGGAGUGAUUCCAUGCAAGGUGGUCAUCACCUCCACACAUGCACUAUCUCAUAUCCUAGAGGGUUUCCUAAUGAUGAAGACUCUUACAUCUCUCAACACUUAGUGGUAAUCUAAGGUGCACAGUGAAUGGUGUGGGUUCAUCCAAAAAUCCUAUCAAGCUAAGCAAAGAGAAAACACAUUGGUCACACAAAUAUCUUGAAAUAUAGCUCUAACCUAUACAAGUCUUCAAAGAUUGGACUCCAAUUAGCAUUAAUGUUUCGACCUUCUCCAGAAUGCUCCCAAACAUAGAUAUAGUCCAUCACUAAAUCCUACUCCGAAUCACUAGCUCGGUCGAAGAGCAAACAAAGUAAUAAGUCUCAUAUCAAAUAUGAGAUCAAGGGGAACAUGGUCACCCAAGACUAGGGAAUUGAAGUAAGGGGAUAGAUGUGUGUCCCACAUAGAAAAGCAACAUGCAUCACACAGAAGAAGAAUAGUCAUGCAAUAGACAACCAAGCAAAGAACAGGUAUAUCAUUCAUAUCUACACACAAGCUAAACAAGAAAUAGGUAUUUAACAAGAAUAAACAAUAUGUUGAGAUAAACAAGAUAAUAUACAAUAAAGAGAAUCAAUCACACCAAUAUGAAUGAGAUAUACAAAAAUGAGAAUAUACAUGUCAAGGAGAACAAGAUAAUCAUACAACAAGAAGAGUCUUAUGUUAAAGCAAGCAAGAGAAUCAAUCGAUGUAGUCAACAUGUCAAUAUCGCAAAUGAACAUAACAACCAAAUAUGCAUCAUAAAGAAAAAAUGGUAAUCAUGCAGCACACAGUCAUACAAAACAAAUACAAACAAACAUAAGCAAAUAAAUGUAAACACACAUGAUAACAAAAAUCAAUGUAUAGUAAGGCACAUGCAAUAUAUACAUAAAAUAAUCAUCAAGUCAACACUCAUAUACCUUAAAACAUGAAAAUAUACAAUAAAGACACAACGAGAGGGUAUUCACUGAUCGAUUAAUCAAACACUACAUUUCCCUUAACUCAAGUUCAAGUUUGAUCCUUUAAAUAUCCCUAGUGGAGUCGCUAUUUUGUGGACCCACAUUUUUCAAAUGCGUCCUUACACAACAGCGAGACUCAUUUUUUUUAUUUGGUGAAAAUUUGAUUUUGAGAAAAAAGACUUUGAGUUGUCACUUAUUUUUGUUUUUUUUUAAGGGAAAACAAAACAAGAAAGAAAACCUUGUGUGACUCCUUAUUUGGGAAAGACAUGUAUGCAAAAACCAAAUCUGGAUUCGGGGGUCAAGUUACCUAUUGGGAAUGUACGAUGGUGAGCUGUAGCACCUCUCUAAGCUCAUAUACGUACGGUCUCUACUAAACGAAUUAAGAGAAUUGUAGUAAUUAAUUAAUUAGUCAAGGAUACCAAGAAAAAGAAUCGCACAAAUGAGUACAUACAAAUCAUGAUAAAAAAAAUCAAAUUAUAAGAAUAGACAAAAUAAAUAACAAGAGAAUUGUGCAAAGUGAUUUAUUAAACUAAAUAAAAAAGAAGAUAUUAAAAAAAUUAGUUUUCAAGAAAUUUCAAAGGAUUUUAUUAAAAUGAUUUUGAAUUAAUGAUUUUAAUUUAUUUAUUUACAAAAAAAAGUCAAUUUAUUUUCUUCAAUUGAUUUGAUUCAAUUUCAUUUGUAUUCAAUUUUUUUUUUAAAAAAAAAAAGUUAUUUACACUCAUGGUUGUUAAAAGAAUUAUUAACAAAAUUUCAAGUUGACAAUAAAAAUGAUUUUUACUUGCUUUUACUCGAAAACAAUGAAUUUUUACAAUUUUAUUAACAAAAGCAUUUCAAUUUAAGAAAAGUGACUUAAACAAAUUAUUAAAAAAAUAUAACUUUAUCUGCAAAAGAAUUUUUAAUUAAAAAGAAAAAAUUUAAAUCAUCUAUUUCUAAAAAUGACUUUUAAUCCCAUUUUAAUUAAGAAAAUUUGAGUUAUUUAAAAAAACAUUUUUUGGACAAUUUGAAUAAAAAUUAAUUUUUGGGACAACUUUAUUUACAAAAAAAAUUUUGGACAAUUAUUAUUAAAAACAAAAUUUCAAAUUCUAUUAAAAACAAUUUUUUGGAUUUUUCCAAACACAUUUUUAUGAAUUUUUAUUAAUAAAAAACUUUUUUUUAUUAAGAAGAAUAUUUUUUGAGCUAUUAUUUUAUUAAAACAUGUUUAUUGAAUUAUUCUUCUUAUUCAAACAAAAUUUUUAAUUUGUUCAAUAUCUAAUUCUGUACACAACAAGUAAAUAUAUACAAACAAAUAUUUAUAAAAACCAAUAAAAAUAAAACCAAAUAGAAGUGAGAAAUAAAACAUGUUCUUAAACAAGCUUACAACAAGCUCAAUGUCUUCUUACGACUUUUCGAGUCUCACUUUCUUUCAUUAAAUUUUAUGCUCCACGUACCAUAAAUCCGUACUCAACCAAAAAAAUUGCAGAAUUGGCCCAUGCAAAAACAAAAAUAACACAAAUGUAAAUAUCUAAAAAUGAAUAAAGUUCACAAUAGAUAUUCAAGUCCAAAUUCAAAUUUCAAAUUAGUCCAACAAAUUUCGUCAAUCAAAAUAAGUCUAAAUUAGCAAAUAUAGCCCAACAAAAAUAUCUCACAUGUCAUAGGCCUUAAUAUAAAAUUUCCAAAUUAAUAACCAAAAUAUAAGUUCAAUUAAUCAAACCCAAAACAUGAUACAUUAAAAUAAAUCUCAUUAGGCCUAAACUUAAUAUCUCAUAAUUCAAGCCUAAUUUAAUAUAUAAACCUAAAUCCACAAUCAAAAUCAACUCACUUUAUGCUAAUCCCAAUUUAUAAUCAAAAUCAAACAUAAUUUAAUAAGUAAAUAACUAAAUAAAUUAAGCAAACUCAAAACUCUCAAACCACUAUUGCAUAAUAUCAAACAAUAAUAAAUAUAAUGACAACAAUAAUAAUAAUAAAAUAAAAUAAAAAAAUUUAACUCACGUUGGAGCCAGUUUGAGUGUCGUGGGAAAGAAAAAAAAUGAGAGAAAAGUGGGAGAUGAUCGUUAGCUGGUAGUGGCUUGCCGGCGGCGACUGGUCGAUAGUCCUACUGGCGGUAGUGAGGAUUGAUGAGUUUUUGGGAAAGGAAAAAAAAAGAGGAGUAAUAAAAAAAAAAAAAGAGAAAUGAGAGGAAGGUGGGAUAAGAGGGGAGAGAGAGAAUGAAGAAAAUAGGGGAAAAUAAAUGAGGCCGGCCGGAGGAGGAAGUGGUAGUGUGUGUGAGCUAAAGUGAAGAAGAAUGAAAGAAGAAGAAGGAGAAAAAUGGGAAAAAAAUUCGAGCCCUCUAAAUGAAGAAAGGUGAGUAGCUUAAAGAAGAAAAAUAAAAAUAAAAAAAGAAAAAAUGAGGAGAAAAUGAGAGGGCCAGUAGUCUUGGGAAUGGGGUGGUAUAGGUGAGAGAGAGUGGGCGAGGUUGUUGGGGAAGGUAUGGGAGAGAGAGGAGAGAUAAAAGAAAGAGAAAAAAAAACAUAAUAAUAAUAAUAAUCAUAAAUAAUAUAUAAAAUAAUAAAAAUUAAUAUUUAAAUGAUGAGUGUGUCAAAAAUAUUAUAUGUAAUUGGGAUUUAAUUUUAAGAGUAAAAUUGAACUAAAAAUUAAUGUAAAAAUAAAAUUUGAACAAAUUUUAGAAUCUACAAAUACAUUCUUUAAUCUUUCCACAACAUCAAUCUGAUCUAAAUGAAAUGCAAUAAAUUCUAAAAAUGAUACAAUCUUUAAUCAAUCCACAACAUCAACCCGAUCAAAACUCAAUGCAAUAUUGCUUAAUGGAGAGAAUCGUAAAAUCCUUUUAUGAGAGGAAAAAAAAACCCUUAACAGACCUUUAUGAGAGGAAAAUAGGAAAACAUAGAACUAAAAACCCUUAACGUAUUCAUGAGAAUAAAAAAAUCCUUAACACCUUAAUAAGAGGAAAACAAAGAAUUUGAACAAUCCUUAAUCCAUCAAAAGCUCUUAAUAUGAACGAGGGGAAAACAUAACCUUUAUUUUUCAUAUCAUUGAAUACAGAAUCUAAAGAGAUAGAAUUUUUAGUUAUUAAGGAUUUUUUUAUAAAUGUCUAUUGAAAGUUUAAGAACUUUUAUGGAUAAGUGUUAAUUAAGAGACUGAAAGGGUACUUAGGAUUUUCAACUAAAAAAGUUAUAACAAUAUGAAUCGUAAGAACUUAAAAACAUCACCCAUCCAUAAGAGGAAUAUGGAAUGAGAGGUUAUUUUUUUACUUAUACAACAAUAAACUUUUUUGGAAGAGGUUUUUCUAAGUACAAAAAGUUAUGAAUAAAAAACCAUUGUUACGAUGAGUUAACUAAAAUAGAAUUAAUUUAGAAAAUAUCAAUAAAGUUGCAUGAAUUAUUAUCAUGAGUUAACUUAAUAAGAAUAAAUAGUAAUAAAGUUAAUGAAGUGAAUUUGGAUUGGCAGAUAUAUUUGAUGAUAAGAUUUUUUUAAUAAUAAAAAAUUAUUAUGGCAGGAAAAAUAGGACAAAAUUGACCUUAUGAUAAGAUUUUUUUAAUAAUAAAAACAUUAUUAUGGUAUGAAAAAAAGGGACAAAAUUGGCCUUUCCUUAAUUGUACCGGUUAAUGGAAUAAUGGGACAUGCGGUGGUUACAAGCCACCCCAAAAGGUAGGAAGAAUCUCCAACCCCCAUUCUCGGCUCCCUUAUCUUUUCCCUUACAACCAAAAAUCAACAACUAUCUUAGAAUGUCCUUCAGUCCACCAAAAUUCAACAACAACAUUACAAUAAUGAAAACAAAAUUGAUUGAUCACCAGCUAACAUUAGGAGAUUAUAAGAUAAGGAUGUAAUUGCAAUUAUUGAAAUCACUUAAAGAGUAAAAGUUAGGAACAUGCUCACAAUAAAUAAAAUCACCUUAGAAUUAAAAAUUAGGGACAUGAUUAUGAUGAUUAAAAUCACUCGAGAACUAAAAUGUUUUAGAGAUACAAUAAUUGAAAUCAACUGAAAAAUAAAUUCGGGAUGUGAUCGCAAUUAAUGUAUAUAUAAACAACCAAAUGUUGAAAGGAAAAACUAAUGAAAUUAAUAUGAUUUUCUUUUAGAUUUCUCUUGACACCAAACAAAUGUAAGGAAGUUUAUAAAGGAAAAUUAGGUUUUGAUUCACUAAAUUAAAAUAAUAUAGAAAAAAGAUCUUCAAAUUUUAUAUAUCAGUUUUAUUUUUAUUUAUUUAAAAAUAUUUUAAAAUACAUAUAUUUUUUCAUAACUCAAAUAGUCAUUCCUCAAAUGCUAGUUUUACUUGUUAUGUUAAUAACACUAGUUAAUAAUUUUUUAUUGUGAGAACGAUUUAAGAUUAAUAAAAUAAGAAAAUUUUAAAACUAAAAAGACAUUUAAAACUUUAAAAUUAAAAAUAUAAAAAUAAAACAAUAAUUUUUCAUUUAGUAAAACACGCCAGUAGAAAAUAUAGAUAUAGAGAAAGAGUUGGAAAUAAAAUAAGAGUUAAUAUUUUAUUUUUAAAAUUUUAUGUUUUUUAUUUUAAUUGUAUUUAAUUUUAUGUAUUUUAGUUGUAAUUAUAUUUUUAAUUUUUAAAUUUUUUUUUAUUUUAUUGUUGAUGUAAACUAAUAAAUUUUUUGUUCAAUUAUAUAUAUAUAUAUAUAUAUAUAUAUAUAUAUAUAUUUAAAUUAGUGAGUAAAAACCCACUUUUUCUAAUUUAUAAUAUAUUUAUGGGAUUUUAUAAUAUAAGAAAUUUUUUUUUAGAAAGAGGAAAAAUCAACAUUUCAAUUUCCCUUCAUUAUUAUUAUUAUUAUCCAAUUUGGUUGAUUAUGAGAUUAGUUGGUAUCAUUACUAUAUCCAUUUGUCCUUAACCCUUCAUUAGAAUAGUAUUAGGAGUUGAACGUCAGUUGGAAUACAGGCUAUGGAAACAAAUCUAUCCGAUUAGUAGGUUCUUGUUAUUUUCAAUAUAGACCCCAUAAAAUAAAUAGGAGAUAUGAGAUAAGACUGUGACAAAAUUGGCGGUUACUUCCCGACACCUGGCUCUCCACAAACAAACCCAGUGAUCCAGAAAUUAAUUGGUACCUGGACACGUGACUACCAAACGUUCGCUCACCCACCAUACCCAUGGCCUCAUGCCCCAUAUAUUUCCACAAACCUAGCUCAAUUUUCAUAGCCACCUUCACUGUCCUACACUCACUAAGCCAUGGCCAUAGAUACAAGCCUCUUGCUUGAGUUUGCUGCAGCAACUCUACUCUUCUUCAUCACCCGCUUCUUCAUUCGUUCUAUCCUUCCCAAACCUUCCCGGAAGCUCCCCCCUGGCCCCAAAGGGUGGCCGCUCCUCGGCGCUCUUCCUCUCGUAGGUAACAUGCCUCAUGUUGCAUUAGCAAAGAUGGCCAAAAGAUACGGGCCUGUCAUGUUCUUGAAAAUGGGCACUAACAGCAUGGUGGUGGCCUCAACUCCCGAGGCGGCUCGGGCUUUCCUUAAAACGCUAGACAUUAAUUUCUCUAGCCGCCCGC
rnacentral:lncRNA from 1 species